rnacentral:lncRNA from 1 species
AAGCUGGAACUUUGCCCGUCAGUCCAACUCCAGAUAGUUGAAGGCUUCUCAAAUUAGUUUGGCUUCGAAUCCAAGUAGGAAAUCUAGUUCCUAUAUGACAGAAACUCAUGUCAAUAAAUGAAGCAUCAAAAGGGGGAAGCCAAUUUGAAGGAGCUGUAGAGAUAUGUCCAAAAAUUCCAAGUUGAAGGAGCUGGGAAAAGUGUGCUUCAGUGAUGUCGCCUUCUAGUGAGUUUGAGGAGAGGUCCAACCUGUACAUUCCAGAAAAUCGACCCAAAUUAGAUGGAAUAAUGCCAUUAAAUUUGUUGCCCUCAAUACUUAAGUAUGACAAGGCUGCUCCUCCACUACAACUCGACAAACCUAAAGACCUCGGCAUCUGCCCUGAUAAGUGGUUGAUCUGAUAUAUCCAAGAACUGCAAGAGGUCGAGUUUGCCAAUUGUUUCUGGUAGUUGCCCGGUAACAGAGUUCCGAGACAGAUGUAAAACCUGCAAACUUUGAAGAUUGCCAAUGUGUGCAAGGCUGCUAGCAUUAGUGAGCCAUCUUAGAACACUUGCAUUACUUGAGUUCUAAUAACCGGAGAUAUCGAGCAUGACAAUGGAUGUCAACAGAAGACUACUAAAAGCUACAAAAAUUGCCAACAGAAGCUGCCAUAUAAAAUAACACAAAGAAAAGCAUGUGUCGACAUCCAAUUAACGAGGCAAUGUAUCGAAAGGAAAAAGAUAACAGAACGACGGUAGAUAAAAAGUAUUUGAAGAGAUUAGAAGGAAUGCAUUACUUGAUACUUGUUCCUUCUUUAUUCUGACAGCAUUGCGUGAUGAUUACAGACAGCAUUACUUGAAAGCAGCUUGCGACCUCAAGAUGUAACAAUAAGCUCUUCAGCAUACUUCUUUCUGCUUGAUUAUAAUGUCAUAAAGACAACGGUAGGGAUGACUGACUUGAACAUAUUGAUUAGAACGACGGAUGAUUAAGUUUUUGAACUGAUUAGAACAAAUACAUACAUACUGAUGAAGCAAAAGGCCAUCAACUGCGAUACCCUUUUCCUUCUUUAUUCUGAAAACAUUACACGAUAACAUACGAGAUGGAAUUACUAACUGGAAAAGCAACUUGAGACCUCCUUAAGAUGUAACAGUAAACUCUUCAGUUCUUGCCACCGAUGGAUCAAGUCACACUUUGCCGUUUGGACUUUAACCUUGCACAUCCGACUGCCAACUGCACGUAGCACCAAUCGUAAGCCUUGUCGAAAAAUCGAAAGAACGCAAUCCUUAUGCUCUGUUUCAUGAUCAUUGUUCCAACAAAACUCCAAAAACCAACCACAAAACCCAUGACGAUGCUGGUAAUUUCCCACACUGUUUCAAGCCUGUCACCGUUUUUCUCUUCCUGUUCAUGAGGUGGACUUUGAUGAGCUGCAUCACCAGGGCACUCUGGCAGUGGCGUACCACAAAGGUAUUCAUUACCAUCGUAGAUUGACGGGUCGUCAAUGAAGGUCGACAUUUGACCACCGGCUGUUGGAAUUCUUCCUGACAAGUUAUUGUGAGAGAGAUUCAAGUGGCUUAGGAAGUUGAGAGAUGAAAAGCUGGAAGGAAUAUCUCCUGUGAGAUUAUUCAUCGAUAAGUCAAGUGAUUCCAGUUGUUCCAUGGAACCAAUCUUUUCUGGAAUGGUUCCUCUCAAAUGAUUCUUGGAUAAGUUCAAGAAAUGCAAUCCAUGAAGUUUCGUAAGCUCUCUUGGGAUCUCGCCGGAAAGAUUAUUGUUUGAUAGGUCUAUGCUUGUUACAAGUGAGAGAAUUGUGGUGUAUUGGAUGUCAUAUCCUUUUGCUGUUAUUACUAUGCUCUCGCCAUAAUAACCACCAUCAACAAGAUGAAGCAACGAUGUAGUAUCAUGUUGUAUCUCAACCAUAGCAUUAAAAUUUCCAAGAGAUGAAGGUAUGCUACCAGAAAGAUUGUUGGAAGAAAGAUCCAAAACUUGGAGAGAAGUAAGAUUUGCUAUGUGCACUGGAAUGGUACCAUAAAAUAGGUUUGACUUCAAACUAAGAACUCUCAAGGACAAAAGAUUUUCUCCCAUCCAUAUUGGUAUUUCAUCAAACAAAUUAUUUUCGCCAAGAUCGAGAGUAACCAAUUGUUCACAAUGUUUCAGGAAGGAAGGAAAUCUUCCAGACAAGUUGUUGUGGUUCAGAUGCAAAGAUUGUAAAGAAGUUGGGAAUGAUUUAUGACACUUUGAGACUGUCCCAGAUAAAUUAUUGUUUGAUAGGUCGAGGACUCGGAGAGAAUUAAGAUUACAGAAAAAGGAAAAAAAACUACCAUUGAUAUUGUUAUGAGAUAAAGACAAAAUUUGAAGGUACGGGCCAUUUGCAAAACUCAACGGAAUGGGUCCAACAAAUGAGUUAUUGGAGAGAUCGAUUACUUCCCCGGGAGGAGCAGUGGGUAGUGGGCCAUUCAAGUUAUUGGAACUCAAGUUAAGAUACCAUAAACUUGUUGAGAUAUCUGAAAACCAAGUUGGAAGGUUACCGGAGAGUCCAACUUCAGAUAAAGAAAGAUAUUUCAAAUUUGUUUGUGUUUGAAUCCAAACUGGAAAUCUAGUUCCCAAAUGACAUGAGCUCAUGAUAAUAAGGUUGGCAUUAAAAGGUGGAAACCAAUCAUCGGGUAGGAUCACAUUCAAGGAGUUAUAAGAUAUGUCCAAGUGUUCCAAGUUGGUGAGUUUGGAAAAGUGUGCUUCAGUGAUAUUACCUUCCAACAAGUUUGAGGAGAGGUCCAAUACUUGUAAUGCAGAUAAUUGACCCAUACUUGAAGGGACAAUCCCACUCAAAUUGUUGCCACUAAUAGAUAAAUAUAGAGUGGCUCUUUGUUCACAAUGUAGUAAACUAUCAAUUAGAUAGCUUAACUCUCCACCAAUAUGGUUAUGUGAUAAAUCUAUAAAACUCAAAUUGCAGAGCCCAUUCAAAGUCUCAGCUACUAACCUUGUUAAGUGGUUACGUGAUACAUCCAAGAAUUGCAAGUUGUAGAGUCUGUUGAAGGUCUCUGGUAUCUGCCCAAUAAUAAAAUUAUCAUAUAAAUAUAGAGAUCGUAUAUUUUGGAGAUUCUCAAUAGUUUCUGGUAUUUGUCCUGAAAUCUUAUUUUGCGACAAAUCCAAGCUCUCCAAGUUGAUGAGAUCACCAAAAUUCAUUGGUAUACCUCCAAUAAUGUUGUUGUAUGAAAGAUCCAAGUAUUCUAAAUUGAUGAGAUUCCCAAUAGUUUUUGGUAUUUGUCCUGAAAUAUAAUUUUUCUGUAAUAAUAACCUCUCCAAGUUGAUGAGAUUACCAAAAGUCAUUGGUAUACCUCCAGUAAUGUUAUUGAAUGAGAGAUCCAAGUAUUUCAAAUUUGUGAGAUUCUCAAUAGUUUCUGGUAUUUGUCCUGAAAUCUUAUUUCCUAACAAGAUCAAUUUCUCCAAUUUAAUAAGAUCACCAAAAGCUAUUGGUAUACCUCUAGUAAUGUUAUUGCUUGAGAGAUCCAAGUAUUUCAAAUUAGUGAGAUUCCCAAUGGUUUCUGGUAUUUGUCCUGAAAUAUUAUUAUUCAACAAUGACAAGCUCUCCAACUUGCCGAGAUUACCAAAAGUCAUUGGUAUAUCACCAGCAAUAUUAUUGAAUGAGAGAUCUAAGUAUUCCAAAUUGCUGAGAUUCCCAAUAGUUUCUGGUAUUUGUCUUGAAAACUUAUUUUUCUGCAAUCUCAAGUUCUCCAAGUUGAUGAGAUCAUCAAAAACCGUUGAUAUACCUCCAAUAAUGUUGUUGUUUGAGAGAUCUAAGUAUUUCAAAUUGGUGAGAUUCCCAAUAGUUUCUGGUAUUUGUCCCGAAAUAUUAUUUCCCGACAAUCUCAAGCUCUCCAAGUUGAUUAGUUCACCAAAAACUGUUGGUAUACCUCCAAUAAUGUUAUUGUCUGAGAGAUCCAAGUAUACUAAAUUAGUGAGAUUCUCUAUCAUUUGUGGAAUUUCUCCGGUAAUGUGAUUGGAUCUCAAACUUAAAUAUCGCAAGCUGCUUGGGAAAUUUUUCACUAUUUCUGAAAUAUGUCCAGUGAGCUCGUUAAAAUCCAAUGCAAGGUAUUCCAGAGGUCCAAGACUCCAUAGGAUUUGUGCAAUAUCUCCACUUAAUGAAUUCCAACUUAAAUCCAAAUGCUUGAAGCUCCUGCUCACAUUCAUUUUAAUUCUAAAAAUUUCUCCUGUGAUAUCAUUGUAUUGUAAAUCCAAUUCUUUCAAAUUACUCAGAGCUCCCAGAGUGACUUGUAGUGACUCAAUAUCGACAAGACUGCAGUGAGAAAGAUCAAGAUAUACAAGGCUGCUCGCAUGAGAGAGCCAUCUUAGAAUUGUUGUAUUCAAGUUGGAAUAACCAGAGAGAUCCAGCUUGAUGAUUGAAGUCAGAUUAAAAGGGGGCAAAGGAGAUGGAACAUACGGGAGGUUUGCCCACUUCAAGCGCAAUACAUUGAGACUGGGGAUCCAAUUAACUUGGUGAAGCCAAUUAGUUGCUUUAGAGAGGUUGACAAAACUCAUAUCAAUAUAUUUCAGAGAAGGAAUUUGGGAGAGCCAAUCAAGGUCAUCAGCUCGUAGAUCACUAAGUCCACAUCCUCCAAGAUCAAGGUAGUGUAGAUUGGAGAGGUUCCCCAGUUGAGGAGGUAUUAGUCCAUCAAACAUUGCAUUGGAUAGGUUAAGAUAUUCCAAAUCCACAAGCGAAGCAAUCAUGUGGGGAAUGUGGGAGCCAGAGAAAUUAUUCAUGCUCAAAUCCAGAUAUUUCAAAUGCUUCAGAUCACGCAAAGCAGGAUUUACCUUGCUCGCACCCAUCCCUUCUAACAUGAAGCACAUAUCGUCCUCGUCAUCCAAAUCAUAUGUGUAGAAAUUAUGAGUGUCGAGAUAGUGGAGGUCGAGCUUGAUGACAUGGCUGGUGGUGUUGUCGCAGGCCACUCCUCUCCAACGACAGCAAUCUUCACCGAUCCAAGUAGAGAAUCUUUCGCCAGAGUCAUACAUAUCGGAUUUGAUGUCUAGGAGAGCUCUCCUCUCGCUCUCGAUGCAACUUUUGCCCUCCGCCCUAAGACGAUCACCUUCGCCAUGGCCGCGGCAACAGGAGAUGACUCCAAAGCUCAUAAUCACGACCGUGAGCAUGGUGACAUGCUUUGAGCAAAUAGAUUUGCCCUUGCAGCCACCGCUAGCAGCCAUUGAGUAAGCUUUCAGAGAUGAUGGAGUUUAAGGUGUGAGGUUGGAAGGUGGCUCCAUACGUACGUUUACAUUUAUAGAAUGACACUGAACGUCACUUGAGGACUGAUCAAUCUAAAGGACCGGUGUUGUUGACAUGACGUUCCACAGUCCAACAUUUAUUGACAUGAUAAAUGGUUUGGAAUGGGCUGGCGAAUAUUCCUGGAUGAUUCUUGCAACCUUAAUUCUGAGACUCUUAGUGAAGAAUGUGAUACACGAAAUAAAAGUUUUCUUCAUAAGAUAAUUAAUAACUAGUGGUGUUGUAUAUAAAGGCAGUGCUUAAAUUAUAGUUGAACACCGAUGUGAUCAUUACUGGUCAGUAAUUGGACCGACAAGUUAAUCUGACACAAUGAAUAUUUAACACAAAUAUCUAAAAUUAUACUAUAUAUAUAUAUAAGUUUUAAAUAUGAAUAUUUAUUUUCUGAGAGUAUUACCAAAAAAGAAAAGCAACCGAGUCCAAGUCAUCCAGGUCAUUUAAAUUAAAUAUUUUCUUGUUAACAUUCUAAAAAGAUGGAAAUGAGUUAUGGAAUGACCACUAUUAAGCACACUAUCUUAUAGAUGUUUUUACACUCUAAAUUUGGCUUAAUUUAGAUACAUCGCAAAAAUAAUUAUUGUGGGUUUAAGAUCUUGGACUCUGAAGCAUUUGUGGUAUGAUUAUGAUACAAGUCAAAGUCAAAUAAAUAUCUAUCUUUUAUCUCUUGAGAUGAUAAAUGAAUUGAUUUUUUUGAUCCUCCAUUAAUUUUUUUGAUCCUUUUCUUAACCUACCGUGUCAAGUGGCUAAGAAAUGUACUGGUCAAUGUUUCAUAUAUGUGAGUUUUCCUAUUUAUAAUUUCAUGUUUAAUUUUAUUUUAACUAGACAACUUUUGUUGAAUUAGAAAAAACAUGUUCAAUUAUUUGUAUAUAUAAAAAGGCUUCUUUUUUUUUACAAAAUAUAAACUAGUCAGUAGAGUCACUUUUGCUCAAUUAUACCAUUGAAAGUGUUCCAAUGUACUCACUAAGAGACAUCGCCACAGGUAGCACAAUCAAUGUUAGAUGUUAGAAUAACAUUCAUCAUGUCAUGGCAAUUGCGUUUUCGUACUGCACUUGACACGUUGCGUUCAUAAGUCUCGUGACGUAUUGAGUUAUUUGAUGGGUGAUGGAAUUGAACGACCAAGUCUAAAGUCUUGAAAUUUGAUUCCGUCUUUUGAUCAUUUCUUGAUGUCUAAAGUCUUAAAAUUGAACGAGAGAGAUGGCUGUUUGCUUGUCUAGCAUGUGCAUUUUUCUCUCUCUUUCCUUCUUUUUAAUUUUUUUAUUUUGUCUUCUUUAAUGCAUGACUACUAAGUAUAUCCAUUUCUAUUUUUAUUAGAUAUGUAAAAAUAAUAUUUUGAUAGAACGUUUCAAUUCAUCCAUUUAUCGACUUCUCAUAUUUCUAUAAUCUAUUGACUGAUUUUUUUUCAUGUCUUGUGAUAUAGGCAAUCCCAAAGAAAUACUUAAUAUAUAAGGGAAUCGGAUGAUGAUAGAUAAUAAAUAAAAAAUUAAAAUAAAGAUAAAAAAUAUUAUUUAUCAAAAUAUUAAUUUAAGGAGGAGGACUUUGAAAUAUUCUUUUGACUUUACUUUGUUGAAAUAUAUGUCUUUAUUGUGAAUUGAUGCAUGAGAGAAGAAGAGAGGAAGGUAGACAAUAUGGUCUUAGACUUGCUUCAAAUCCUCCGAUUUAAGAAAAAAUUGUGGCCUUACAUCACUCGUAUAUUUUGUAAAAAAUAAUACUAUUAUCAUGAUCCCAUUAUAAUUAUUGAUUUUUUACAUAGGUCAUAAAAAUGAAAAAAUAAAAAUAAAAAAGAAAAUGAAAUCGCAUCAAGAAGAUUCAAUAUGUUUCAUUUGGUCAUCUUUUGUUAAAAUAAGCUUCCAGAAUUGUAUUAUAAAAUAAUCUUCCUUCUUUAUAUAUCAUGUUCUUCCUUUUUAAUAAGAUAAUAAUUCUUUUCAUCUUUUCUUUUAUUUAUAUUUUUCUUCUUAUUUAUUGAUAAUCUUGAAAAUAAGAUCAUGAAUAUUAUGAUAUUAUCAUAUGGCAAUUCAAAUAUGUCAAUUGAACCGAGUCUGAAUUCAUUAUCAAUCAAAAUGAUUUGGAUCGAUCUUUUUUCUUUCCACAUCUAUGAAAUGUGGCUUGAUUCCUACCAUGUGGAAUCGAAUGAUGCACGAAAUAAAUUAGGAUGUAAGCAGGUAACUUCCCUUCUUUUUAUAUAUAUAUAUAUAUAUAUAUAUAUACACAAAAAACAACUAAUCAAUCAAUCUCAAGGAAAGAUGAGGUUCCUUCCAACAUUUAUGGUGUGACUAUGAAUUGAGUCAUGACAUGAUGAAUGAGUUGAAAUGAUAUUAGCCAAUCUUCCUCUAUGACUCUUGAAACAUUAAUUGGGAUGUGAAAUAUCAUUGUGAAUAUAUCUCAGAUUAAUUAUGGUAGGUAUAAAGUCUUUUUUGAAGCAUUUAUUGUGUGGUUACGAUGAAAGUCAAAGUUAAGUAGAUAUCUAUCUUUGUCUUUUGAAAUGUUUUAUAAUACAUUUAUGGUGUGGAUUAGUUUAGUGAAUCUUUCUCUAUUGAUUUAUCUUCCUAAAGUAUCGUGUCAAGUGGAAAAGAAAUGUAGCUCUUAUACAUGCAUCUUUUCCUAUAUAUACUUUCAUGUUCAAUUAAUUUUUACUUAUAUAAAAAGAAGCAAUAUGUUUAGAAAAUAAUUUUAGUGUCGGUCUUGCCCUUUAGCACACACAAAUGAAAUCAUCAUCAAUAAUAAUAAUAAUAAUAAUAAUAAUAAUAAUAAUAAUAAUAAUAAUAAUAAUAAUAAUAAUAAUAAUAAUCUUUUAGCAUAUAUUUAAUCAUUGUUAGGUUUUUCAUAGUUUUUUUUAUUAAUUAAAAGAAAAAAGUGAUUAAGAUAUGAGGAAAAAAAAUCAACAAAUGGUUCUAAUAUAUAUGUUAGGAAGGGUCUAAACUUUUAUUUGUUGAAUCUUGGAUUUUGAUGAUGAAAUCAAUUGAUGAGUUUAUGAUUUAAUCCAUAUUUUGAGAAAAGUGAUGUAGGACUAUCUUCGAUCAUGCAAAGGUAAAUUGAUUGAAGCAAAAAGAAUCAAACGUUGGGCUGGAGUAAAACAUGUCAGAAGAUUGGACGUCGAGCCGGAGGAUUGGUCGAUGUGCUAGUAGAAGGACUUCAUGCCAUGAGUUCGAGCAUCGGGUCAAAGGAUCGAAUAUUGUGCCAAAAAAAUCGAAAGUUGUGGAAGGUCAACAUGCCGAUUGAGUAAUACGCCGAAGGAGAGGACAAUGCGCUAAAGGAUCAGACGAAGCGCCGAAUGAACCAAUGACAUGUUGGACAAAUGAUGCAUACUUUGUAAUCAUUUAUCUAGAUCGAAGUAGUUUAGGAAGCUAAUUGAGUUACCUUUUGAUGUAAUCAUGUUAAUUCAAUUAGGGGCCAAUUGGGCCUAAAUUGGGAUUGAUUUAGGCUCAUUGGGAGGAUCAUUCAAUGACCCAAAAGUUGGGUCAGGCGAUGGUUUUUAAACUGGCGGUGGAACCACCUAUAAGCUGGAAAAGUCAAGAACACACUUUUCCAAACUGUCAAGUAGUGGUACCACUAAAUUGGGUGAUGCUACUACCUAGUGUUAAACUGAUAGAUGGUGGUACCGCUUAAUACCGGCAGUGGUAUCGCUAGUACCCUAAAAACUCGAGAUGAGACCGUUUUGGCUCUAAAUUUGAAUCCAUUUGGGGCAUAUAAAUACUCCACUCAUCUUUGCUCAGUUUACAUGUGAACUGGGAACAAAAACUUGAAAAAACAUUGUUGUAAUCCUUUGAAAGUUCCCCUCCUCUUGUUCUAAGUUUAUAUUUCUAUUUAAGAGAAGGGUGAGUGACUUGUAAAGGUGUUUUCCUAAAAUUGUGAAAGGGAGAAAGGAUUAUAAGAGAGUAGUUGGUUCUCACCUAUUGAAAGAAGACUAUUAGUGAAUGCUGGUGGCCUCAACAAAAGAGAAAUGAGGAGUGGAGGUAAGUCGCAACGAUCGAACUACUAUAAACUCAGUUUGUAUUUCUGUUUUGCUUUUCAAUCUCAUAUUAUAAAUUAAUUUAACUAUCUACUACUCUUACUUGCACUCUAAGUUUAAACACAUUUUCGAUAUGACUUCAUUGAAUGAAAAUUUUCAAACCAUUGAAGUUUUACGAAAGUACUAAUUCACCCCCCCCCCCCUCUUAAUGUUGAAACAAUCCUAAUAGUUGGUAUUAGAGCUAGGUUUUUCUCGUUUGGUUUAACACCCAAGAGAAUGGCCUUUACUGGCAAUAUAGAGUGUCAUUCUAUUAUUAGUCAUAGGUGCCCUACAAGCCAAUCAUGUGAGUGAUGGCAUGUAUGACUUAACACGUAGUCUUUUUGCUUAUUAUAUCUUGGCAUUUUGAUCACUUUAUAUUGCUUGUUGCAUAUAAGCAUAUAUAUAUUGUGAUGUUCAUGGAUUUGUGCAAUGAGGAUUGGAUCGUGAUGAGAUCAUGAUAAUGAAAUCGAUUCGCCUUUAAAUACAAACCUUAAAUAAUCCUAGUCAUAGGUUACUCGAGAGGGAUAUCGAGAUAAUCAGACAGACUGGUGUGAUGUAUACCCGUCUAUAUGAUGGAGGUAGCUGGUUUCAUAGCUACUCUUGUGGGGACAUUAAGGAUAUAGUGCAAGUGCUUAUUAGAGAAUGAGUUCGCUGAUUGAUUCGCUUACGUAAUGUUGGAUGGUUGAUGAUGUCUUAUUGUCAAACAACGAUUUCGUAGUCCUAGUGGUAUACUUGGUCCUUAGACUUGAGAUACCAAGGAUGUCAUAUAUGAGUGUUUCACUCUUUGAUACCAGACUUAUAGGUUUGAAUGUUCUAGAUCUAGCACAAUCGAUCGUCGGAAGUGGCAACAGGGCCAUUGAGUGUCGAUAGAGGAUCAUUCACUCUCAAUGUCAUGAGAGAAAUAUCUCAUUUGUUCUUGCUCAAACAAAUCCCUGGCCAGGGUCAUUCGGAUUGAGAGAGAAAGAGUUCCCCGGGAGAAUCCGAUUAGAUUGAGACUCGAGCAAAAACCAUAUGGAUCUAAUAGUACUAUACCCGGUAUAUGGUCUUUGGGAUAUUAGAUAGAUGAGGUGCUAGUCAUAGGUGUCAUACAAGCCAAUCACGUGAGUGAUGACACGUGUGACUUGACACGUAGUCUUUUUGCUUAUUAUAUUUUUGACAUUUAUCACUUUAUAUUGCUUGUUACAUAUAUGCACAUAUAUAUUAUGAUGUCCUUGAAUCCGUGCAAUGGGAAUCAAAUCAUGAUGAGAUCACGAUAAUGAGACCGAUUUGCUUUUAAACACAAAUCCUAAAUUGUAAUCACCGAUAAUUUUCCCUUAACAUAAAUUAAUUACUAUAAAUGAUAUAUUAUUUUAUUAUUAACUUCUAUAUUUAUGUGCUAUAGUUAAAAAAAUAAUUAAAUUUAAUUUCAUUAAUCACAUGGAUAAGUUAGGAAUUCUACUAAUUAAUUAAAUUAUUAAUUGAUUUAUUUUCUAAUGAGUGAUUUGAUAUUUAGGAAGUAAAUAGUUUACAUUCCAUUUUUGUGUGUGAACUAUAAGAAAUAAAUAUUAUAUUAUUUCUUUGUGUGUGAAAGCAAAAGAAAAAUAAAUUAAAAAUAAAAAUUAAAUUAUUAUUUAUUUUUUCGAGAGAUCUCUUCUCCUAUAUAAAGGGGGCUACUCCUCUUUCAUUCCCCACCAAGCCUAACAAUGGGAGGAUUGAGGAGGAGACUUCCCGAGGAGAUGAUAUCGAGGAAAGGAUAGUUGAGGAGAGGUAGGAUCAUUCCUUUUUUUUAAACUAACUUUGAUUUAUAUUUUGAAAUUUUAUUAUACAUAAUGAUGUUUUAGUUUUAAAAUUCUAUGAUUAAUCAAUAAUAAUUAUUAUUUUGUGAUGUUAGAAUGACUAUUUAAUUUAUAUUGAUCUCUUAAGCUUAAGUGAAUUUUAAUAUUGAUUUAAUUAUUAAAAUUCUUAUUUUUGGAUUAACAUAAUAGUUCUAAUUUAUUUAAUUAGAUAUAUUUAUGAAGAAUUAUAUGUGAAUUUAAGAUCAUGAAUUUAAAGUUUUUAUUGAUGGAUUUGAGUCAUUCUUUAAUAAUUUUAAAUAUUAAAAUUUAAUUUGAUAAGAGGAGUCUAAUUAGGGCUUGAUUUGAGUCAAGUUGAUCGAUCAGAUCGGAUCGACUCAACCUAUGUGGUCAUGUACGACCUAGCUCGUGUGACCAAGUAUAACCGAGCCCAUGUGACUCGACAUGGCCCAACUCGUAGCCAGGCAUGACCUAACCUAUGUGGUUAAAUAUGAUCUAGUCAUAUGUCCAUGUAUGACUUGAUUCAUAUGGUAAGGUAUGACCUAACCAUGUGGUCAGGCAUGGGCCAGCUCAUGUAGCUAGGUACGACCCAAUCUAUGUGGUCAGAUAAAACCCCAACUCAUGUGUCUAGGUACGACCAACUCGUGAGCCAAGCAUGACCUAGUUCAAUGGUAAGGCUCAACCCAACUUAUAAGUGAGGCUUAGCCUAGUACAUGAAGUUAAGCCUACUCAACUAUGUAAUUGACAUUAGACAUACCGUCGCUCCUCUAUCUAGCCUGUUGUACUUAACCUACUUGGAAUAGGCAUGUGCAACGUUUGUGACCUAUCCAAGACUUAGGUGGGUUGGGCUAGCACUAUACGACAUAGUCCAAUUUCCUCUUCCUUAUUAGUUUAAACUUCGCUAAUUGACUAAAUUAGAUAUGUUUGAUCGGUUAAAGUUAGUCUAGCGUGAUUCCAAACUAACUUGACUAAUUCAAAUAUACUUGACCUAAUCGAGAUCAAUCAAAUCUAAAUUAGACCAAUCUAGGGUAAUUCUAAACCUGUUCUAUGAGGAUUUGAGGUUGGUUCCAUUAUAUCAUAAUUGAAUUGAGUUUGGUUUAAAUUAAUUGAGCUAUUCCAAUUAAGGUUUUGGUUGAUUGAGGACUAUUGAGAGAUUGAUAUUUCAUGCCUUUAUGAUUUGAUGAAUUUAAAGGUUUUAUCUAAAGAUGUUAUUUGAAAAUUAUUAUUGGUUUUUGAUUUUCUUGUGUUUAUGAUAUUGAUAUGAUUAGUAUCCUGUAGUAGAUGUGACUAGACUAGUAGUUCACAUUGGGAGUGCAACAUGUGAAAGGAGCUAUGAGCCCAUCAUAGUGCGAAGCCACUAGUGAACAUAGUCUAAUAGAUUCACAUCAAGUAUGGUCUCUCAUACUAUUUAAUUAUAUUGAUUUCUUGAUGUAUGUGUGAGUGAUUGGAAGAGUAUAAAUGAAUGAUCAUGGAUGUUUAUAUAUCCUUGUCGAGGGCAGGUAUGGCGAUUCUCUUCGGAGAUUAGCGAGCUGUCACACGUGAUGAUUAGACGGUUCCUCCAUCCAUUGUUAGGAGGAACGUGUCCCCACUUGGGCAUAUGAGGGAUACCACUUCAUCCGCUGUUGGGUGUGCGAUAUGGAUUAUCUCAAUCCGCUAUUAGGAGGAAUCCAUCCCGUGGAAUAUGCCUCUUCAUCCAUUGUUGGGAGAGUGCACCAUUGGGUGUGAUGUAUUCCUUUGUUAUAUAGUUAUUAUAUAUAUGUUGCAUGUGGCUGAUGCAUGAUUUUUUUUAUUAUGUAAGAAAAUUAUCAUCGUCUUUCUUAUACAUAAGUUUUAUGAUGAAUCAAUAUAUUUUCUUAUUAAAUUAUUAAUAUUUAUUUAUAUUUCAUGAAUAUUGAUGAUUAUUUUUAUGAUCUUUCUGAGGUUCCUACCAGCAUGUGUGGUUGCUGAUAUGUUUUUAUCUUAUAUUUAUUUUUAGAGUAAUCUACUACUAUAUAAUAAAUCUAAUGUUUGGGUGGAAGAGACUUGUGACCCUAUCAAGAAGAUGUGAUCAUUUUUCUAGUUAAUAAAAUAUUUACUAUUGUAAAUAUAAGAAUUUGAAUUCAAAGACAAAUGAAUAAAAAAGAGAGUUUAUUAUGUAAAUUAUGAAUAAUAAAAUAUUAAAUUAUUAUUCUUUUUAUAAAUCCGGGAUGUGACAAAUUUAAUGGUAUUAGAGCAAUGAUUUUUUAGGACCUGUUGGAAUAUAGGAUCCUAAGGUUAGAAUAUUAGAUGACCUAUUUAGUUUUUGAGAUUUAGAUUUUAAGAACUAGAUUAUAAAGCAACUAAAAUACUAAUUUAAGAUAUCAUGAUCAUUUUUUAGUCAAAUAUGAUUUUUUUUAUAAAAAUUAAUUGAUUAAAUAUGUUGGUAAAAAAGAAUCUCGUUAAAUGACUUGAAAUGAGAUUGUUGAAUAAAAGGUUAAAAUUUUAAUAUUUCUCUAAAUUAAAAUAAGUGCCAUAUUAGUUUAUCUUAUAAACUUCAUAAGAUUUUAUAUUUUUUAAUAUGAUUUUUCUAUGAUCCUCUUAUCCCCUUUUUGAAAAGUAGAUUUAGGUUGUUAAUUUUAUUAUAUAAUGUUUAUUUUAUUUUUGAGAUAUAUAUGAUAAAUAAAUAAUAUCAAUUGACUUAGUUAUUCAUGAAGAUUAUAGUAAGUUUUAGUUAUUCUAAUUGUAAAAGUUUUGAUAACUUUAAGUGCAAAAAUUUUAUAGGAUCUUUUAUAAAUAUAAAGUAUUUACUUUUAUAAUUUUUUUUAUUAUAUAUUAUUCUUAAAAUUGAUAUUAGAUUUGAUAUAUGCUAGGAUGGCUUGACAUUAAUAAAAUAUGUGCCUUUGAAGGAAUAAAUUUGAUCAUGUAUUGAUAUUUAAACUUAAUUAUAUAAUAAUUAAUUUAAAUAGAGUUUUGAUUUAAUGUCAAAUUAAUUAUCAUAUAUUAUUUGUUUAAUGCAAUGACGAGUCUAAUGAGAAUUAAAUAUAAUGUUAUUUCUUUGAUACAUAUAAUAUAUAAAUCAUUUGAAAUUAUAAAAGAAUAUAUGUUGAAUAGUUAGAUAAAUUUUCAUAAUUUCAAUUGCUUUUGUUUGUUGAGUUGUGCCUUAACUUAUAUUUUAUGUCAACAAUCAAUUAAAUUUUAAAACUUAAAAAUUUUAUUAACUUAUUAGAUAUAAAAUUUGAUAUACUUGUUAUGGGUAAUCUAAAACCAAAUUCAUUCUAUCCGUUUCAUUAAUUUGUCAUAUAUUUUAUGUUAAAAAAAUAUAUCUUUUUACUUAAAAGUUUUGGAGUGACACAUUAAAUUUGAAUAUUUUUCAAGCUAAUUUAGUUUUAUCGUUUGACUUGGUAUUUCAAAAGCUAACUAUAUUGAUUAAUGUUAUUAUUAUUCAAAUUUAGGGACUAAAUUUCUAUUAAAUGAGGGAGAAAUAUAAUGAUCGAUAAUUUUUCUCUUAACAUAAAUUAAUUACUAUAAAUGAUGUAGUAUUUUAUUAUUAACUUCUAUAUUUGUGUACUAUAGUUAAGGAAAUAAUUAAAUUUAGUUUCCUUAAUCACAUGGAUAAGUUAGGAAUUCUACUAAUCAAUUAAAUUAUUAAUUUAUUUAUUUUCCUAAUGAGUGAUUUGAUAUUUAGGAAGUAAAUAGUUUACAUUCCAUUUUUGUGUGUGAACUAUAAGAAAUGAAUAUUAUAUUAUUUCUUUGUGUGUGAAAGUAAAAGAAAAAUAAAUUAAAAAUAAAAAUUAAAUUAUUAUUUACCUUUCUAGGAGAUCGCAUCUUCUCUUAUAUAAAGGGGGCUACUCCUCCCUCAUUCUCCACCAAGCCUAACAAUGGGAGGAUUGAGGAGAGGACUUCCCGAGGAGAUGAUAUCGAGGAAAAUAUAGCAUUCUUUUUUUUUAACACACUUUGAUUUAUAUUUUGAAAUCUUGAUGUUGAGAUUGUAAAAUUUUAAGAUCCAUAAUGAUGUUUUAGUUUUGAAAUUUUAUGAUUAAUAGAUAAUGAUAAUUAUUUUGUGAUGUUAGAAUGACUAUUUAAUUUAUGUUGAUCUCUUAAGCUUAAAUGAAUUUUAAUAUUGAUUUACUUAUUAAAAUUCUUAUUUUUGGAUUAACAUAAUAGUUCUAAUUUAUUUAAUUAGAUAUAUCUAUGUUUGAAGAAUUAUAUAUGAAUUUAAAAUUUUUAUUAAUGGAUUUGAGUCAUUCUUUAAUAAUUUUAAAUAUUAAAAUUUAAUUUGAUAAGAGGAGUUUAAUUGGGAUCUAACUUGAGUCAAGUUUAUCGAUCAUAUCGGAUCGACUCAGCCCAUGUGGUCAUGUACGACUUAGCUCAUGUGACCAAGUACAACCUAGCCCAUGUGACUCGCCAUGACCCAACCCGUGGCCAAGUAUAACCCAACCCAUGUGGCCAAGCAUGACUCAACCUAUGUGGUUAAGUACGAUCUAGUUUAUAUGGCCAUGUAUGACUCAACUCAUAUGGUAAGGUAUAACCUAAUCAUGUGGCCAAGCAUGGGUCAACUUAUGUAGCUAGGUACGACAUAGUCCAUAUGAUUAGAUACGACCCCAAGUCAUGUGUCUAGGUAUAACUAACUCGUAAGCCAAGCAUGACUUAGUUUAAUGGUAAGGCUCAGCCCAACUGAUAAGUGAGGCUUAGCCUAGUUCAUGAAGUUAAACCUGCUCAACUAUGCGAUUGGCAUUAGAUAUAUCUUACUCCUCUAUCUAGCCUAUUGUACUUAACUCAACCUACUUGGAAUAGGCAUGUGCAACGUAUGUGACCUAUCCAAGACUUAGGUGGGUUGGUUAGGUUUGGGCUAGCAUUUUACAACAUGGUCCAAUUUCCUCUCCCUUAUUGGUUUGAACUCGUUAAUUGACUAAAUUAGAUAGGUUUGAUAAGUUAAAGCUAGUUUUGGAUGAUUUCAAACUAACUUGACUAAUUUAAAUCUACUUGACCUAAUCGAGAUCAAUCAAAUCUAAAUUAGACCAGUCUAGGGUGAUUCCAGACCGGUUCUAUGAGGAUUUGAGGUUGGUUCCAUUAGAUCAUAAUCAAAUUGAGUUUAGUUUAAAACAAUUGAGCUAUUUCAAUUAGGGUUUUGGUUGAUUGAGGACUAUUGAGAGAUUGAUGUUUCAUGCCUUUAUGAUUUGAUAAAUUUAAAGGUUUUAUCUGAAGAUGUCAUUUGAAAAUGAUUAUUAAUUUUAUAUUUUCUUGUGUUUAUGAUAUUGAUAUGAUUAGUAUCAUGUAGUAAAUGUGACUAGACUAGUAGUUCACAUUGGAAGUGCAACCUGUGAAAGGAGCUACGGACCCAUCAUAUUGCGGAGCCACUAAUGAACAUAGUCUAGCAUAUUCACAUCAAGUAUUCUCUCAUAAUAUUUAAUAAUAUUGAUCUAUUGAUGUAUGCAUGAGUGAUUAGAAGAGUGUCAAUGAAUGACCAUGAAUGUUUAUGUAUCCCUGUCGAGGGCAGGUAUGGCGAUUCCCUUUAGGGAUUAACGAGCUGUCAGACGUGAUGAUUAGACGGUUCCUCCAUCCACUAUUGAGAGAAAUGUGUCCCCACUUAGGCGGAUGAGAGAUACCACUCCAUCGGAGUGCGAUAUGGAUUAUCUCCAUCCAUUGUUGGGAGGAAUCCAUCCCGUAGAAUAUGCCUCUUUAUCUGCUAUUGAGAGAGUGUACUAUCGGACGUGAUGUACGCCUUUGUUAUAUAGUUAUUAUAUAUGUGUUGCAUAUGAUUGAUGCGUGAUUUUAUUUAUUAUGUAAUAAAAUUAUCAUCGUCUUUAUUAUGCAUAAGUUUUAUGAUAAAUCGAUAUAUUUUCUUAUUGAAUUAUUAAUAUUUAUUUAUAUUUCAUGAAUAUUGAUGAUUAUUUUUAUGAUCUUUCUAAGGUUCCUACCAGUAUGUGUGGUUGUUGAUAUGUUUUUAUCUUAUAUUUAUUUUCAGAGUAAUAUACUAUUGUGUAAUAGAUUUAAAGCUUGGAUGCAAGAUACUUGUGACCCUACCAAGAAGAUGUGGUCAUUUUUCUAGUUAAUAGAAUAUUUACUAUCGUAAAUAGAAUUAUUUGAAUUCGAAUAAAAAAAAAGGGAGUUGAUUAUGUAAAUUAUGAAUAAUAAAAUAUUGACUUAUUAUUCUUUUUAUAAGGGUAGAUCCAUUAGGGUUAAGUUGGAUGUAAAAUAUUGACAAAAGGUAGCUGGAUGGAGAUCCAAUACCCAAUAGGGUGGAUCCAUUAGGGUUAAGUUGACAGGGGACCUCUAUAAAUAGGAGGGAAUUAGUGGUUUAUAGGCUAGUACCUUUUUGGUUUGCCUCUCCUAUUCUCUUCCCCCUCUCCACCUCAAAGCAAGCUUGGAGUUUUGAGGAGCAUCGUCGCAGCCCUACUAUAUUGAUCACUACUAGAGAGGAGGGCACUUGACCUCCUUCACCCUCUCCUAGAGAUCUGUAGGGAUUCAGGGAUAUACGAUCUUCCUAGGUAACAUAACUAUCUCACAUAUGGUUUUUUGUGUCGCGGGUUAUUGCGCAUCAAUCUUCACACGAUGACAAACACAUAUUUGAGAAUUUUCGAUUUUUCUUUUUUAUGUUCUUCCGAUGCGCAUGUGAUGUCGCCCCAAGAUUUUCCAACAGUGGUAUCGGAAUCAGGUUGUUCAUGCGAAAGAUUGGUUUUGAACUGCGUGUGUUAUAUUUUGGAGAAGCUUCUAAUGUCAAAAUCGUUGAUGCAAAAGCGAGAAAGGACAGCAACUGUUGCUGCCCUCACAUAUGGUAGCGCUGCCAUCUACAUGCAGGCUCCUAGCUGAUAGUCGACGGGCACUGCACGCGAGCACGGCUGCUCGUAGUGGCGCCCGCACGUAGGGCCGUAAGCAUGGCGGCCACCUGCGUGCAGGCUCUACGCCCGCUCGCAAGGGCGGUCGCAGCAUGCAGGGGGAAGAGAGGUGUUAGGGUUUUGGCCAAAAGAUAGUUUUGCCUGUCGAAAUUUUAGAAAUUCUAAGUUCUAUCCUUUGUUCAAAUUAUGAAAAUACCCCUCAUAAAUCAAAAAAUUCCUUGCAUAUCCUUGAUUUUAAAAAAUAUUAAUUAAUUAAAAAGUUUACUUGAUUAUUAUUUUUAUUAUUAUCUAGUAGUCCUACAAAAUAGUAUUUACAUGUGAUGUAUAAUGUGUGGACGGAUGAUCAUGGACCAUGUGAUGUGUACUUGUGAUUAUUAUUAUUGAGGCCUGCGAGUCUCUAUUUUAUUUCUCAUUUAUUAUCGGGCCUAUGUGCCUAUGAUUAAGUUGUAAUCACACGAGGAGAUGCAGCGGGAGCGUGGAAGUGAUAGUGGGACCCAUAAGAUAGACGAUCGUGAUGCAUGAUGAUGCGUCGAGAUGCCGACGGAAUCGACGAGAACGAGAUUGAUGAUCACAAGACAUGGAGAUACACCAUUACACACAUAGAUCUUGAUGUGAGUGAUUAGAAACCCACUAGCUCGGGCCUAUUCACUCUAGGCUGUGGUCCAUGAUCAUCUAGUGUGAUUUCCUAUACACAUACUAGAUAUGUAUAUAUAUUUGCAUGCGAUGUUGAUAUAUAUUAAAUAUGUAUGUGUGUAACAUGUUACAUUAGGAGACCAAAUCAAAAUCCCCUCUCAAUAAUAUUAAGUCGGUAAACAUGAGGCAAUUAGAUUGACCCACGUGGCCUUCCAUCGUUAUAGGUAGGGACCGAUUCUCGGUGUAGGUUGGGUUAGUUGAGUCCCUCAAAGCUCACCUAUAUCGCGAUUUACUAUCUUGCCUACGACAUAGAGAUGUCACCGGUGAUCUAAUGACAUGUUAUGCUUGGUCGAGUCCCUCGAGGGUAUAUCAUCGAAUCAGAUUUAUUAUGUAACGAUGGUGUUGACAUAACCGAAUAUCAUGGUUGGUCGAGUCCCUCGAGACCAUGGUGAUUCGAAGGCCGAACAGGAUGGGAAUCACAAGAAGUUAUGAUCGGCAAGAGUUGCUUACCUUUUGGGCUUAGUGUGAUUAGUCGAGUUGCUCGAGGUUACACUAAGAUGCUGAUUAGAUCCCGAUUCCCACUAGAAGUCUAUCGAAGACUUCCGUUUGACGUGCUGAGAGUGUCACUUGUCUCGCCAGUAAAAUAGUCAGAGUAUAUUAAGAUAGAAGUCCAUAUCUUGAUUGUUUAUUUUUAUAAAAUCUGUAUGUUAUUUAUUUAUGCUACAUCUUUAUUUUCAGAAAAUGUGGCUUUCAAAUCUUUUACGUGUCAAACUUGAUGUUAAUCGCUUUACUAGUCUAAAUUAUAUAGAUUGGCUCCGCAACUUGAGAAUUGUUCUCACGGUGAAGAAAAUCACAUACGUCCUUGAUACAGUGAUGCCUACGCCCGAGGAAGGGGCAAGCAAGGAUGAGAUCGCUUGUUACGUGAAGUACAUUGAUGACUCCACUCUUGCUCAGUGUUACAUGUUGGGCCCCAUGACUCCUAAGUUAUAGGGAUAACAUGAAAAGAUGGAUGCCAGAUCCAUUCUCUUACAUUUCGACAAACUGUUUAAGGAACAAGGAAGGACCGAACGAUAUUAGAUAUCCAAGAGCCUCUUCCACGCAAGGAUAACUGAGGGGACACCGAUUCGGAACCAUGUCCUAAAGAUGAUUGAGUGGAUAGGAAAAUCGCAUGUCUAGGAAUGGUCCUAGAGGGUAACAUAUGUGUGGAUCUUAUGCUUCAGUCCCUACUAGAUUCUUUUUCAUAGUUCAUAAUAAAUUUUAAUAUGAACAAGCUUGAGGUGACUCUCCCUAAGCUCCUCAAUAUGUUGGGGGGUAGAGGGCACUAUCAAAAAAGAGAAGUCAGUUCUCUACACUAGUGAAACCAGAAUGAAAAGGAAAGUAGAAAACUCCCUUAAGAAGGGCAAGGGCAAGGACAAACCAAGUAAAAUAAAAGUUGCUAAGAAAGACCCGGUAAAGGAUAAAAACCAAUGCUUCUACUGCCACUAAUAUGAGCACUGGAAGAGGAACUUCAAAAGGUACCUUGCAGAGAGAGCGAAACAAAAGCUUGGAGAAGCUUCAGGUACAUUCAUGAUUAGUCUCUAAUUGUCAUAUUUUUAUGAUAGUGCAUUGGUAUUGGAUAUCGGUAUUGCUUAUCACAUCUUCAAUUUGUGGUAGACUCUAGCAAAGUCUAAGAGAUUGGCGAGAGGAAUAUUGCAUAAUGGUUUGUUUAUGCUAGACAUUAUUCCACAUAUCAUGAAUAUAGGUAUGUCCAAGAGGAAAUAAGAUGAGGUAAAUAGUGCAUACCUAUGAUAUUGUAGACUAGGUCACAUCCAUGAUAGAAGGAUUCGAAAGUUAUUAAAGGAUGGAUAUCUAGAUCCAUUCGACUAUGAGUCAUAUGCCUUACGAGCUUUGUCUUCAUGGAAAAUUGACCAACUCUCUAUUUAGUGGAACCAGAGAAAGAGCCAAUGAGCUAUUGGAACUCAUACAUAGUGAUGUAUAUGAACCCAUUUCAACUCAUGUCAUUGGAGGUUACUCCUACUUCAUUACCUUUAUUGAUGAUUUCUCAAGGUAUGAACAUAUGUACUUAAUGAAGUACAAGUUCGAGGCCUUUGAGAAAUUCAGAGAGUAUAAGAAUGAAGUGGAGGACCAGAUUGGAAAGAGUAUCAAGACUCUUCGAUCAGAUCUAGGAUGUGAGUACUUAAGUACAAAGUUUACCCAGUUCCUCAAGGACCAUGAGAUUCUAUCCCAAUGGACACCUCCUUAUACACAUCAACUCAUUGGUGUAUUUAAAAGGAGGAAUCGUACACUGUUAGACAUGGUACAGUCCAUGAUGAGUUUCGCUGACCUAUCUAUCUCAUUCUAAGGAUAUGCCAUAGAGACUGCAGCUUACCUUCUGAACAUAUUCCAACUAAGUCAAUAGUGUCUACACCAUAUAAGAUAUGGAAAGGGAAGAAGCCCGAUCUUAAGGUUGUUAAUAUUUGGGGCUGCCGGUCAUAGGUUACUCAAGAUAGAUUCGCCUUUAAACACAUAUCCUAAAUAAUCCCGGUUAUAGGUUACUCGAGAGGGACAUCGAGAUAAUCGAACAGACUAGUGUGCCGCAUAUUCAUCCAUAUGAUGGAUGCAUCUGGUCUCAUAGCUGCUCACGUGGGAACACUAGGGAUACAAUACAAGUGCUCAUUGGGGAAUGAGUUCAUUGAUUGAUCCGCUUAUGAAAUGCUGGAUGGUUGAUAAUAUCUUAUUGUUAGACAGUGAUUUCAUAGUCCUAGUGGUAUAUCUAGUCCUUAGACUUGAGAUACCAAGGAUAUCUUGUAUGAGUACUCUACUCUUUGAUACUGGACUUAUAGGUCUGGAGGUUCCAAAUCUAGCACAAUCGGUCAUCGGGAGUGGUAGCCAACUUUAUGAGGACUAUUGAGUGUCAAUAGAGGAUCAUCCACUCUCGGUGUUAUGAGACAAAUAUCUCAUAUAUUCUUGCUUAAAUAAAUCCUUAGCCAAGGUCAUUCGGAUUGAGAGAGAAAGAGUUCUCCGAAAAAAUCUGAUUAGAGCGAGACUCGAUUAGAAACCGUAUGAGUCUGACAACACCAUGCCUGGUAUACGGUCUAUAGGAUAUUAGAUGAAUGAGGGACUAUAGGUAUAUGGUAACUGAGGACAGACAGGUCCAAUGGAUUGGAUUCCCCUAUAUCGUCUAGGGACUACGACGUAGUGGCCUAGUACGUCCGUAGUCAAUGAGUCAAGUGAAUUAUUAUGAAGAUAAUAAUUCACUGAGCCAGAAGGAGUUCUGACAGGUAUAACUCAUGGCAAGCUCGAUAUUGGGCCCAGAGGGUCACACACAUAUGGUAGGCAUUACGAUAAGUGGAGAUUCAGAUAUGAGAUAUCUGCUAGAGCCCCCUAUCUUAUUGGUUAUCCAAUAAACCCUUAAAUUAUUAGAUCCUAUGGAUGAGAUCUAAUAAGAGCCCAUGAGAGAUUAUUGGAUAGAGAUCCACUAAUCUAAGAGGUUUGGGUAGUUGGAUUGAGAUCCAAUACCCAAUAUGACAGGAUCCAUUAGGGUUAAGUUAAUAGGGGACCUCUAUAAAUAGGAGAGAAUCAGUGGUUCAUAGACUAGAGCCUUUUUCGUUUGCCUCUUCUAUUCUCCCUCCCCUCUCCACCUUAGAGUAGGCCUAGAGUUUUGAAGAGCAUCGUCGCAGCCCUACUAUGCGGAUCAUCGCUAGAGAGGAGGGCACUUGACCUCCUUUACUCUCUCCUAGAGAUCUAUAGAGAUUCAGGGAUAUACGAUCUCCCUAGGUAACACAACUAUCUCACACGUAGUUUUCCGUGUCGUGGGUUUUUGCGCACCAAUCUUCGCACGACGACGAACACAUAUUUGAGAAUUUGGGGAUUUUAUUUUUUAUGUUCUUCCACUACGCAUGUGAUGUCGUCCCCAAGAUUUCACAACAUGAGGAACUAUAGAUAUAUGAUAAUUGAGAUAGACAUGUCUAAUGGAUUGGAUUCCCCUGUAUUGUCUGGGGAUCAUGGCGUAGUGGCCUAGUACGUCCGUAGUCAAUGAGUCGAGUGAAUUAUUAUAAAUAUAAUAAUUUACUAAGCCAGAAGAAAUUCUGACAUGUAUGACUCAUGGCCAACUCGAUAUUGGGCCUAGAGGGUCACAUACAUAUGGUAGGCGUUGCGAUGAGUAGAGGUUCAGAUAUGAGAUAUCCGCCAGAGCUCCUAUCUUAUUGGAUAUCCAAUAAGCCCCUGAAUUAUUGGAUCUUGUGGAUGAGAUCCAAUAAGAGCCCAUAAGAAAUUAUUGGAUAGAGAUCCACUAAUCUAAGAGGCUUGGGUAGUUGGAUGGAGAUCCAAUACCUAAUAAGGCAGGAUCCAUUAGGGUUAAGUUGAUAGGGGACCUUUAUAAAUAGGAGGGAAUCAGUGGUUCAUAGGCUAGAGCUUUUUGGUUGUCUCUCCUAUUCUUCUCCCCUUCUCCUCCUUAGAGUUGGCCUGGAUUUUUGAGGAGCCUCGUCGUAGCCCUGUUGUGUGGAUCACCAUUAGAGAUGAGGGCCCUUGACCUCUUCACCGUCACCUAGAGAUCUGUAGGGAUUCAUGGAUAUACAAUCUCCCUAGGUAACAUAAUAUAUCUUAUAUGCAAUUUUAAGUUUCGCGGAUUUUGCGCACCAAUCUUCGCAUAACAAUGAACACAUAUUUGAGAAUUUGAGGAUUUUGUUUUUAUGUUCCUCCGCUGCGCAUGUGAUGUCGCCCCCAAGAUUAUCCAAUAUCUAUCACUCGUCAUCCUAUGUUUAAUGGGAUGGACUACAGAUAUUAAAAAACACGAAUGAGAGUUUUCUUACUUUUUAUGAACUUUGAUUUAUGAAAUAUUAUCGAAUAUGAUUUUUAACAAUCCUCUAAACCUAUGAACAAAUGAAAUUAUUUUGAGAAAAAUAUAUUUUCGUUAAAUGCUAAAGUUGUGAAUGCUUUGUUUUGUGUUUUAUAUAAAAAUAAAUUUAAUCAUAUUUUGAUAUGCAAAACUAUAACAUUUGACACACUAUUGAAAUUACACAUGAUGGCACAAGUAAAGUUAAAGAAUCUAAAAUCAAUCUUUUAAUACAUAAUUUUGAAUUGUUUUGAAUGAAACCAAGUAAAACCAUUGAAGAUAUGUACACUCAUUUUACGGAUGUAUCAAUGGUUUAAAAAUACUUGGUAAAAGUUUUUCUAACCUUGAACUUGUAAAUAAAAUACUAAGAUCCUUUCUAAAAAGUUGGGAUCCAAAAGUGACGGUAAUACAAGAAGCAAAGGACUUGAAUAAUUUUACUCUUGGAGAAUUUAUUGGGUCUUUAAUGACCUAUAAAAUGACUUAUAUGACAUGAUGAAUAUGAGAACAACCUUCCAAAGAAUAAGAAGGAUUUGACACUUAGAAUCAAAUAAGACCACUUGGGAGAAAACUCAAGUGAUGAUGAUGAUGAUGACCUUGAACUCCUCAUAAUAAAAUUUAAGAAGUUUAUAAAACAAGAAUCUAAGAAUAAAAAUAAACUUAAAAAUGAUAAAAUAACUUGUUAUGAAUGCAAUCAGCUAAGGCACUUCAAGAGUGAAUGUUCGCAACUGAUGAAGAAGAAGCUGCCAAAGAAAAAGAAAACAUUCAAGGCGACAUGGAACAAAUCAAGUACAUCCGAAGAUAAGGAGCAAACCAACAAAGACAAGGUGGUGAACUACACUUUGAUGGGUCUCGAUAACAAGGUGACUCAACCAAACCCCUUUACCUUACUAUGAAAUUACUUAAUACAUUUCAUAAGUUAUUUCUAAAUUAGUUAGUAAGAAAUAUAAAAUAUAAAAAAGUGGGAAGGAUCCUGCUAGUGAUUUAAAAAAUAAAUAUGAGCAUGGCAAUUGCAUGUUAACUCCUUGCACUAGGUAUAAAGAGUUAGAUUUACUUAAAGAAGAAAAAUGUAUUACUAUAAUAAAUAAUAAUAAAAAUCAUUGGAAUUAAAAUAAUUAUUAACAAAUCAAAAUUUUUAUUAAAGAUAUUAUAAUGUGCUAUACUAUUGAGAUUAAUGAUUGUGAUGAAACUUAUUUUUUGUUUUCAAACAAUGAUGUAAUGCUAGGGCAUGUUUAUAAGAAAUCAAUCACAUAAAUCGAAACAAACAACAAAAGUGGAAUGCAUUUUUGUUGAAAAUUUCUAUAAAACUUUUCUUUUUUUUUUUCAACAAGAGAUCGUGAGUGAUGAAUCUAUGUAUGUUGUUUUGAAUCUCUUGAACUAUGAAAGUGAUUUUGAUGAUUUGAUGAUUUGAAUUUGAAUGCAUUUUAUCCAAAUCAUGAUUUCUCUUUUGAUUUAUCAAAAUUAUAACUUGAGAUUUAUUCUAUAUGAAUCAAGAUCUUUUAUUUCCUAUGCUUCUUUUUGCUAAAGAGAAUAUUUAUGAAUCAUGAUUUUUCUCUUAAUUUCUCAAAAUUCAUGAUUUAAGAUUUCCUUUAAAAAUCACCUAUUAUUUGAUCUCCUAUGAUUUUUUUUAUUUACAAAAGAAGAGAUUUGUCAAAAUGAAUCAUGACUUGAUCCUUCGUAAUCUUUAAUAUUAAUAUCUUUUAUGUCAUGAUUUUUGUAUGUAUAAUUCUUUUGUAUUUAUGAUUGUAUGCCUUAUGUUAUGUUUGAAAAUUUAUAUAAAGGUUAAAUAUUUAUCACAUUGUAUUAUUCCCUUCCUUUUGAUAAUGACAAAGGGGGAGAAAGUCUUGCUUGCAUAUUGUAAAGAAAGGAAAACUUGCUAGCUUGUACAUCUCAAAAGAGAUUACUAGCUUGCACAUUUCAAAGAGAAAAAAACCUUGCUAGCUUGCAUAUCUAAAAUGAGAAGCAAAGUUUGCUAGCUUGCAUAUCUCAAAAGAGAAGCAAUAAUUGCUAGUUUGCACAUCUCAAGAGAAGCAGAAUUGUUAGCUUAUAUAUCUCAAAAGAGAAGUAAGAAUUACUAGCUUGUACAUCUCAAGAGAAGCAAAAUUGCUAAACUUGAACAUCUCUAAAAAAAUUAAGCUUGUGCAUUUCAAUAACUUGCUAGAUACACUUUUCUCUUUUUUUGUUGAUGACAAAGGGGGAGAAGUAAUGAUAAUUUGAAAUGUUUCAUAUUUUUGUAUCAUGCAUGAAGUAAUGAUGAUUUCAAAAUUAAUCGUUUUGGCAUCAUACCCAAAGUGAAGAUGAUUUGUAAUAUUUUGGAAUUGUGCAUGUUAUACCUUGAUGACUUGAAACUAUAUUUAAAUAAUGAUGCAUGAUAUAUGAAAUUUUGAUAUAUGUUGCAUAUGUUUCACUUGAAUUCAAGGUUAUUAUAUCUUUUGAAUUCAAGUUUGCUUUAUUUUAAUAUAGCAUAUAUAUAGGGAGAGUUAAGGUUAACUUAAUCAUCAAUUGGUUGCCAUCAUAAAAAAGGGAGAGAUUAUUGAAUAUCAGAUUUUGAUGAUGAAAUCAAUUUAUGAGUUUAUGAUUUAAUCCAUAUUUUGAUAAAAGUGACGUAGGAUUAUCUUCGAUCAUACAAAGAUAAAUUGAUUAAAAUAAGAAGAAUCAGAAGUUGGGCCGGAAUAAAACGUGUCAGAAGAUUGAACGUCAGGUCGAAGGAUUGGUCGACAUGCUAGUAGAAGAACUUCGUGUUAUAAGUUCGGGCAUCAGGAUGAAGGAUUGGAUAUUGCACUAAGGAAAUUGGAAGUUGCGGAAGGUUAACAUACCGAUUGGGCAUUACGCCAAAGGAUAGUUCGAAAUGUCGAAGGAUCGGACAAAGUGUCGGAUGAACCAAUGACAUGCCGGACAAAUGAUUCAUGCUUUGUAAUCAUUUGUCUAUAUCGAAGUAGUUUAUGGGGCUAAAUGAGUUAGCUUUUGGUGUAAUCAUUUUAACUUAAUUAGGGGCCAAUUGAACUUAAAUUGGGAUUGAUUUAGGCUCAUUGGGAGGCUCAUUUAAUGACCCAAAAGUUGAGUCAAGCGGUAGCACCACCAAACUGGCGAUGACACUACUAAACUGGCAGUGGAACUACAUAUGAGCUGGAAAAGUCAAGAAUACACUUUUCUAGACUAUCAAGAGGUGGUACCAUGCAGUGUUAAUGUGUUAGGCGCUGGUACCGCCUAGUGUCAGACUGACAAGCGAUGAUACCGCCAGCACCCUGAACUUGGGAUGAGACUAUUUUGACUCCAAAUUUUAAUCAAUUCGAGGUAUAUAAAUAUCUCAUUCAUCCAUGCUCGGUUUACACAUGAACGAACAAAGACUUGAAAAAAUACUAUUGUAAUCAUUUGAGAGUUCUCCUCUUCUUGUUCAAAGUUUAGAUUUCAAUUUAAGAAAAUUAUGAGUAAUUUGUAAAGGUUUUCUCCUAAACCUGUGAAAAUGAGAGAGGGUUAUAAAAGGACAGUUAAUCUUCACCCAUUGAAAGAAGACUGUUAGUGAACACCAAUGACCUCGACGGAAGAGGACGUAGGUUGCGAUGACCGAACCAUUAUAAACUCAGUUUGCAUUUCUAUUUUGCUUUUUAUUCUUAUAUUACGAAUUGAUUUAACUGUCUACUACUCUUAUUUGUACUUUAAAUUUAAAUACAUUUUUGAUAUGGUUUCAUCAAACAAAUAAUUUUAAACUGUUAAAUUUUUACUAAAGAAUUAAUUCAUCCCCUCUUUUAGCAUCGAAACGAUCCUAACAUCAUCCUCCAAUGGUUUGAAGGUUGAGUGAAGCAAUCGAGUCUUUCUACAAAUAAGUCUCGGAAGUUGAUAUCGUCUAUCGGUCCUUUCUUAAUGUCUCAUUCUAACUCACCUCGUGAAGGGGGAAACCGAGAGAUUUUGUCACUGUUUUGGUUGCCUUCUUUCUCUCUCUCUUAACCGUUGUUUACCUUUUCUGUCUUCUUUAAUACAUAAUUAAUACAUAUAUAUGUUUCUAAUUUUAUUGGAUAUGCAUAGAUAAUAUUUUGAGAGGACACUACAACUCAUCCAUUUAUCGAGUUCUCACAUUGUUUAAAUAUUUUUUAUAUGUCGUAGAACCAUAAGGGAAUGCUUAAUAUAUGAGAGAAUUGGAUGGGUGGAUAAUAAAUAAGAAAGAACAAAAAUGGAGAGAAAAUGAGAAAAUUUGAUUAUUAGAAAUUUUAGAUUAAGUAAUAAAAAACGAGUGUUAGAAUUUAAUAUGUGCCAAAAUGGUCAAAUAAGAGGGCUUUGAUCGUUGCACCGAUGCAUCUCCUUCCACAACCACAGCAAGACCAAUUUGUCUGCAUACAAAGUAAGAAGUGGAGAUUCUCAUACGCCACCAUCUGGGACACCCAAUCCAAACCCACAUUAAAUGGACAUGAGAGAUCAAUCUCCACCUACAUCCGGACCAAUUUCUCAUGUUCAAAUUUCAGCGAUCAAUUAUAUAUUCCAACAAUAGAUAUUUGAGCAUAGUGAUACAGUGUAGAGUGGAUUAAUUUAGAUCUUUUAUUGUGUAAUAAUUCAAAAUGAGUAAAUUGUAUCUAUUUUAAUUGUCAUAUAAAGUAAUUUGUUGAGUUAUGCUUGUGUGAUCCCAGUUUGUUGUUUAAUAAAACAAUUACAAUAAUUUACUCAUACAUUUGCUUUUUCACCAACUUAUUUUUUGUUUUGCAAUAUCUUAGAGAUUGCUUGAGGUUUCAGUAAGGCCGUUCAAUUAUGAUUAUAUGUUGCAAGGGUGUUCUAAGACCCCAAUAGUAUUAGUUAAUUCCAUGAUAUAUGGUAUCCUCUCUUUCAAAAUAAUUUAUUAUUUAUAAUCAAAUUAUUAUUUUAAUAGACCUUGCCCUUCAUAUACACUCAAAUUACACACCUAAAACACAUUAUAAUGUAAAAAUUGGAUGAUUCUAGUUUUAAUAAAUGUUAGAGAGGAUACAAACUUUCAUUCUCAACAAGUGGAUCAAUGAUUUUUUAUUUUUCAACAAAGAUAAGUAACAAAAGUGGGAUUGGGAUCUUAUAAUAAUUUGUUAAAGUCCUUUCUAGCUUAGUUAGUUGACAUCUUCAAAAAAUAUUUUAGAUGAAGUUUUAAACCCUCAAUCUUUGAUGAGUUGAUCUGGUACACCACCACUAAAUUAGUGUUUAAGAUGUAAAAAAAUAUUAGAUGAGGUUUCAAACUUGAUAAAUUAGUUUGGUACACUACUCUCGAAUUGUCGAUCUUUGAUAACUGAUUGAUAAAUUGUUCUAAGUAAAAUGGAGUCUCUUUUAUUCAAUUAUUUUUUUAUAAGAGAUAAUCGAUGAAGAUAUAUUUAAUAUCAUAAUGUUGUUAUCAAUAGUCACAAUCUUUACCGAUUGGGUUAGCCAAUAUUUUCUAAGAAUAUUGACAUUUUGAAUACUCAACACUUGGUAAGUUGAUCUUCUCACUUUUCAAUCCUGUAUUGAUUGGAUGAUUCUAAUUCAGAAUCAAGUUGGUGAGGUCUCCAUGUGCAUGCAGAUGCUAACUGUUCCAUCAUAUACCAAUAUGAGUGUUGGGCUGACAGCCCAUGUUCAGUCCAUUGUGGGCUUUAUCAGUUUAUAGUCUACACCCCUUUGAUCUAACUCUAAAUCAAUAUAAGGGGGGUAUGGUGGCUGCGUUUUGAGGUGAAGGUGGCUGCAUUUUUUUGGAAGAAAAACUACAGCAACGCAGACAUCCUUGCAGCAGCAAAAAGGAGAAGAAAAAGACAGAAAAACAAGAGAAAGAGAAAGGAAAAAAAAACAAAGACAACGCAGAGAGACCGUUCUCAAUCAUCUAGCAGUGUUCUCAUCUCAGGUUAGAUCAAAUCUACAGUAGACUCUUGUUGUGAUUACUUGAGAGGUUUUAGAUAUUGAGGAUAGUGACGUAAUUCUUAUAUCACAAUUAUUCUCUUGUGAUUGUUGCUAGGGUUUAGGGCAAGAGAUUGAGAUUUGUAUAUUCAUUAUUCUCAUAGUGGAUUAUCUCUAGUUUGCCCCGUGAUUUUUACCCUUCACAUUGAAAGGGUUUUCCACGUAUAUCUUGGUGUUCUAUUUGAUUGUGGCUCCAUUUAAUUCCGCUGCAUGUUAUGGCCUGCUAGUAUUUAUUCAUAUACAAAAGUUAUUUCUCUUUGUAUCCCCAUCAACUGGUAUCAGAGUAGGGUUAUAGUGAUUUAAUUUUGUAUUAGAACAUGGAGGCCAAUAGUGUUUCUCGCAUAAUUAGUUUAAAUAGAAACAAUUGGAUGAUAUAAAAAUCAAGAAUGGAAGAUCUCUUAUAUUGCAAUGAUUUGUAUGGACCUUUGUAGGGGAAUAAUGCAAAACCCAUAACUAUGACAGAUGAUGAGUGGAAGAGGUUAGAUCGAAAAACAGUUGGGUUUAUUUGACAAUGGCUUGAUGAUAAUGUUUUUCACCAUGUUUCUACUGAAAGUUCUACAUAUUCUCUUUGGAAAAAAUUGGAAAGUCUCUAUGAAAGAAAAAUAAUUGGCAACAAAGCUUUUUUAAUCAGAAAACUUGUAAACCUAAAAUAUAGAGAGGGUACUUCUAUUGCUGAGCAUUUGAAUGAAAUGUAAAGUAUUACUAACUAGUUAUCUUCCAUGAAAAUGUCUCUUGAUGAUGAGUUAUAGGCAUUGUUACUUCUCAGUUCAUUAUCAGAAAGUUGGGAGACACUAGAGGUUUCCCUCAGUAAUUCUGCACCAGAUGAUGUUAUCACCAUGAGUCAAGUAACAAGCAGUUUGUUGAAUGAGGAGUUGAGGAGAAAGAAUUCAGCAACAUCUCAGAAUGAUUUACAAGCACUUAUCUCAGAGAAUAGAGGAAGUUCAAAGUCUAGAAGCAGUUCACGCAUAGGUAGGAGCAAGCCAAGAUCAAGAAAAGAUAUUGUUUGCUAUAACUAUGGUGAGAAAGGACAUUACAAGAACCAAUGUAAGCAACCUAAGAAGAGCAAGAAAAAUGGAAAAGAAGUAAAGUCUACAGAGUUAAAAGAUAAUAUCACAGCUAUAGUGUAGGGUGAUGAUUAUUUGAUUUUAUCUUCUUCUGAUAAUAUUUUUUCUUGUGUGUGUUAGGAUCUUGAGUGGGUGAUUGACACAGGUGCUUUUUAUCAUGCUACACCACGAAGGGAGUUUUUUGCUACAUACAAGUCUAGAAAUUUUGGUGUUGUCAAGAUAGGCAGCUAUGGCACAGCAGACAUCAUUGGCAUGGGUAAUAUCCACAUAAAGACCAACCUUGGCUGUAAGUUAGUGCUUAAGGAUGUGAGGCAUGUAGUUGACUUGAGGCUGAAUUUAAUUUUAGUUGGAAGACUAGAUGAUGAAAACUAUGAAUGCAGAUUUCACAGAGGGCAAUGGAAGCUCAGUAAGGGUUCUCUUAUUGUGGCUAGUGGAAAGAAAUGUCAUACUUUGUACAGGUUGCAGGCUAAAGCUUAUUGUGAGCAGCUAAAUUCUACAGAGAAAGAUUUCAGCAUGGAGUUGUGGCAUAGACGAUUGGAACACAUGAGUGAGAAGGAGCUGCAAGCUCUUUCCAAGAGAGAGGUAUUACCAGAUCUCAAAGGUAUACAUUUGAACCCUUAUAUUGAUUGUUUGGUUGGUAAACAACACAGAGUUUCAUUUCCUAGUCCUGCUAUGUCUAGAAAAAUACAUGCCUUAGAUCGUGUUUAUAUAGAUGUAUGUAGUCCUUUGAAGACAAAAACUCAUGAUGGAUCUGUUGAUGUUUCUGGUAUAAGUGGUGCACUUUAUUUUGUCACUUUUAUAGAUGAUUUUUUCAAGAAAGUUUAGGUCUAUGCUUUGAAGACCAAAGAUCAGGUGAUUAAUAUCUUUAAAGAGUUUCAUGCUAGGGUGGAAAGGGAGACAGAAAGGUAAUUGAAAUGUAUAAGAUCAGAUAAUGGUGGUGAGUAUACAGGAUUAUUUAAUGAUUAUUGCAGAUCACAUGAGAUCCAACAUGAGAUGACAGUUCCUAGUACACCUCAGCAUAAUGUAAUUGUAGAGAGGAUAAACCACACUAUCAUGGAAAAGAUCAUAAGUAUGCUUUCACAGGCCAAGCUACCCAAAAGGUUUUGGGAUGAGGCUUUGAGGACUGCAGUUGAUGUGAUCAACUUAUCACCAUGCACAACCCUAGAUAGUGAUGUUGCAGAGUAUGUAUGGUCAAGGAAAGAUAUUUCCUACAAGCAUUUGAGAGUAUUUGGUUGUCGUGCAUUUGCACAUGUUCCAGAUAAUGAGAGGUCCAAGCUGGAUGGGAAGACUAAAGAAUGUAUUUUUCUUGGUUACUCACAUGAUCAUUUUGGUUACAAGCUUAGGGAUCCAAAAAAGCAGAAGGUGUUUAGAAGUAGAGACAUGGUCUUCUUUAAGGAUCAAACCUUUGAGGAUUUGAAGAAGAAUGCACUAGCCAAGACUUUUGCAGAAGGAUUAGCAAAUUGUGACCUAGUUAUUCCUCCAAUAUAUUAGGGUGAUGGGGGAGAUAUGCAGGAAAAUGGUGUAGAACCUGAUGUUGAUAUACUUGUAGGACAUGUUAAGCAAGAAAAAGUAGGAGAGCAAGUUCCAACAGAACCUUUGUUGAGAAGAUCUUCUAGAUAACGUCAACAUUCUAGAAGAUACUCUACAAAUGAGCGUGUAAUGCUUACUGAUGCAGGUGAACCAGAGAGUUACCAGGAAGCAGUUGAAAGUGAGCAGAAAGAGAAGUGAUUUGUUGCUAUGUAGGAAGAGAUGAAUGCUCUUCAGAAGAACCACACUUAUGAUUUGGUGAUACUUCCAAAUGGAAUGAAGGCUUUGAAGAACAAGUGGGUUUUCAGGUUGAAGACUCAAGAAUAUUGUUCUCAACCAAAGUACAAAGCUAAAUUGAUUAUGAAAGGCUUUGGUCAAAAGAAAGGUAUAGACUUUGAAGAGAUAUUUUCUCCUAUUGUUAAAAUGUCUUCAAUUCAUGUUGCUCUUGGUAUUGCUGCUAGCCAGGACUUGGAGGUUGAGUAGUUAGAUGUGAAGACAGCUUUCCUUCAUAUGGAGUAACAAGAAGGCUUCAAAGUCAAAGGUAAAGAGAACUUUGUCUACAAAUUGAAGAAGAGCUUGUAUGGGCUAAAACAAGCUCCAAGAUAAUAGUACAGAAAGUUUGAUUCAUUUAUGACAAAAAAAUGGAUACAAAAGAACGACUUCAGAUCAUUGUGUGUACAUCAAAUGGUUUGGUGAGGAUUUUAUUAUUCUUUUACUUUAUGUUAAUGACAUGCUUAUUCUUGGGAAAGAUAUGUCUAAAAUUGACAGAUUGAAGAAGGAACUGAGUGAAUCUUUUGCAAUGAAGGACAUGGGACCAGCAAAAUAAAUACUGGAUAUGUAGAUUUCCUAUGAUAGGAAAAAUAAGAAGAUUUGGUUGUCACGGGAGAAAUGCAUCGAGAAGGUAUUAGAAAGAUUCAGUAUGAGCAAUGCAAAAUCAGUUGGUUCUCCUCUUGCAGGUCACUUCAAGUUGUGCUCAGAAUAGAGUCCGUUAAGUGAUGAGGAGAAGGAGAAAAUGCAAAAGGUUCCUUAUGCUUCAGCAGUUAAAAGUUUAAUGUAUGCAAUGGUAUGUAUGAGGCCAGACAUCGUAUAUGCAAUUGGUGUUACUAGCAGAUUUCUUACAAAUCCAGGCAAAGAGCACUAGGCAGUAGUAAAAUGGGUUUUUAGAUAUCUCAAAGGGAGCUUUAAGGUUUGUUUAAGCUUUGGAGGUAGAUCACUUGUGUUGACAAGUUACACAGAUGCAGAUAUGACAAGAGAUAUAAAUACGAGGAAGUUCACUUCAGGUUAUGUACUUACUUUUAUAAGAGGAGCUGUGUCAUGGCAAUCCAGAUUGCAAAGGUGUAUUGCUCUCUCCACCACAUAAGUAGAAUAUAUUGCUGCUACAGAGCCAACGUGUCAUCCAUUUGUGUAAGAACCCAAUGUUUCAUUCCAAGUCAAAGCAUAUAGAUGUCAGAUAUGGAUUCGAAAUGUAUUUGAAGAGAAGUAGUUGCAACUUCAGAAAAUUCAUAUAGAUAACAACGGAGCAGACAUGUUGACAAAGACUUUACCAAAAGAAAGACAGGAAAUAUACCGACAACUGAUCGGCAUGGCUUCACAUUGAGGAGUCAUGGGACAACCUCCCUUAUGGGCUGAAAGGGGAGAUUAUUGGGCUGAUAGCCCAUGUUCAGCCUAUUAUGGUCUUUAUCAAUCCACACCCCUUUGACCUAACCCUAGAUCAAUAUAAGGGGGGUGUGGUGGCUACGUUUUGAGGUGUAGAUGGCUGCAUUUUCUUGGGAGAAAAACUGUAGCAAUGCAGACAUCCUUGCAGCAGCAAAGAGGAGAAGAGAAAAGUAGAAAAAUAAGAGAAAGAAAUGGAAGAAAAUAAGGACAACGCAGAGAGACCGUUCUCAAUCAUCUAGCAGUGUUCUCAUCUCAGAUUAGAUCAAAUCUACAGUAAACUCUUAUUAUGAUUACUUGGGGAGGUUUUAGAUAUUGAGGACAGUAACGUGAUCCUGGGUUUAUAGUAAGAGAUUGAGAUUUGUAUAUUCAUUAUUCUCAUAGUGGAUUAUCUCUAGUUUGCCCCGUGAUUUUUACCCUUCACAUUGAAAGGUUUUUCCACGUAUAUCUUGGUGUUCUAUUUGGUUCUAUUUAAUUCCGUUGUAUGUUAUGACCUAUUAAUAUUCGUUCAUAUACAAAAGUUAUUUUUUUUUAUAUCCCCGUCAACGAGUACUUCUCAUUCUUUUCGAUGAGUUUAAGAACGUGCGUGCACUUCACACGAACGUCGAUUAAAUACAUCGCAAGAUGAGUUAGAUUAAGAGUCGACAAGUGACUGCUACCUUCUGUAGUGGGAAGUGAUGAGUUCAGAUCAUUUUCUAGUUCAUGGCCUCUGCACUACGAGGAAAAGUUGGAAAGAACAGCAGAGAAGACACUGCUGAUUCCGAAAUGCUUAUACUGUGAUGCUUCAACACAAAGAUAAAAGUCAGACAAAUUGUCUUAUCUCAUGAGAACAAGAAAAACUUGAGCUUUUCUUGUAGUCCAGCCAUGAACAAAUGCCAUUUGUACCUAAUCAGUGUACAAGAAAAUGAUCGAGUGCUCGCAAUUCAUUUAGUCUUAUUGCAUCACGCAAGUGCCAAUCUGUCAUCUUUCAUGGUCAUUCGGGAUCAUUAAUACCAGAUAUCUUCAAUAGUAAGAAAAGGAGAAAGCAAGUGUAUCACAGGUCUCCUGUAAUCGACAAGCACUGUUGUUGCAGGUGGGAAGAAUGACAUCUCAAUAGUUCAACCUUAUCAUUCAUUUUUAUAUAUUCCAAAGAAUCCUAAUUUAACAUGAGCCUUCUAAUUGGGAAUUUGAGAUAUCAAUCACAUGUAAAUAGCUGAAUUCAAUCACUGUUCUGGUGAAGUCAAAUCCUCCUAAUAUAUUUUUUAAUUAAAAAACAUAUUAGGCAGUACUUCAAUUAUAGUUGAACAACGAUGCGAUCAUUAUCGGCCAGUAAUUGGACCAACGAGUUAAUAUGAUAGAACGAAUAUUUAAUACAAAUAUCCAAAAUAUAAUAUUAUAUAAAUAUAAGUUUUAAAUAUGAAUAUUUAGCAUAUGAGAAAAUUACAAGAAAACAACUGAGUCAAAGUUAUUGAGGUCAUUUAAGAUUGGAUUUUAUAGAUAUUUUAUUCUCUAAAACUGGCUUAAUUUGGAUAUAUCUCAACAAUAAUUAAUGGGGCAUAAGGUCUUUACACUCUGAAGUAUUUGUGGUAUGGCUAUGAUACAAGUUAAAGUAAAAAAAUCAAUAUCUAUAUUUAUCUCUUGGACGGUAGUAGUAACAUGUUCUAUCGAGGAGUUAAUUGGAUAGGUUUCUUAGAUCCUCCUUUGUUGAUAUCUUGGAUCCUCUUACUAAUAUAUCGUGUCAAGUAGGGCAAUAAAUGUCACUGUCAAGGUUUUAUGUGUGGACUUUCCUAUUUGUAAUUUCAUGUUAAUUGUUUUUUUUUAAUAGACAACUUUCAUUGAAUCAGAAAAAUCAUGUUCAAUUAUUUGUACAUAUAAAAAAGAAGCAUUUUUUUUAGAAAAUAAUUUUAAUGGAGGCCCUGCUCUUCAGCACACAGAAAUGAAACACUAAAAAAUAUUCUCUUCUAAAAUAUUCAAUCUUUAAAGUGACUUUCCAGUUAUUUUUGAAUCAAUUAAAGAAAGAAAUGUUGAAUGUCGGAUUUUGAUGAUGAAACAAAUCGAUAUGUGUUUAUGUUUUAAUCUGCGUUUUGAGUGACGCGGGAUGUUUCGAUCAGGAUGAGACAAUUAAAGCAGAAAAUAUCAUGUUGUGCCGGAGGAACAUGUCAGAAGAUUGGACGUCGGGCCGGUGGAUCGGUCGAUAUAUCGACAGAAGCCUUCAGGCCAUGGAUUUGAGCAUCAAGCUAAGAAGAGCAGACAUUGUGCCAAGGAUAUCAGAGUUGCAGAGUCAACUGCCCAAUUGGGCAAUAGGCUGCAGGAGAGGAUGAUGCGCCGAAGAAUCGGACGAAGCGUCGAGGGACCAAUGACAUGUCGGACAAUUUGAUUAAAUGCUUAGGAUUAAUUGUCUAGAUCGAAGUAUGUUUUACAUAUGCAAGAUUAACUACGAUAGCAAGACAUGAAGAAAAAUAAAGUCCCGGAAUCAAGAUCGAGAUCACGUUGGGAGUUCGAGAGUUCGUCGAAAAUCCGGACGUUCGUCGAAAGUUUUGCGGGAACCAGCCGAGAAGUCAUAGAGCUUGCCAGAGAAGCUCGUUGGAGCUCGCCAAGAAGAUCAUCGUGAAGUCUAGGAGCUUGCUGAGAGUCCGCCGGAACAUUGUCCAAAGUUCAUCGGAGGUUCGUCGGAAGAUCGCCGGAAGAAUAGACUUAAUAGACUUUGUUUAGCUUAGAAUUUGUCUUAGGAAUCGUAGUUAGUACGUACUUGGGAUUGAAUUUGGGCCAACCAAAUUAGAGGCCAGCUAGGCCCAUAUAAGAACUAUGUUGAGCCCAAUAAGAGGCCCAAACAAUGCCCCAAGAAGACUCACCGUCGUGGCACAAUCUUCGAGAUUGUGUCAGGCGGUGGUACCACCAGUCUGGGCGGUGGUACCGCUCAGCACUAGCCCCCAGGCGGUGGUACUGCUAGACCUGGGCGGUGGUACCGCCCAUGCCCGGGAAACCCAGGAUGGGAAAGAUUUAGACUCUAAGUUUGAAUCAAUUUGAAGCCUAUAAAUACCCCUCCCAUCCUUGGUUGAAGAACACAAGCACAGAAAGUUUAAAAGUGAAGAAUUGUUGCUACAAUCUCUUGAGAAAUCCCUCCUCUAGCUUAAACAUAGAUUUCUGUUUAGAGAGGAGUGAGUGAGUGCUUGUAAGUGUUAUCUCUUAAACUCGAUAAAAGGAGAAGAGGGGUGUAAAAGGUGAUUGGCCUUCGCCUAUUAAAGGAAGGCCUCUAGUGGAUGCCAGUGACUCAUAGGUCAAGAUUGAUUGAACCACUCUAAAUCAGAGUUUGCAUUUUAUUCUUGCUAUUUUCCUUACUACCUUCAAGCUAUCUUUACAAAUACACUUUCAAAGUUAUUAUCUUUACGAAACGGCUUUUACGUCGGAAUCGGUUUUCAACGUACGAAGAGAUUUCACGAAGUUGACGUUUUAAUCCGCUGCACUAAUUCACCCCCCUCUUAGUGAGCUCUCAAUCCUAACAAGAAGAGUGAUUGAGAUAUGAGCAAAUGAAUCAAUGGAUAAUUCCAACAUUGAAGUUGAGGAGGAUCCAAACUUCCAUCCUUCGAAAAAAAAAAAAAAAAUCAUCCUCAUCCAAUUAUUUCUUAAUUAGUUGUUUAGUCAGUAGGGGUGUGGUCCAAUGUACGUAAUAAGAGUCAUGGCCAUUAGUGACAUAAUCAAUAAUAGGAUAACAUUCAUAAGGGGACGUGGCAAUUGUGCUUUCAUACCCCACUUGACAUGUCGCAUUGAGAAGUCUCAUGACAUGUUGAGUGGUUCGAUGGGGAUGAAAUGAAACAAGCGAGUCAAAGUCUAAAAAUUAAUUUCAUCUUUUGAUUAUUUGUUGAUGUCUUAUUCUAACUCACCCUAUCAAGGGAAAAAGAGAGAGGUCACUAUUUUGCUUGUCUAGCAUGCGCAUCUUUCCUCUUGUUUUUUCUGUCUUUUUUAAUGCAUAACUAAUAAGUAUAUAUAUUUUUGUGUUUAUUUGAUAUGUAUAAAUAAUAUUUUGAUAAAAUGCUGCAACUCAUUCGUUUAUCAACUUCUCGUAUUUGUAUAAUCUAUUAACUAAUUUUUUUCAUAUCAUGUGACGUAGGUAAUCCUCAAGAAAUGCUUAAUAUAUAAGGGAACUAGGUGAGGAUAGUUAACAAAUAAAAAAUUAAAACAGAGAUAGAAAAUAAGAAAAAUCUGAUUUAUAAAAAUAUUAAUUUAAGAAGGACUUUGAAAUAUUAUUUUGACUUACGUUGUUGAAAUAUACAAGUAUUCACUGUGAAUUAGCUUUAGAGAGAAGAAGAGAUAGAAGAUAUAUGAUAGUUUUGGAUUCGCUCCAAAUCCUCUGAUUUAAAAAAAAAUUAUAGUCUUGCAUCACUCAUUCAUUUUGUAAAAAAUAAUACUAUUAUCAUGAUCCCAUUAUAAUUCUUAAUUUUUUUACAUAAGUAACUAAAACGAAACAAAAUGAAAUGGGAUCAAGAUGGUUCAAUAUGUUUUAUUUGGUGAUCUUUUGAUUAAAUAAGCUGCUAGAAUUGUAUCAUAAAAUAAUCUUCCAUUUUAUGUAUCAUAUUCUUCCAUUCUUAUAAGAUGAUAAUUCUUACUAUCUUUUCUUUUAUUUACUGUCACAAUCAUAGCAUUACAGUUUCCUAUAGAUGAAGGUAUGUUUCCCGAAAGAUGUUAGAAGAAAGGUCCAAGAAGAGAAGUGAGAUUUGUUAUAUGCACGGGAAUGGUACCGUGCAAUAGAUUUGACCUCAAACGAAGAACCUUCAACGAUGAGAAGCUUCUCCCUAUCCAUGUCGGUAUCUCACUGGACAAUUUAUUUUCACCAAGAUCAAGAAUGACUAAUCAUUUGCAGUAUUUCAAGAAAGAAGGAAAUAUUCAAGAUAGGUUGUUAUUGUUCAAAUGCAAAGAUUGUAGUCAUGAUGGGUAUGAGCUACGAUAAUUUGGGGCUUUUUCGGAUGUGUGAUUGUUAGAUAGAUCAAAUAUAUAAAGGAAAGAUAUAUUACAAAAGAAGAAAGGGAGACUGCCAUUGAUGUGAUGAUGGGACAAUGAUAAUAUACAGAGACUUGUGGCAUUUUGCAAUGAUAAUAUAUAUGGAAUAAUGCCAAUAAAUUUGUUGCCCUCAAUAUUUAAGUAUGACAAGUCUGCUCCUCCAGUACAAUUCGACAAACCAUCAACUACAUCUGUAAGCUCUCCAUUGUUAGAAUUCAGACGCAGAUCAAUUAAGUUGCACAAGCCACCUAAAGUCCUCGGCAUCUGCCCUGAUAAGUGGUUAUCUGAUGUAUCCGAGGACUACAAGAGGUCGAGUUUGCCAACUGUUUCUGGUAGUUGCCCGGUAACAGAGUUACGAGACAGAUGUAAAACCUGCAGACUUUGAAGAUUGCCAAUGUGUGCAAGGCUGCUAUCAUUAGUGAGCCAUCUUAGAAUACAUGCAUUACUUGAGUUCUAAUAACCACAGAGAUCGAGCAUGACAAUGGAUGUCAACAGAAGACUACUAAAAGCUACAAAAAUUGCCAACAGAAGCUGCCAUAUAAAAUAACACAAAGAAAAGCAUGUGUCGACAUCCAAUUAACGAGGCAAUGUAUCGACAGGAAAGCGAUAACAGAACGACAGUAGAUCAAAAGUAUUUGAAGAGAUUAGAAGGAAUGCAUACAUGAUGGUUUUCAUGAAGCCAAAGGCCGUCAACGACGAUACUUCUUCCUUCUUUAUUCUGACAGCAUUGCAUGAUGAUAACAUACAACAUUACUUGAAAGCAGCUUCUGACCUCAAGAUGUAACAAUAAGCUCUUCAGCAUACUUCUUUCUGCUUUAUUAUAGUGUCAUAAAGACAACGGUAGGGAUGACUGACUUGAACAUAUUGAUUAGAACGACGGAUGAUGAAGUUUUUGAACUGAUUAGAACAUAUACAUACAUACUAAUGAAGCAAAAGGCCAUCAACUGCGAUACCCUUUUCCAUCUUUAUUCUGACAACAUUGCACGAUAACAUACGAGCUGGAAUUACUAACUGGAAAAGCAACUUGAGACCUCCUUAAGAUGUAACAGAAAACUCUUCGGUUCUUGCCACCGAUGGAUCAAGUCACACUUUGCCGUUUGGACUUUAACCUUGCACAUCCGACUGCCAACUGCACGUAGCACCAAUCGUAAGCCUUGUCGAAAAAUCGAAAGAACGCAAUCCUUAUGCUCUGUUUCAUGAUCAUUGUUCCAACAAAACUCCAAAAACCAACCACAAAACCCAUGACGAUGCUGGUAAUUUCCCACACUGUUUCUAGCCUGUCAUCAUUUUUCUCUUCGUGUUCAUGAGGUGGACUUUGAUGAGCUGCAUCACCAGGGCACUCUGGCAGUGGCGUACCACAAAGGUAUUCAUUACCAUCAUAGAUUGACGGGUCGUCAAUGAAGGUCGACAUUUGACCACCGGCUGUUGGAAUUCUUCCUGGCAAGUUAUUGUGAGAGAGAUUCAAGUGGCUUAGGAAGUUGAGAGAUGAAAAGCUGGAAGGAAUAUCUCCUGUGAGAUUAUUCAUUGACAAGUCAAGUGAUUCCAGUUGUUCCAUGGAACCAAUCUUUUCUGGAAUGGUUCCUCUCAAAUGAUUCUUGGAUAAGUUCAAGAAAAGCAAUCCAUGCAGGUUUGUUAGCUCUCUUGGGAUCUCGCCGGAAAGAUUAUUAUUUGAUAGGUCUAUGCUUGUUACAAGUGAUAGAAUUCUGGUGUAUUGGGUGUCAAAACCUUUGACUGUUAUUUGUUGGAAUUUUAAGGGUCACACAUGUAUAAUUAAAUGUGUUAAGCCAUUAUUUUGAUUAGCCAAAAUUAAAGUGAUCCAAUUAAAGUAAAGUUAUUUGGCUAAGGGACAUAAUUGUUAUGAAAANNNNNNNNNNNNNNNNNNNNNNNNNNNNNNNNNNNNNNNNNNNNNNNNNNNNNNNNNNNNNNNNNNNNNNNNNNNNNNNNNNNNNNNNNNNNNNNNNNNNNNNNNNNNNNNNNNNNNNNNNNNNNNNNNNNNNNNNNNNNNNNNNNNNNNNNNNNNNNNNNNNNNNNNNNNNNNNNNNNNNNNNNNNNNNNNNNNNNNNNNNNNNNNNNNNNNNNNNNNNNNNNNNNNNNNNNNNNNNNNNNNNNNNNNNNNNNNNNNNNNNNNNNNNNNNNNNNNNNNNNNNNNNNNNNNNNNNNNNNNNNNNNNNNNNNNNNNNNNNNNNNNNNNNNNNNNNNNNNNNNNNNNNNNNNNNNNNNNNNNNNNNNNNNNNNNNNNNNNNNNNNNNNNNNNNNNNNNNNNNNNNNNNNNNNNNNNNNNNNNNNNNNNNNNNNNNNNNNNNNNNNNNNNNNNNNNNNNNNNNNNNNNNNNNNNNNNNNNNNNNNNNNNNNNNNNNNNNNNNNNNNNNNNNNNNNNNNNNNNNNNNNNNNNNNNNNNNNNNNNNNNNNNNNNNNNNNNNNNNNNNNNNNNNNNNNNNNNNNNNNNNNNNNNNNNNNNNNNNNNNNNNNNNNNNNNNNNNNNNNNNNNNNNNNNNNNNNNNNNNNNNNNNNNNNNNNNNNNNNNNNNNNNNNNNNNNNNNNNNNNNNNNNNNNNNNNNNNNNNNNNNNNNNNNNNNNNNNNNNNNNNNNNNNNNNNNNNNNNNNNNNNNNNNNNNNNNNNNNNNNNNNNNNNNNNNNNNNNNNNNNNNNNNNNNNNNNNNNNNNNNNNNNNNNNNNNNNNNNNNNNNNNNNNNNNNNNNNNNNNNNNNNNNNNNNNNNNNNNNNNNNNNNNNNNNNNNNNNNNNNNNNNNNNNNNNNNNNNNNNNNNNNNNNNNNNNNNNNNNNNNNNNNNNNNNNNNNNNNNNNNNNNNNNNNNNNNNNNNNNNNNNNNNNNNNNNNNNNNNNNNNNNNNNNNNNNNNNNNNNNNNNNNNNNNNNNNNNNNNNNNNNNNNNNNNNNNNNNNNNNNNNNNNNNNNNNNNNNNNNNNNNNNNNNNNNNNNNNNNNNNNNNNNNNNNNNNNNNNNNNNNNNNNNNNNNNNNNNNNNNNNNNNNNNNNNNNNNNNNNNNNNNNNNNNNNNNNNNNNNNNNNNNNNNNNNNNNNNNNNNNNNNNNNNNNNNNNNNNNNNNNNNNNNNNNNNNNNNNNNNNNNNNNNNNNNNNNNNNNNNNNNNNNNNNNNNNNNNNNNNNNNNNNNNNNNNNNNNNNNNNNNNNNNNNNNNNNNNNNNNNNNNNNNNNNNNNNNNNNNNNNNNNNNNNNNNNNNNNNNNNNNNNNNNNNNNNNNNNNNNNNNNNNNNNNNNNNNNNNNNNNNNNNNNNNNNNNNNNNNNNNNNNNNNNNNNNNNNNNNNNNNNNNNNNNNNNNNNNNNNNNNNNNNNNNNNNNNNNNNNNNNNNNNNNNNNNNNNNNNNNNNNNNNNNNNNNNNNNNNNNNNNNNNNNNNNNNNNNNNNNNNNNNNNNNNNNNNNNNNNNNNNNNNNNNNNNNNNNNNNNNNNNNNNNNNNNNNNNNNNNNNNNNNNNNNNNNNNNNNGAUGCAUAUUAUAGUGGAUCAAAAUAAGUUUUAUGAAAACAUUCUUAAUCCAUUAUUUUGGAUUUGAUCCAUAUUUGAUAUGUUAAAAGAACCCCAACAAGUGGUAUCAGAGCCAUCCUACAAUGAUUGAUGAACAUUUAAGCUUAUUUUCUCAUGAAUUUUAAUGAUGUUUUCAUCGAUAUUUUAAAGUAAUUUGGUUCUAUCAUCGUUGGGAAAGAUGAUAGUUUUAUGUAAUCAUGCUAUUUUGAAGUGAUUUGGUUCUAUUAUCAUUGGAAAAGAUUAUAGUUUUAUGUAAUCAUACUACAGCAUGCUUCACAUUCAAUUUAGUGUCUUUUUCUGAUGUGAUAUCAGUUUAAUUUUGGAUUAUCUUUUCCACUUCGUGUCUUUUCCUAUUCAUUGCAAAAUUCAUUUUUGCACUACAAGGCAUAAAUUUCCCAAAUUCUUUUUGGAUUUUAUCUAAUUAAUAUGAAUUUAAUUAAUUAGAUAUUAUUACAAUAUUAUGUUGGUUUAAUAAUAUUAUUGCAAUAUUAUGUUGGAUUAAACAUAAUAUUGGUUCUAUAAAGUUGUUUGUUGACAUAAAUUGAAUGAUUUAUAUCCUUUAAAUAUUUUAGUCAACAAAUUAAGAUCAAGCCAAUUUGACUAAUAUGGUUUAAAUUCAAUUAGUGAUUGUUUAAUAUUAGAUUGAGUAAUUUAAUAUAUGAAGUCGCCAAAGUGACCUCUCAUAUAUAAUAUUUCUCAUGAAAAUAUUAAAUGUAGUGUGUAUUUACAUCCAUGCGGUAAUUAUCCGGCCCAAAGGAAGGUUAAUGACUGGCAGGAUUUUAUACAUACUUGUAAUGGUAAAUACGUGAUAAUUAUAAAGUUAUACAUGUAAAUGAUAAAUCAAUCCAAAGAUGAGUUUUUCAUUUGACAUGCCUUAUUAUCAGUAUUUGAUCAUUACAACAAGACUACCACUAGCAAUUAAUAUUGAAGUCCAAAGACAAGAUAUUAAUGUUGCACUUGGUAUCUUGAGAUGAGUUAAAUCAUUAUUUGAAUUUACUUAAGUUUAUGGUAAUAAAUUUGAGCAUAAUUUCUGGUUAUCUGUUGUUCUCUUAUUUAGGUUCUCUUGCAACAAUAUCUGCUAACCUCAGUUCUGUACCAGUACUAAACGGAACCAACUUUAAAGAUUGGAAAGAAAACAUUCUGAUCGUUUUGGGCUGCAUGGAUCUGGACCUUGCACUAAGAGAAGACCAACCUGCUUCUCUUACAGAAAAUAGUACUCAUGAUGAUAGGAGACUAUAUGAGAAGUGGGACAGGUCUAAUCGCAUGAGUCUUAUGAUCAUUAAGCGUGGCAUUCCAGAAGCCUUUAGGGGUGCAGUAUCCGAAGGGAUUACCAAGGCCAAAGAUUUUCUUACCGAAAUAGAAAAAUAUUUUCUUAAAAACGAUAAGGCGGAAACAAACACUCUACUUCAAAGCUUAUUUACCAUGAGAUACAACGGCAAAGGAAAUAUAAGGGAAUAUAUUAUGGAAAUGUCUAAUCUUGCUUCUAAGCUUAAAGCAUUAAAGCUUAGCCUAUCAGAGGACUUACUUGUCCAUAUGGUUUUGAUAUCUCUCCCUGCACAAUUCAAUCAGUUUAAGGUCAGUUAUAACUGUCAAAGGAACAAAUGGUCUCUUAAUGAGCUCAUUUCAUAUUGUGUGCAAGAAGAAGAAAGAUUAAAGCAAGAGAAGAUUGAAAGUGCAAACUUGGUCAACACCUCUAAGGAUAAGGGCAAGAAAAGAAAAUAUAAACCUGGAAAGAAUGAGGCUGAUAAGGGUCCAGUACAGAAGAAACAAAAUAAGGAUGAUAUUUGUUUCUUUUGUAAAAAAAUCUGGGCAUUUGAAGAAGGACUGUGCCAAAUAUCACGCUUGGCGUGAUAAAAAAAGGUACGUUCCUUACUUUGGUUUGUUCUAAAGCCAAUUUAACUUCAGUAGUUAGAAACACUUGGUGGUUAGACUCCGGCACAACUACUAACAUUAGUGUUUCAAAGCAGGGUUACCUGAGCUACCGAAGGCCCAAUAAUGCUGAGAGAUGCAUUUAUGUGGGGGACGAAAAAUCGGUAGAUGUGGAAGCUAUAGGCACAUUUAGAUUGUUAUUGUGUACUGAACAUUAUUUGAAUUUGAAAGAUACUUUUGUUAUACCGUCAUUUAGACGAAACCUAAUUUCUGUUUCUUAUUUGAACAAAUUUGGUUAUUCUUGUUCAUUUGGAAAUAAUAAGUUUACUUUGUCUUUAAAUUCNNNNNNNNNNNNNNNNNNNNNNNNNNNNNNNNNNNNNNNNNNNNNNNNNNNNNNNNNNNNNNNNNNNNNNNNNNNNNNNNNNNNNNNNNNNNNNNNNNNNNNNNNNNNNNNNNNNNNNNNNNNNNNNNNNNNNNNNNNNNNNNNNNNNNNNNNNNNNNNNNNNNNNNNNNNNNNNNNNNNNNNNNNNNNNNNNNNNNNNNNNNNNNNNNNNNNNNNNNNNNNNNNNNNNNNNNNNNNNNNNNNNNNNNNNNNNNNNNNNNNNNNNNNNNNNNNNNNNNNNNNNNNNNNNNNNNNNNNNNNNNNNNNNNNNNNNNNNNNNNNNNNNNNNNNNNNNNNNNNNNNNNNNNNNNNNNNNNNNNNNNNNNNNNNNNNNNNNNNNNNNNNNNNNNNNNNNNNNNNNNNNNNNNNNNNNNNNNNNNNNNNNNNNNNNNNNNNNNNNNNNNNNNNNNNNNNNNNNNNNNNNNNNNNNNNNNNNNNNNNNNNNNNNNNNNNNNNNNNNNNNNNNNNNNNNNNNNNNNNNNNNNNNNNNNNNNNNNNNNNNNNNNNNNNNNNNNNNNNNNNNNNNNNNNNNNNNNNNNNNNNNNNNNNNNNNNNNNNNNNNNNNNNNNNNNNNNNNNNNNNNNNNNNNNNNNNNNNNNNNNNNNNNNNNNNNNNNNNNNNNNNNNNNNNNNNNNNNNNNNNNNNNNNNNNNNNNNNNNNNNNNNNNNNNNNNNNNNNNNNNNNNNNNNNNNNNNNNNNNNNNNNNNNNNNNNNNNNNNNNNNNNNNNNNNNNNNNNNNNNNNNNNNNNNNNNNNNNNNNNNNNNNNNNNNNNNNNNNNNNNNNNNNNNNNNNNNNNNNNNNNNNNNNNNNNNNNNNNNNNNNNNNNNNNNNNNNNNNNNNNNNNNNNNNNNNNNNNNNNNNNNNNNNNNNNNNNNNNNNNNNNNNNNNNNNNNNNNNNNNNNNNNNNNNNNNNNNNNNNNNNNNNNNNNNNNNNNNNNNNNNNNNNNNNNNNNNNNNNNNNNNNNNNNNNNNNNNNNNNNNNNNNNNNNNNNNNNNNNNNNNNNNNNNNNNNNNNNNNNNNNNNNNNNNNNNNNNNNNNNNNNNNNNNNNNNNNNNNNNNNNNNNNNNNNNNNNNNNNNNNNNNNNNNNNNNNNNNNNNNNNNNNNNNNNNNNNNNNNNNNNNNNNNNNNNNNNNNNNNNNNNNNNNNNNNNNNNNNNNNNNNNNNNNNNNNNNNNNNNNNNNNNNNNNNNNNNNNNNNNNNNNNNNNNNNNNNNNNNNNNNNNNNNNNNNNNNNNNNNNNNNNNNNNNNNNNNNNNNNNNNNNNNNNNNNNNNNNNNNNNNNNNNNNNNNNNNNNNNNNNNNNNNNNNNNNNNNNNNNNNNNNNNNNNNNNNNNNNNNNNNNNNNNNNNNNNNNNNNNNNNNNNNNNNNNNNNNNNNNNNNNNNNNNNNNNNNNNNNNNNNNNNNNNNNNNNNNNNNNNNNNNNNNNNNNNNNNNNNNNNNNNNNNNNNNNNNNNNNNNNNNNNNNNNNNNNNNNNNNNNNNNNNNNNNNNNNNNNNNNNNNNNNNNNNNNNNNNNNNNNNNNNNNNNNNNNNNNNNNNNNNNNNNNNNNNNNNNNNNNNNNNNNNNNNNNNNNNNNNNNNNNNNNNNNNNNNNNNNNNNNNNNNNNNNNNNNNNNNNNNNNNNNNNNNNNNNNNNNNNNNNNNNNNNNNNNNNNNNNNNNNNNNNNNNNNNNNNNNNNNNNNNNNNNNNNNNNNNNNNNNNNNNNNNNNNNNNNNNNNNNNNNNNNNNNNNNNNNNNNNNNNNNNNNNNNNNNNNNNNNNNNNNNNNNNNNNNNNNNNNNNNNNNNNNNNNNNNNNNNNNNNNNNNNNNNNNNNNNNNNNNNNNNNNNNNNNNNNNNNNNNNNNNNNNNNNNNNNNNNNNNNNNNNNNNNNNNNNNNNNNNNNNNNNNNNNNNNNNNNNNNNNNNNNNNNNNNNNNNNNNNNNNNNNNNNNNNNNNNNNNNNNNNNNNNNNNNNNNNNNNNNNNNNNNNNNNNNNNNNNNNNNNNNNNNNNNNNNNNNNNNNNNNNNNNNNNNNNNNNNNNNNNNNNNNNNNNNNNNNNNNNNNNNNNNNNNNNNNNNNNNNNNNNNNNNNNNNNNNNNNNNNNNNNNNNNNNNNNNNNNNNNNNNNNNNNNNNNNNNNNNNNNNNNNNNNNNNNNNNNNNNNNNNNNNNNNNNNNNNNNNNNNNNNNNNNNNNNNNNNNNNNNNNNNNNNNNNNNNNNNNNNNNNNNNNNNNNNNNNNNNNNNNNNNNNNNNNNNNNNNNNNNNNNNNNNNNNNNNNNNNNNNNNNNNNNNNNNNNNNNNNNNNNNNNNNNNNNNNNNNNNNNNNNNNNNNNNNNNNNNNNNNNNNNNNNNNNNNNNNNNNNNNNNNNNNNNNNNNNNNNNNNNNNNNNNNNNNNNNNNNNNNNNNNNNNNNNNNNNNNNNNNNNNNNNNNNNNNNNNNNNNNNNNNNNNNNNNNNNNNNNNNNNNNNNNNNNNNNNNNNNNNNNNNNNNNNNNNNNNNNNNNNNNNNNNNNNNNNNNNNNNNNNNNNNNNNNNNNNNNNNNNNNNNNNNNNNNNNNNNNNNNNNNNNNNNNNNNNNNNNNNNNNNNNNNNNNNNNNNNNNNNNNNNNNNNNNNNNNNNNNNNNNNNNNNNNNNNNNNNNNNNNNNNNNNNNNNNNNNNNNNNNNNNNNNNNNNNNNNNNNNNNNNNNNNNNNNNNNNNNNNNNNNNNNNNNNNNNNNNNNNNNNNNNNNNNNNNNNNNNNNNNNNNNNNNNNNNNNNNNNNNNNNNNNNNNNNNNNNNNNNNNNNNNNNNNNNNNNNNNNNNNNNNNNNNNNNNNNNNNNNNNNNNNNNNNNNNNNNNNNNNNNNNNNNNNNNNNNNNNNNNNNNNNNNNNNNNNNNNNNNNNNNNNNNNNNNNNNNNNNNNNNNNNNNNNNNNNNNNNNNNNNNNNNNNNNNNNNNCAUGCAUAUUAUAGUGGAUCAAAAUAAGUUUUAUGAAAACAUUCUUAAUCCAUUAUUUUGGAUUUGAUCCAUAUUUGAUAUGUUAAAGAACCCCAACAUUAUUACUAUGCUCUCGUCAUAGUAACCGCCACCAUCAAGAUGAAGCAACGAUGUAGUGUCAUGUUGUAUCUCAACCAUUGCACUACAAUUUCCUAGAGAUGAAGGAAUGCUACCAGAAAGAUUAUUGAAAGAAAGAUCCAAAACCUGGAGAGAAGUGAGAUUUGCUAUGUGCACUGGAAUGGGACCAUAAAAUAGGUUUGACUUCAAACUAAGAACUCUCAAGGAUAAAAGGUUUUCUCCCACCCAUGUUGGUAUUUCAUCAAACAAAUUAUUUUCACCAAGAUCAAGAGUAACCAAUUGUUCACAGUGUUUCAAGAAGGAAGGAAAUCUUCCGGAUAGGUUGUUGUGGUUCAAAUGCAAGGACUGUAGAGAAGUUGGGAAUGAUUUAUAACACUUUGGGAUUUUUCCAGAUAAAUUAUUGUUUGAUAGGUCGAGGACUUGGAGAGAAUUAAGAUUGCAGAAAAAGGAAGGAAAACCACCAUUAAGAUUGUUAUGAGAUAAAGACAAAAUUUGAAGGCCUAAGGCAUUUGUAAAAUUCAAUGGAAUUGGUCCAUCUAAUGAGUUAUUAGAGAGAUCUAUAUGUAUCCCCCGACCUUUUAAGAUAUCUGGAAACCAAGUUGGAAGGCUACUUGAGAGUCCAACUCCAGAUAAAGAAAGAUCCUCCAAAUAUGUUUGCGUUUGAAUCCAAGCAGGAAAUUUAGUUCCCAGAUGACAUGAGCUCAUGAUAAUACUGUAGGCAUUAAAAGGUGGAAGCCAAUCGUUGGGUAGAAUCACAUUCAAGGAGUUGUAAGAUAUGUCCAAUUGGGUUAAAUCGGUGAGUUUGGAAAAAUGUUCUUCAGUGAUGUUACCUUCCAGCAAAUUUGAGGAGAGGUAUAAUACUUGUAACGUAGAUAAUUGACCCAUACUUGAGGGGACAAUCCCACUCAAAUUAUUGUCAUUAACAAAUAAAUAUAAAUCUCCUUCUCGUUUACAAUCAGAUAAAUCAUCAAUCACAUCUGAUAGCUCUCCACCAAUCUUAUUAUCGGAUAAAAAUAUGAGAGUCAAAUUGCAUAAUUUACGAAAAGUCCCAGGUACUAACCUUGUCAAGUGGUUAGAUGAUACAUCCAAGUUUUGCAAGUUGUAUAGUCUAUUGAAGGUCUUUGGUAUCUGUCCAGUAAUAAAAUUAUCAGAUAAAUAUAGAGAUUGCAUAUUUUGGAGAUUCCCAAUAAUUUCUGGUAUUUGUCCUGAAAUAAUAUUUCUCGACAAUCUCAAGGUCUUCAAGUUGCUAAGAUUACCAAAAUUCAUUGGUAUAUCUCCAAUAAUAUUAUUGUCCGAGAGAUCCAAAUAUUCCAAAUUGAUGAGAUUCCCCAUGGUUUGUGGAAUUUCUCCAUGUGAUUGGAUCUCAAACUUAAAUAUCGCAAACUGUUUGUGAAAUUUUCUAUCAUUUCUGGAAUAUAUCCAUUAAGCUCAUUACCAUCUAAUCCAAGGUACUCCAGAGGUCCAAGACUCCACAAGACUUGUUCAACUUCUCCGCUUAAUGAAUUCCAACUCAAAUCCAAAUGCUUGAAGCUCCUGCUCACAUUCAUUACUAUUCCAAAAAUAUCUCCUUUGAUAAGAUUAUAUUGCAAAUCCAAUGCUUUCAAAUUACUUAGAGCUCCUAGAGUCAUUUGUAGUGACUCAAUAUCGAUACCACCACAUUCAAAAAGAUCAAGAUAUACAAGGCUACUAGCAUGAGAGAACCAUCUUAGAAUUGCUGGGUAGAAAUUUCGAUAACCAGAGAUAUCCAACUUGACGAUUGAAGUCAUAUUAAAAUGGGGCAAAGGAGAUGGAAUAUACGGGAGCCUUGCCCAUCUCAAGUGCAAUACUUCAAGACUGGGAAUUGAAUUAACUUGAUGAAGCCAAUUUGUUGCUUUAGAGAGAUUGACAAAACUCAUAUCAACAUAUUUCAGAGAAGGAAUUCGGGAGAGCCAAUCAAGGUCAUCAGCUCGGGGAUCACUAUGUCGACAUCCUCCAAGAUCGAGAUAGUGUAACUUAGAGAGAUUCCCCAGUUGAGGAGGUAUUAGUCCACCAAACAUGGCAUUAGAUAGGUUAAGAUAUUCCAAAUGCACAAGUGAAGCAAUCAUGUGGGGAAUGUGGGAGCCAGAGAAAUUAUUCAUGCUCAAAUCCAGAUAUUCCAAAUGCUUCAGAUCAUGCAAAGCAGGAUUUAACUUGCUCACACCCAUUGUUUCCGAAGCGGCGCAAAAGCCCUCGUCCACCAAAUCAUACGGGUAGGGAUGGUGCAGGUCAAGCUUGAUGACAUGGCUGGUGGCAUUGUCGCAGGCCACCCCUCUCCAGCUACAGCAAUCUUCACCGAUCCAAGAAGAGAGCCUUUCGUCGGAGUCGAACAUAUCGGAUCUGAUGGCUAAGAGAGCUCUCCUCUCGCUCUCUAUGCAACCUUUGCCCUCCGCCCUGAGACGAUCAUCACGAUCACCUUCGCCAUGGCCGAGACAACAGGAGAUGACUCCAAAGCUCAUAAUUACGGCCGUGAGCAUGGUGACAUGCUUUGAGCAAAUAGAUUUGCCCUUGCAGCCACCGCUAGCAGCCAUUGAGUAAGCUUUCAGAGAUGAUGGAGUAUAUAAGGUGUGAGGUUGGAAGGUGGCUCCAUACAUACAUAUAUAGAAUGACACUGAACGUUCCUUGAGGGCUGAUCAAUCUCAAAGACCGGUGUUGUUGACAUACCGUUCCCGCACUCCAACAUUCAUUGACGUGAUAAAUGGUUUGGAAUGGGCUGGCGAAUCUUCCUCGAUGUUUCUUGCAAUCCUUACAGUCGAACAACGAUGUGAUCAUUACUAAUCAGUAAUUGGACCGACGAGUUAAUCUGAUAGAAUGAAUAAUUAAUAUAAAUAUAUAUAAUUAUACAUAUAUAUAUAUAUAAGUUUUAAAUAUGAAUAAUUAUUAUCUGAGAAUAUUACAAUAAAGCAACAGAGUCCAAGUCAUCGAGGUCAUUUAAAUUAAAUCUUUUGUUGUUAACAUUCUAAAAAGGUGGAAAUGAGUUGUGGAAUGACCACAGUUAAGCACGGUAUUUUAUAGAUUUUUUAUACUAUAAAUUUUGUUUAAUUUGGAUAUAUCUCAAAAAUAAUUAUUGUGGGUAUAAGGUCAUUGCACUCUGAAGCAUUUGUGAUGUGAUUAUGAUACAAGUCAAAGUCAAACAAAUAUCAAUCUUUUAUCUCUUGGAUAGUAACGAUGACCUGUUCUAAUAAGGUGAUAAAUGGAUUGAUAUUUUAGAUCCUUUUCCUAACGUGGCAAAGUGGACAAGAAUUGUCCGUCAAUGUAUCGUAUAUGUGGGUUUUUCUAUUUGUAAUUUCAUGUUCGAUUUUUUUUUUUAAAUAGACAACUUUCAUUGAAUUAGAAAAAACAUGUUCAAUUAUUUGUAUAUAUAAAAAAAUAUUUUUUUUAGAAAAUAGAAAUAAAAUUAAAAAAAAUUCUCUUAUCAAAUAUUCAAUUUUUAGAGUGAUUUUUGGAUCAAUUAAAGAAAGAAGAGUGAUUGAGAUAUGAGAAAAAGAAUCAUCGGAUGAUUUCAACAUUGAAGUUGAGGAGGAUCCAAACUCCCAUCUAUCAAAUAUAAAAAAAAAAAAUCCAUCCUCAACCAAGUGUUUCCUAAUUAGUUGACCAGUCAAUAGGGGUUACUUUUGCUCAAUUAUAUCAUUGCAAGUAUUGCAAUGUACACAUUAAGAGUUAUGACUAAAUAUGGCACAAUCAAUAUUGGAAUAACAUACAUCAGGUCAUGGCAAUUGGGUUUUCAUACCCCACUUGACAUGUGUUGAGAAGUCUCGUGACGUGCUGAGCGGUUUGAUGGGAGAUGGAAUAAAACUAACGAGUCUAAAUCUCAGAAAUUAAUUUUGUCUUUUUGAUCAUUACUUGAUGUCUCAUUCUAGCUCAACCCCUUAAGGGGAAACGAGAGAGGUCACUAUUUACUUGUCUGAGGAUCUUCCUCUCUUUUUUUCUUUUUUUCUUUUUUUAUCUUUAUUGAUGCAUAACUAUUAAGAAUAUUCAUUUCUAUUUUUAUUAGAUAGGUAUAAAUAAUAUUUUGAUAGAACGCUUCCAUUUUUCAUGUCAUGUGACGAGGCAAUCUUAAAGAAAUGCUUAAUAUAUAAGGGAGUUGGGUGAGGAUAGAUAAUAAAUAAGAAAAUAAAAUAGAGAGAGAAAAUAAGAAAAAUAUAAUUUAUAAAAAUAUUAAUUUAAGGAGGAGGACUUUGAAAUGAUCUUUUGACUCACUUUGUUGAAAUAUAUGAGUCUUUAUUGUGAAUUGACCCAGAGAGAAGGACGGUAGAUGAUACUUUUAGACUUGUUCCAAAUCUUUCUAUUUAAGAAAAAAUUAUGGCCUUUAUCACUUAUACAAUUUGCAAAAAAUAAUACUAUUAUCAUGAUCCCAUUAUAAUUCUUGGUUUUUUUACAUAGGUCACAGAAACAUAAAAAAAAGUAACUAAUAAAGAUGAAAUUAAAUCACCUCAAAAAAUGAUUCAAUAUGUUUCAUUUGGUCAUCUUUUGAUAAAAUAAACUUCUAAAAUUGUAUUAUAAAAUAAUCUUUCCUCUUUAUAUAUCAUGUUCUUCCUUUCUUAUAUGAUGAAAAUUCAUACUAUCUUUUCUUUUAUUUAUUUAUUAACAAUCUUGAAAAUAAAAUCAUGAAUAUGUAGGAUAUUAUCAUAUGACAAUUGGACUAUGUCAAUUGAACUCGAGUCUGAAUUCACUAUCAAUCCAAAUGAUUUGUGUCGAUCUUUUUUUCUUUUUACAUUUGUGAAAUAUGACAUGUGGAAUCCAAAUGCACGAAUAAAUUAUGGAUUGAGAUAUAAUAUGAGAAUCAAUUAUAAAUUUGAAUGUAAACCGUAGAGGGUGUAACUUCCCUUCUUUCACUAAAGGUCACAUUUCUUGAUCAUUUAAUAAAAGUCAUAUAUAUAUAUAUAUAUAUAUAUAUAUAUAUAUAUAUAUAAUCUUAAGGAUCGUUUAGGUUCUCAUACAGCAAUAUUUACGGUGUGGAAAGUCAAAUUCAAGUAGAUAUCUAUCUUUUCUAAUGAAAUGUUUAAUGAUUUAUAUAAAUCUCAAUCUCAAGGAUCGUUGAGGUUCUCAUACAACAACAUUUAUAGUGUAGAUUGGUUUAUUGAAUCCUUUUUCAAUGAUUUAUCUUCCUAACGUACCGUGUCAAGUAGACAAGAAAUGUUAUUAUUAUACCUGUAUCUUUUCCUAUAUGUACUUUCAUAUUCAAUUAAUUUUUACUUAUAAAAAAAGAAAUAAUAUUUAAAAAAAUACUUUUAGUGUCCAUCCUAUCAUUUAGCACACACAAAUGAAACAAUCAAUAAUAAUAAUAAUAAUAAUAAUAAUAAUAAUAAUAAUAAUAAUAAUAAUAAUAAUAAUAAUAANNNNNNNNNNNNNNNNNNNNAAACAAUACAAUAAUAAUAAUAAUAAUAAUAAUAAUAAUAAUAAUAAUAAUAAUAAUAAUAAUAAUAAUAAUAAUAAUAAUAAUAAUAAUAGUCCCUUCAUUUUUCAUGAUUUUUUGAUUAAUUAAAAAAAUAAUUGAGAUAUGAGAAAAAGAAAACAACAUAUGCUUCCAAUAUAUAAGUUGGGAAUGAUCCAAACGUACAUCCUCGGGUGAUUUGAAGGGGAUAGAGUGAAAGGACGGGUCUUCAUGCAAAUAAGUCUAAGAGGUUGAUAUCAUCUAUGGAACCUUUCUUGAUGUUUUAUUCUAACUCACCCCGUCAAGAGGGGAAUGUCUUAUUCUAACUCACCCCGUCAAGAGGGGAAUGUCUUAUUCUAACUCACCCGGUCAAGGGGGGAAAGAGAGAGGUGACUGUAUGGUUGCCUAGCAUGCGGAUCUUCCUCUCUCUUUCCUUUUGUUUGUCUUUUCUUUAUCUUCUUUAAUACAUAUAUUUGUUUCUAUUUUUGUUGGAUAUGCAUAAAUAAUAUUUUGAUAGGACCCUACAAUUCAUCGAGUUCUCGCAUUGAUUGAUUUUUUUUUUAUAUGUCAUACAACCGUGAGAGAAAACUUAAUAUAUGAGAGAAUUUGACGGGUGGAUAAUAAAUAUGAAAAGAACAAAAAUGAAGAGAAAAUGAGAAAUUUUUGUUUUUUAGAAAUAUUAGUUUAAGUAAUAAAAAACGAGUGUUAGGAAUCAAAUAAGAGGAGGGCUUUGAUUGUUGGACAGUGCAACUCCUUCCACAACCACAGCAAGAUCAUCUCUUUGCUUCAAGUUGCAAUCGGCCACUCGAUAGACCAAUUCGUUUGCGUCCAAAGCAAGUCAAGGGAAGAGUCUCAUAGGCCACCGAUCGAAAUCCACAGUAAAUGGAGAUGAGAGAUCAAUCUCCACAUACCUCUGGACAAAUUUCCUACGUUCAAAUUUCAAUGAUCUAUCAUCGAUCUCGAUCCCUUUGCCCAACAUAAAGGGAUUUGAGACAUCAUAAUAGGUCUGUUGUGAGUUGGAUUUGGAGAGGAGAGGAAGGCAAAGGAUAGUCUUAAGCUCACUCCAAGUCUUCGGCUUAUGGAAAAAUUAUGCAAUCUUCUUUUUAUUUAUUUCCUCAUCCUUAUUUAUUUCCUCCGUCUUCCUUUCUUAUAAACAAUCUAAAAAACAAAAACAUGAUUACAAAGGAUAUUGUCAUAUGGCAUCUUGAAUAUAUUAAUUAAAUUUGAACUUAAGUUCAUUAUUAAUCUAAAGUGAUUCACGUAGGUCUUUUUUUCUUUUCAUGUAUGUGAAAUGUGACUUGAUUUCUAUUAUUAUAGCUUAAACUUUUUAGUAUGAGUUCUUUUCAAGAGGAUCUCCGUCAUUGCAUGAGCUCUGAACAUAGAAAUUUUGUAUAAAGUGGAUUAGUUUAGAUCUUUUAUUAUUUACUCAAUUUAAAUAAGUAUAUAUAUAUAUAUAUAUAUAUAUAUAUAUAUAUAUAUAUAUAUAUAUAUAUUAUAAUUGAUCAAUCAAUCUAAAGGAUGGGUGAGGUUCCCACACUCCAACAUUUAUGGUGUGGCUACAAAUAGAGUCAUGACGUGAUGAAUGUAUUAGAAUGAGAACGCUGAAUUUUCUUUGAUGACUCUUGAAACCUUAAUUGGGAUGUGAAAUACGAUUAUGGAGAUAUCCCAAGAUUAGUUAGUUAUUGUGGGUAUGAGGUCUUUCUACUCUAAAGCAUUUAUGGUAUAGUUAUGAUGAAAGUCAAUGUCAAGCAGAUAUCUAUCUUUUUCUAAUGAAAUGUUUGAUAAUGCAUUUGUGGUGUGGAUUGGUUACGAUGAAAGUUAAUGUCAAGCAGAUAUCUAUCUUUUUCUAAUGAAAUGUUUGAUAACGCGUUUGUGGUGUGGAUUAGUUUAUUGAAUCCUCCUCCAUUGAUUUAUCUUCUUAACGUACCUUGUCAAGUUGACAAGAAAUUUUGUUGUUAUACCAGCAUUUUUUUUCCUAUAUGUACUUUCAUGUUCAAUUAAAUUUUACUAAUAUAAAAAAAUAAUUUUAGUAUCGGUCCUGCCUUUAGCACACACAAAUGAAAUCAAGUGGAACCAUCAAUAAUAAUCUUUUCUCAUAUAUUUAAUCAUCUUCAGGUUAAGCUUUUCAUUUUUUUUAUUCAUUAAAGGAAAGAAAAAAAAGUGAUAGUGGUCGUGUACACUACAUCGAACCCUCGAUCUUUGAUAACUUGAUCGAUGAAUUGUUCAAGUCAAAAGGAGUCCUUUUCGUUCAAUUAGUUUUUUAUACGAGAUAAUUGGUGAAGAUAGAUUUGAUCUUCUCACUUUUCAAUCCUCUAUUGAUCGGAUGAUUCUAAUUCAGAAACAAGUUGGUGAGGUCUCCUUGUGCAUGCAGAUGCUAACUGUUCCAUCAUAUUCCAUUAGGAGUACUUCUCAUUCUUUUCGAUGAGUUCAAGAACGUGCACUUCACACGAACGUGGAUUAAAUACAUCGCAAGAUGAGUUAGAUUAAGAGUCGACAAGUGACUGCUUCCUUCUGUAAAAUAGUGGGAAGUGAUGAGUUCGGAUCAUUUUCUAGUUCAUGGCCUCUGCACUACGAGGAGCAGUUGGAAAGAACAGCAGAGAAGACACUGCUUAUACUGUGAUGCGUCAACACAAAGAUAUAAGUCCAGCUAUGAACGAAUGCCAUUUGUACCCAAUCAGUGUACAAGAAAAUGAUCAAGUGCUCGCAAUUCAUUUAGUGUUAUUGCAUUUCACGGACAAUUCUUACUGGUCAAGUGCCAAUCUGUCAUCUUUCAUGGUCAUUCAUGAUCAUUGAUGCCGGAUAGUGAAGUCAGCAAAAGAUGAUGUCUUCUUCAAUGGUAGGAAAAGGAGAAAGCAAUUACAUCAUAGACCUCCUAUAAUCGACAAGCACUGUUGUUGCAGGAGGGGGAAUGGCAUCUGAAUAGUUCAAUCGUAUCAUUCAUUUUUAUAUGUUCCAAAGAAUCCUAAUUUAACAUGAACCUUUUAGUUGGGAAUUUGAGAUGCCAAUCAGAUGCAAACAGCUGAAUUCAAUCACUGUUCUGGUGAUGUCAAAUCCUCCUAAGGUGUUCUUUAAUUAAAGUAGAAUUCGCAUAACUUUUGGAAAAGAAUAGGUUAAACAAUAUAAGAGUAUAGCAUCACAUUGUGUUAAUUAAUUAUUAUGACAAAUUCUGGUUGUCGUAAGCUUGAUGUCAGAAACGAACGGAUUCAAUAGGAUCCUAUAAAAAUUAUAUCGGGGACAUACUCGACAAAGGGUCCAUCUGAUACUUCAGUUUCAAGAAAAAAAAAACAUUAUAUAUACAAAUUAUUCCAUAAAGUUUUAGAAAUGUACUUCGGAUCAAUUUUUUAUAAGGAGUUCCCAAAAUUGUUAUUACGUGGGGGAGUUAUACUACAAAAAUAUUUAUAUGAAAUCAUCUGCCAUCAUUCGAUCAUAGAAAGAUUUAUCGACUAUUAGCGGUACAACUACCACAUAUAGAUUCGUGUUAAUAGGGUAUGGGAGUCCUAGCUCAUCCAUCACAAUGAAUGGCUUUACGAUAUAACACCAAGUCGAGUGUCGGUGUGGUGCUCAACUAAUGUGUUGAACUAAUAAGGUAUCGGAUCCCUUAAUCACUAAUCCAGCUGAACUUAAGAUGAACGUGAGAUUGUUGGAGCUAUAACUCAAUUCUUGGCUUGCAGGUAAGUUAUUGUGGGGGUACUCAUAAUCAAGAAAUGUCACUGUUAUGUUCCUAUGGCAAAGACAUUGAAUCUUUUGCGGCGCAUUGAACUCAUUGCAAAUAAUUCAUCAGAACAUUCCAAAUGUGCCUUCACAUAGACAUUAAGAUAGAUAUAGAAAAUGGAUCGACACAUUAAAGAGACAAACAGUUGCUGCAGAGGACAAGCAGCUCGUGCAUUUGCUUUGGAGUCAUUCCUUUUGGGUUGCCACAGAGCACAUGGGAUCCAUGAGGGACAAGAAACAGAUGAUAACAUACAAUGUUUCUGACAAUGAUGAUGAUAGAGAUAUGGUUAAGACAAUGACAAUACUAGAAUACAACUUCCAGCUCUACAAGAAUCUGAUAGAAGAAAUAGCAAGCAUUCAAUCUUUACUUUUCUUCAAGGAAUUGAGAAGAGCGAGUGUGAAGUUUCUUUAUUUCUCUAUAGCAUUCAUAAUGCCAAAAGCUCUCAAAUGGAAUGAACAAAGAGUCACUCUAGAAGAAGUCCACAUUGAAUUCACUUGCCAAUGCACCUCGAGGGACAUUGAAGCAUGUCCCUGAGAGAUCAUGAGACAAUGAGAUCAAUGGAUAGGUGCUGUAAUCUUCAGAACUCUCCAUAUCUUGCUUCUCUUGCCAAGAACUAUACCUUUGUUCAUGAGACUCCACACCAUUAAUCUGCACAUGAGUUGGUGCUUCCACCUUCUCGGCAGAUGCCCAAUUCAAGGCUUCAAUUCCAAGCACAUUGUUCAUCUCAGAUCCAAUGCUGCAGUUCCAGUUACAGCUGUUGCUUGAGCUCUCUCCAUAGCCAAACUUCUCUGUAACAUACAACGCACUGCUAUAGUCACAUAAUCCUUCCUUCUGUCCCAAUGGUUCUAAAGUUUGAUGGAUUUGGUUGUAGAUAUUCACAUUAUCCUCUGCUACUGAAUCCAAACAUGUCUGGAUUUCGACCAGUGGGAAGGUAUCAAAGACUGGUUUUGUCGGCAACUCCUCGGAUGUAGCACCAGUGUUUGAGCAGUACAUUCUGGUCUCAUCUUCUUCUGCUUUUAUCUCAUUCAGUGGCUUAUGACUGCUCGGGUCGAUUCCUCUCUGUCGAAGCUUCUUCUUGAGACACGAGUUCCAGAAGUUCUUGAUUUCAUUAUCUGUUCUCCCCGGCAACUGCGACGCAAUUUGAGACCACCUGCAACCACAAAUCAUGAGAAAGAUCGACACUGCGAGCUUCUUAGAGAAUAUCCUCAGGCUUGGCUGUCACCUGUUGCCCAGAAUUGCAUGCAGGCUUAUGAUCAAAUCCUCUUCGUUCUGGGAGAAGCUGCCUCGUUUGAGGUCCGGUCUCAGGUAAUUAAUCCACCUGAGCCUGCAACUCUUCCCACAGCGCUGCAAUCCUGCGAGAAGAAGAUGAGUCUCUGAAUCAAGUUGAUGAAUUCAGAGGAUAGCAAAGGAAAAGAUCAGAAACAAGGAAGAGUUAUAGAAUGCCUGAUAGUUUCGGGACAGAGCUCCAACAGCCAACACCAUAUCUGAUGAUGUGGUUGUAAAGCUUCUCGUCUUCCUCAGGAGACCACAAGCCUUUCCUUAUCUUCUGCUUGAGACAGCAAGAAUGCCGUCCCAUUGUUGUGGAUACGGUCUGCUUGAGGUUCAAUGUCAGAUGAAGCAGACGGGGAAGAGAGGGAGGGAGAAUCAAAAACAGACACAGAAAGAGAGAGAAGGAAGAAGAGGAAGGUGAAGCAAUCCAGUGAGUCCUAAGCAAGUCUCUGGUGUUCUUGCACUGCAAUGGAUUGGGAUUUAAGAUAACAUCAGUUAGUGGUAGGAAGUAGGAAGGAAGAGGGUGAAUAAAAAAUUCUCAAAGGAUGCUGGUGAUCUAUGAGAGAAGCUUCAGUUAGGAGCAAUGACUGUGAAGCUUCACUAACCUGUACAAUUUUUUCUCAAUGACAAGAAAAUAAUGAUAGAGAAUUCUUCUACACCAUAAAAUUCAUCUAAAUCAAUUGAAGCAUUCAUUUCACUGAUGAUCACUGUGAUACAUUGUCUACUGGAUACAGUGAUACCAACUUUCUUUUCUAGUCUUUAAGAAAAGCAAAGAUAGUGUCAGGUUCCACAAGUCAAAUGCUACAGCAUCUUGCAACUGAGUGUUCCCUUUCCUCUGAGAUUUCCCUAUGAUCUCACCAAAUUGACCUGAUCUUGGUGGCUAUUUCUGGUCUCUAAAUGACUAUGUAACCACUGAAAAUUACAUCUAGCAGGAAAACACACCUCCAUGCAUCAGUUCUAGUGACACUACUGAAAUUAACAAGUAUCAGAAGAGCAGACAAAUGUCAUCCAUGUGAAUACAAACAUAACAAUCUGAACAUACUGAUUUCAAUUGAAACCUGCAAUGCUGAAUUUGUUCAUCUUUUUUCCAGGCUUGCUCAGGGAGAAAAUUAAGAUUAGUAGGGCUUAGAAUUGAAUAAGAUGAGCUACCAACAGUUAUUAUACUUUUGAACAGUGUAAGGAUUAGCAGAGGUAUAAAGCUUAGGAAUCACUGUAAUUGGUGGUCCAUUGAAGUCCUCAACUGGCUUCUUUGAGGAUGAAAGGUCAUUGUACACCUGUUCUGAGAAUCCAAUGAAUCAUGCUGAUUUCCCUAUUUGAUGAUAGCACACAAAAUGUAGCCAUCUCAUCAUCUUUGGUUGUGACAGGGAGAAAUUUUAUUUCUGGUCUGUCUUAUGGCCUUGAAUGUGACUGUGUUAGGAGCCAUUCCAACAUAGCAAUUAUAUUUCCAUGUUGUGCAUGUUAUAAGUUGAUUAAAUGUUUAAGCAACACAUAUUACUCUGAUUAAUUCAGAUCACCUGCCAAAUCUUCUAGACACAUUAUCUCAGUCAUGUCCCUUUCCUUUAUAAAUAAUCUUGGUGAUUAUUCACCAACCACUACAGUUCUUGGGCAAAUUAUGUGCCUGCACUGAGACCAGUGUUGUGAUAGAAAUGAAUCAAAGAUGUAUUUGCAAGUAACCACUGAAGAUGUCAUGAUUGUUUGAUUGAUAUCGGAUUAUUGUGCUAAAGAAGUUUCUUCUUUAGUGACAUAUUUUGAGUAGACAAUGAAGAAAUUUACACAGCUAACAUGUUUCUGCACUCUGAUCAAAAGAUUUCAAUUCAAACAAUUUUGUCCAGUUGCAAUUCCUGUAGUUGACUGGAGGCAUUCACUUAGAGAGAAACAAUGUUGCUAAUUUUUCUGUGCCAAAUGAACUACAUCACCACAACAUAUCAUCUACCACAGAUGAGUAGAGCUCCUUCUGUGCUUCCAUUUUCUAUGUGAAGUUUCUUAGAUGUGGACUUGAAGAGCUUCCAUCUCACGUGAGAUUGGCUUGUUUGCGUGCCUCCUUAGAGACGGAAACAUCAUAGUGGCUCCUCUUUCAAGUCACAAAAACCAGAGCAAAGGAGACAACAUUGAGACAAAGGCAAGCCAUUAUUAUAUCUUCUUUCCUUAGUUAUUUAGAGCUUAUGGUCUGUUAUGAGGUGGAGUAGGUUCUACUUGUCCUAAUAUUAAGGUGCAUGAUUAGUUUGCUAGCCCACACACUGUUAACUCAUCAAACAAUAUGUCAAUUAGAUGCAUGUAGCUCAACACAACAGCUAAUUACUGCAUUGGCACUAUUAGCAGGACAACUCACCAAUUUUGACAUGGAUGUACACAAUGAUCUCUAGAUCUGUUGAUCAUGACCAGCAGUUUACUCUUCCAAGUUCCUGAAGAAAUCAGUCAUGCAGCUUUAAGUGUCAAACAGUCAAAAAUCAUUGCUCUUUUGGACUAGAGAUUGAACUUUGUGAUCUGUGCUCAUAGGUGGCUUCUAUCAUUACUGAAAAGGUAGAUAGAUAUGGAUGCAGAUGGAUUGGUUUUUGACCUUGUUUUGCCGACUAGAGAUGCCUCUCUGGCUCUCCAAAUCCUAUUUUGCAUCAUUGAAGAUAAGAUUGGGUAAUUUGGAUGAAAAGAUUAGGAAGAUCUUGCUUGCUAGUUGUUUCCCAAUACUAGCUUUCUGCAAGCUUAGCAAGAAGCAAGAACCAUUUAUCUUCUUCUUUAAGGAAUAUGAUGCACUGUUCUUCACUUUCUCUGGUGUGAGCUGACCAUGGAAAGAGAAAGAUAUGUGAUGAAAGAGUGAGAAUUCAUGAGAUAUUUCCCACCAACACCUGCCACUUUCCACUUGGUUUCACCAGAUCAGCUCCAUGACUAACUGUAAUCCACUUGCACAUAUAUUUUACAGCUCCUUAACCUUUUGUUUUCCUACCUCCACUAGAGACAUGGAAAACGAACUCAUCAAUUAUGGUGUGGAGACAACCGAUCACCAUCAAAUCAAUUCCUCAUUGAUGGCAGUGAUCAUCUACAGACCGACCCCUAACUCUUGUUAUAUCUUUUUUGUUCAUCAGUGGCACUGUUUGAAAUGGUUGGUAUCUUUUUCUAGGAAAAAACCAAGAACAGUCAGAAUCGGAUACAUUGAUCUUUGUCAUCAAGCAAUAGCUCUAGUUAAAUUAGGAACAUUCAAAUCCCUGUUUAUUAUUUUUGAUGGUCUUUUAUAGUCUGCUUUUUCCUCUUUCAUAUUACAAAAUCUGAUCAUGUCACGGCAUCUUUUCUCAAGGGAGAAAACAUCAUAAAGGCCAAAAUUUCCAGUCAGGUAGCAAGAGUUGGCUGCUUGAUUGAACAUAUCUGAUAACCUUUUCUUCAUACGCAGCUGGAGUUGCUAGUGUCUAAAAGAAAACAUGAUGAUCAUUUUCCCUGCUAAUGUCUUCAUGUGCGGCUGGAGGAGCUUCAAUCCAUCGUCACUGAUUGUUCUGAUGCAACAGUCACAGAGAAAGAGAUACCAUGAAGUGUAUCAGAUGAUCAUAAGAAGAGAACAAUCUGCAUAAUUUUUUUACACAGAACAGUGCCUUACAAGCGGUAGAAAUAUACUUCAAAUGUUUUAAUAAAGAGAUUAAUCGAUUUUUAGCUAAAAUUUCAGAGCAAUUGGUUGCCUACUUGCAAUAAAUUUUGUUGGAAGCUGCGCAGGGUGUCCAUGUCAAUCCAUUGCUGAAAUCAACUACAAAGAUUGGAUUAAAAUGCCAUCAGAAAUCAGUCAAUUUUGAGCAGUGACUAAUAAUCAUGGACAUGAGACUGGAGAAGUACUGCAUAAUGGCAAUAAGGAAAAAGGAUUUAGGGAUCAUUUUUAACUAAUUCGAUAGUAAAUAGAAAGUUAAACAUUUAUUGCAAAUGUAACACCAAUUAAAUUGAGAAAAGCUCACAAGGACCUCAUAUUCCAUAAUUUAUAAACGAUUCUAGAGGUACAAUAAAUAGAAAUGACUACCAACACCAUAAAUUCUAGUCCACAACAAGCCUCUCAGCUGCACUAUGUAUUGUGAAACUACCUUGAUGGACUUCAAGGCCGAGGAGUAAUCAGAGAUUCAUCUUUACUUGAGAAAGCCUCAAACAAAUACAAGAAACAAAUUUUUCUCUAUACUUAUCUGCUGGAUUUGAGAUGUAUAGGUAGAUAAUAUGCGUUCCUAAUUCAUAAUAAACAUUGUUUGAUCUUGUCAUUCCAUCGAGAAAAAUGUAAUGUUUCAAAGUAUCGGUGGCUAAAAUCUUUACCAAAAUUUUUUUUUUUAGUUUUUCUCCAUUUUUGUCUAAGAAAGAACGUAUAAUUUCGUUGUUCUAUUCAAUAUUUUGUUAUUAGUAUCAUUAUCAUUAUUGUUAUUGUCUGAGAUGCCUAUUCAGAAUUUUUCGCUUUCAGAUGUUUGUUAAUCUAAUUUUACAAUGUCAAUUUUUACAUCAACCUAAUAAAUUGUAAUCUUUUGCAUUCGGUCAAAAUUCCAACGUUAUCUUCAUUCUCUGUGUUUAGUGACCAUUUGGUUGGCAGUCUUCACUCUUUGGUACUCAAAGGUAGAAGAAUCUGUAUGAUUUCCAUCUCAUAGGAGUGUGAUCACAGUAACCAACAACAAAGCUUCCCUUUCAAGAAGAGAUCAUCAUCCAAGAAUGAUUAAGUAAAGGUACAGCUAUGUAGUCACAUUUUUUCUUCCUCCACCUUCCAUCAAACCUUAGUUCAGUGGUCCUUUCCUGCUUGUCAAUACAUUGUCUCCUUGUCCCCUGGAAAGUGAUGCUUUUUAGCCUUUUUGCUGUGUUGUCUAAGUGGUCCAUCACAUUUCACAACCUCCAUCACUUCAGCUAACAUCAAGAAGGACCAACUUGCCCAUCCAUAUAUAUAUUGCUUCAGUAUAACAAUGUUGCUUUCUCUACCUCCAAUCAUUUUAGCUGCACGUUUUAUGGCAAAAGGUGAGAUUUUGUGUGUUAUUGGUGUACAUAAGAACUUCAAGACUUUUAGGGGCAAAGCUUGGAUUUAUUAGUCUGUCUCUGAGCAACAAGUAGGCAUUAUAAUUUGAUAUUCAAAAAGGAAUGAUUUAAUCAAUCAAUGUUCAUGCCGACAGUUUGACAAUCAAAUUUCAUAUAACUCAAUUUAAGUUGUUCCUUAAGGAAAAGGAAGUGCUAACCAAGCUACAUCAAUACAUAUUAGAGUCAAAAGUUCUGAGGAUUUAGUAAGAUUCUACAAAUUAGGUGCCUCAAUCACAUCAUCCAUAAUGCAUUUUCACUCCACCCAACUAAGUAAAUUUCAUUGUUUUUUUUUAUUUUAGCAUUCAUAAUUCCACAACACUACGAAACCAGGCAUCAAAAAAUUCAUUUUGAUUCAGCUAUGUUCCAUGCUUAAGUUGGCUUUAACCGUCUGAUCUAGAAUAAGACUAAGAUACAGAGGAUACUUGUUUAUUGAUCCCAUUAGCAUCAUUCAUACUCCUUGUCGAUAGGGGAUAAUUAGUCCUUAUUCCAUACAAACCAGCACAUAUCAAGUUUCUUUUUUGUUGGGUUCUUUUUAGGGAAUAAAGUAUCAAGUUAAUCAGCCUAAAUUAUCACUGAAACUUCCAGAUAUUACACUUUCAAAUCAUCCAAAUCUGCAAAUAUGCCUAACUAAUAAAUCAUAGUGUUUCAACAAUCCAUCACGUAGAAAUGUCUUGUGGUUUGGUAAUAAAUAUAACUUUCAGAGACAAUCCACAUCACCAUGUAAGAUUGUUAUGUAGGGUGAAAUUUUUUGGUGGAUGAAUAGGAAGGUGUCAUUAUAUUAUGAUUGCAGGUGUUCUUCAAAAACGAUAGAGCAAAUUCUAUAUAAUCAUGGCUGUAGAAGAUCUCAUAUUAUUUAUCAUAUGUGCAAUUUUUAUAUUUUUUUAGUUGGAAGUAUUAAAUCUCAAAUGUAGCACAUAACAGUUUGGGGGUCAUAAUGUUGUGUAACCAAUCUAGUUUAUUUCUUAUUUGAAUAAAUUUAGUUAGUUUAGAGAUAUUUUGUGUAUGACAUAAGUUGUCGCAUGGUAACAUUUAGAAUAUUAUUAAUUUUGUUUCCUAGAUUUAUUGUGAAAAAAAAAGGAAAUGAAUCAUCAAACACAAGAACGAAAUAUUAAAAAAAAGGAUUUAUUUGACAAAGCAAAUUUAGAAGCUCACUUCUCUAGAAAAAAACCAAAAAAAUAAUUAAUUAGCAUUUAUAUGAUUGUAUUUUUUCUUACUAUUUUUUUUUAUUUGAGGCCCAUAAAAAGGACAGAUAAUGGAUCCAUGAAUUAAGUUGCACAGAGUUGCAAGGUCUUUAUCCUAUGAGGUAAUUAUUUUCUUUCUUAUCCUAUUAUUUGGGAUAUUAUCUUUUAUUUUUUCUCUUUUUUUGCUUCUUUAAAAAAGAAAUACUCUUUUUUUUUGUUGGAACUUGUCUUACACUGAAUUUGAUGUCAGAUAUUUUGAUUUAGUUAAGAUGUUUUAUCAUCAAGAUUAAUCUAUAUUUCAAUUUUAUAAACUCAGGAUGAAGCAAAUGAUGGGAGAUCAAUUUGGUUUAGUUCUUAUUUGCAUAAAUUUGUCUAGUCUAAGGAUACAUCGAGAAAAUCAUUAAUAUUCAUAUGGUAAUAUCCAAGGUCCGCCAUACCGUACCGUACCGGAAUUUCGACCCGGGCUCGGUACGGUACGGUACCGGUGUACCGGGCGGUACACCAGGGCGUACCGAGCGGUAUACCCCUGGUGUACCGAUACUGUAGCACUGUAGCAGUACUACAGUGUAGUACUGUAGCACUGUAGCGGUAUCGGGCGAUCCGCGUACCGAGUACCUGGCAGACCGGUACGGCUGGUACGCUUCGGUACGGCAGACACUGGUAAUAUCCAGAAUAUGUUCAAUUUUUUCUACAUUAAUUAUAAAGAAAAAAAGUAAAUGAUUAAAAAUAGGAAAAAGACUAUCUAGCUAACAGAAAUGGUUAGGAAGAUUAUUUGACAAGUCAAAUUUGAAAUUUAUAUUCUCAAAGAAAGAAAGAAAUAAUUUAUUUGAUUAAUGUUGAUAUGAUUGUAACUCUUUCUUAUUAUUCUUUCUUUAUAUACUAUGACUUGUAAAAAGUGAUCAACAAAUUAUAAUGGUUUUAUCGUGGAAUGGACCAAUGAACUGAGUUAUUUUCUGAUAUUACAUUUUUUUUUUCGAAUGUAUAAUUUCAUUUUGACGUGUUGAAGUAUGAGGUUUUUUAUCUUGUAUUCUCCUUAAGCCAAAAUUAUUCUAGUAAUUAGCUCUUUUUUUCUUCCUUUUAUCUUUCAAUUAUUAUCUUUUUUUGCAUUUUCUCCUGUUGUACCUUUGCAAACUCAUAGUAUCAGCACAUAACCUAUGAAAAAUGAUAUAUUAAUAAGAAUAAUGAGUUAUAUUGUGGGGGAGAUAAAUGAAUUAAGAAGACCAAUCUACAUGUAGAAUGAAAGUGAAAGUUUUGAAUGACUCUAUCGAAAUAUAAUGGACCAAUUAAAUUAAUUCCAAGACAUAGCAAGCCCAAGCCCAAGCCCAAUGUUCUUAUUAUGCCUAUACUAAAACAUCCCAAGUCCGAACCCAAAUGGAACCCAUUGGAAGGCAAUCCCUUAUCAUAUUAUCCAUGGCAUCGAUUGCAAACUAAUGUUGAUGCAUUAAACUUACUUAUAUUAUAUUUAAUAUUUAUAACAUCAUCCUAAUUUUUCUAUUUUGUAAGAAGUCAACUAGUUUAACCGUAAUUUAUUAUCGAUUAUAUGGUUCAGUGAUCAAACCUCGUCUUCACCAUUUAACAUUAAUCUAUGAAAGAAAAGCUAACUAUUUAUUUUUCAAUGUCUCUGUAAUUAAAACUAAAUCUAAGCAGCUUUGGUACUAUCACAGAAUGGGUUGAUCAAACUGUCUUCAACUCCCAGGGGGUUGAGGCUGCUGCUGCCUCACCAACAAUUCUGAACUUCCAAAUCCAUGCAUGACCAGUAUCAACCAUGUUGUUUAUUAGGAAUUUAUUGGCCAACCACAUCACAAACAUGUACCGCAAUGUGAUGAGCCAAUGAUCUCUUGAUCCUUUACAUGCCAGUAUUAGUAGCCACACCAAAACAUCCCUCUCGACUCAUCCCUCUGGAAUCACCAAAAUGAAAGCAAAGGUUUCUGCUGUCAAUUAGGAGUUGGUCAUUGAUAGCCAAGCAGAUCUAUGUUUGCUUUGCAGAUAAACAAAGCACAGAAGAGGAAGGGGAAUGGUUAGGCCAACAGUUGAGUUCUUUGAUCAACCCUUGGAACUAAAGCAAAGUUUGUUCGAUUCUUGGUCACCAUCUUACUGUUACCUGCAGCUGGCGGUAUCAAAGUUUGUUAGAAGAGGAAGCAACGCUCGAGCUCCGUCGCUGUUGCCUGCAGCCAGCGGCAUCUAGGAACGAGUUCCGUUGCUGAUACGGUGAAGAAGAUUCAUGGAACAGAGGUUGGAUUCAUGAUGAAAGCUGAACUCUGGAAAUCUGACAACCAAAACACAGAAAAGGUAGAACAAAGCUUGUUCACAGAGAUGCUUGGUGGGUGGUCAGGAUGCCAUGGUUUGCUUAGAUUCUUGAACAACACAGAAAAUGGUUGGAUUCAUGCCACCUUACUAAGCACUAGAAAUUGGAAACAGAAUAAGGAAAACUUCCUCAACCUAACACCAGUUAAGUGACCCUUAAAUACAUCUCCCAAAACAAGUAGAUGUUUCGAAUGUAAUAACACCAAAAAGUGUUGCUUUUUUUAACACAAAGACAUCGAAUCUUUGCAUGCAUAUAACAAAUCACUAGAAAACCCAAACAAGUCAAUCAAACUUCCUCAAUUUGCUUCAUAAUAUCAUCAAAUACGAAGCAAAAGAAGGUCCAUCCAACAGAAUAUCACACCAUAUGAACGGAGAAAUAAAUAACAACAAUCAGAAGAGCAAAUAAGAGAGAAGUGAUUAAAUUUUCAUAAAGCAAACAAACACAAGAAUCACCUAUUUGCGCCGCAUCAUCUUCUCCUUUGUUGUUCCUUUUCCCCGACGACAUGGCGACGAACUUGUAAUGCGUAUCCUACUAAACUCACUUGAUCCUGUUCGUCUUCAGAUCGUGAACACGCGGAUGCAACACUGACUCCACUAGAAGAAAGAGAAAGAAAUAAACCAAAUGUUUAUUUGACCUUAUCGUAGAUGGCAAGAUGCAAUGGGUGCCAGAGGAUAGUUGGGAUGGCUUAUUACCUCGUAUUCAAGGUUGAUCUUCGAUGUUGGAGCCGAAUUCGUCGUUUCCGUAUCUCCAAAUCCAAUGGGUUUCUCUGUUCCUCUUUGGAUUAGGGUUUGCUGAAGAGAAGGGGUCGAACGGUGAGAAAUGGGAGGAAGACGCCUGAGGUUUCACCCACGGAUGAGCUUUGGGCCUCGCGGUGCUCCUAUGCUCCUAUGAUUUGGGUUUCACGCCUGAGGUGGGAGGGAGACGUCGUCGCGGUACGAUUAGAUUUGGGUUUCACGAAUGAGGUUUAGGUGCAACUAUGCUGCCGAUUGCAUUCGACGGUCCGCUGCUCCAGAUUGCAAUCGACGGUCCAGAUCAUAUAUCUAUUUAAAUUUGAUAAAUAUUUAAACUUAAAAAUUAAUAUACUAUAAAAUAAACAUUAGUGAAAAUAUACUAUAUGUUUUGUCCCUAAUAGUUAUUUUAGUGAUAGUAAUAAUAAUAUCUGUCAAUGAAAAUUCCUUUUGUAACAAUCAUAAUUUGUUAUCACAAAAUCUAAAAUUUUCAUGAUAAUAUUAGUGAUAAAACUAUAACUAAUAUAUCAUUUUAAAAGAUUUAUUUAAGAUCUUUUAGUGAUAAAAUAUGUGACAUUUUUGUCAUGGAUAGUUAUUUUAGUGACAGUAAUAAUAAUAUCCGUCAAUAAAAAUAUCAUUUGUAACAUGAGUGAAAUUUUAAAAAAAUGUUCCAAACUUUGUGAAUUUCUUAUGAAUCAUCUCAAUUUUAAAAAAUUCUCAUAUUAGCUUUUGGUCAUAUGAAAUGAUUAUUUUAUACUUGUCUUUGGAACCAUCGCCUCCUCUUCCUUGCACCACCUUUGUCACUUCCGUUAUGAUCGCCCUCACUUGACCCGCAUCGUGUGUGUGGAGGGGGUGACUAGCCCACAAUCAUAAGUAGUAAGGAGAGGAGAGAGCAAUGACUCAUAAGGUUUACCUACAUGUGUGCAAAAGGGGACAACCAAUAGUACACGUAGAGGCACAAACAAUUAUGGGAGGGGGCAACCAACGGGGCUUGCCCGCAUGCAUGGGGGGUGAUUGACGAGGCCAACCCUUACAUGUACAUAGGCGUAAGCGGCUAGAGGAGGGUAAUGGACGAGGCAAAAGGGGAUGGUUGACAAGUGGAGGGCAACGAUUGAUAAGAGUAGGAUUAUCAUUUUAAAAAAAAUAUUAUUUGAGAAUUUUUCAAGUUGGGAUGCUCUGAAAAAAAAAAAUCAUAAACUUACAUAUUUUUUCGAGAAUUCACCCUUGUACCAAUCAUAAUUUGUCAUCACAAAAUCUAAAAAAAAAUUUGACAAUAUUAGUGGCAAAACUGUGACUAAUCUAUAAUCUUAAAAGAUUUAGUUAUGAUCUUUUAGUGAUAAAAUAUAUAUUAUUAUUAAGUCUUUUGAGCAAUAAAAAAUUGUGAGGAGUUUUCAUGUAGUGAAUAUAGGUCUUAAGAAGAUAAAAUGUUCACUUACCAACAGUAAUUCCGAAGGUUCGUGACAUUCUUUGUCACUUUCUAUUUUUUUAUUAAAUGUUUACUUUUUUUAUAUUAUGUUUUAUCAAUUUAGUUCGGAUACAUUUUUCUUGGCACUGAAUCAAGUACAUCCGCAAUCCCCUAAUACCAUAAUUCAUAAUAACAAUAAAGGAAAGAUAAAGAGAAUAACAACGAGAGAUGAGACCGUCCUACACUUGCGUUGGCACCGAUAUAAUUACCAAGUGAUGAAAAUACCAUCAAUACAAAUGCCGAGCAACGUUGCUUUGCAUCUGCAUCGACGUCGAUGCAAUUAUCGAGUAGUCCUCACAUCUUUCAUCAUUUUCCUAAUCCAUAAUAGCCGGUCAAGAUCUCCAACGGCAUCGUCAUCUGUCAUCAUUAAUUGAAAUAUUAAAAUUAUUUUUUAUCUUUAUUUUUAUAUUUUUUAUAAAAUUAAUAUCAUUAUGAUAAAUUGAUAUAAAUAUUUCACUUUUACAAUUAAUUACAGAAAAAAAAAUUUAUAAUUAGUCGCAGUAAUUUAGCAGGGAUGUCUCCGUAGAUGACGACUCAGCAUCAAAACCGAGAAGUCACCAGCACCUGAGUCCCACACUCGCAAUGCUGGUUGUAACUCUUUAUUUAUAAGGCUGGUGUCUGCUACUAUUGUAGGUUUGUAACAAAAUUGGGCGGGUUACAAGAGGGGUGACACGAGGAUCAUGCAACGGGUGAUGGGGGUGGCGGGUUGGCUUUUGUGCACGACAUUAAACGCACGCCACCCAUCUGCUCCCACUAGCUUCCUCACCUAGUAAAGGUGAGGGGCGGGGCCCACUCUCCGCUCGUUCUAAGCCUAUCUUUCUUGGUCCUUAUCAUGGAUUAGGUUCUUAGGAAAGAGCAAAUCCGGUACGUGUAAUGUUUUCCUAACAAGAAGGUCACUGUACUUGAUUGAGUGUCAAGAAAAAUAUAUCUAGACUAAUCUAAAAAUAUGGCAAAACAUAAUGUAAAAGAAAAUUACUAUAUAAUGUAAAUGAUAGAAAGCGAUAAAGAGUGUCAUGAACCUUAAGAAUUAUUUUUAUUUUUUAUUAAUAUUUAUUUAUGAAUCUAUUCACCCACUAACCUAUUUGGAUCAUUUCAAAAAAUAAAAUAGGAUGAACACAUUACGACGGACUUAACUAGUUUUGCCUAAAUCGUAUGGUACUCUUGUGUGUCCGUCUGUAAAGAUCAGCCCCCCCAAAACCUCUCAUGGUCCCUUAGGACUUACAAAUAGAGAAAACGAGUUAAAUAAAGUGUCUCACUCAAGAUCCACAAGCAAACAUUUCGGAAAACACUUCAUAGCCAAUGCAAAUUACAAACAGAUUUUACAAGCUCUGAACGGUUGCACAACAAAGGAUCCAAAAUGGUCCACUAUAGACCGAAUAUUUCUCACAAGUGUCUACAUGACAUAACCUUUAUUUACAAGCCUAAAACAACCACCAAACCCAACUAAAAAGAGGUUAUUAAGCCUUCGAUCAUCCCUCUACAUGUUAUGCAAUGCAUAAACAAACCAAAAGACAUGGAUAUACAUAAGCAUUAUAUUAAAUAUACUGUUUACAUUUUUGUCCGAUUUCCAUAUCGACUCCAAGUAUGCCUUCAUUUGCAUUGUAUUGGAUUACCCCCCCCCCCCCACUUGAUCUCAUAAUGCAUCCCCCAAUGCAUUAUCUCAAGCGAGAUCAUGCGACAACUCAUCGUUGCUCGCUCAGUCCGUUGAGCUUUUGUGAUGUUAUUUUUAAAGUACUCCUCCUCAACAUGUGCGAUCCGUUACACAUGAUUCUCCUUUUGGAGAGCCGAGACUUAUCCGUCCUGGAUAUCUAUCCCAUCGGAGCAACUUCUCUCUUCACUUUCUUAAAGUUUCGGAGACCAUCAUCCCUUUGGACUACUUUGCCUUGCUGAAUAAACUGUGCAUUGUUCUGCCUCCUGCAAACACACUUGCUAGAUUGCGACUCUAUGUCAAUACAGUCAUCGUUGCAUCCCUUAAGGCCUAGCAAUAUGCUGAACUCGCUGCACACUUCAGCCUCCUAUGAACAUAUCCUUCUCAUGUUGAAGAAAAAGUUUCAAUGCUCCAUGGCACCGAGUUUCGGUCGCCUUGGGAUGGCCACGAACACUCCAUCGUUCGCAUACAAGCCUUUGCAUGAGUACCGAAUUCUUCGAGUUAGCAAUUCCCCUCACCUCUAUAAGCUUUGCACAACUCUUUCGGUCGUUGAACAACCCAUUCCACUUUACAUGGUCUCAUUCUUUACCAAGCAUCUUGCUUACCUUGAGCACCAUCAAGUAUGGUUACCAACGUUGAGCCGUAGCUCAAACUCAGCCAUUCCAACUUUUGUGUGCUAUGCAUUCUUCCUAGCUUACUUGUCCUUGUGGCACCUCUUGCAUAAAGGGUUGGCCAUUCCUCUGAAUGCUAGUCUCAGAUGCCCGCUCCUCUGAGCGACUCCUUUUCCCUACAUCUCUAUGCUCGUUUUCCCCUAAAUGGUCACAUGUGCUGGUUGCCCUCAAUACAGCCAUGCUAGGUCCCCCACAUUUGCAUGCCAAGUGUUUCUAUGAGUGCUUGUCCCUCUCUAAUAUCAUUUGUCACGAACUUAGCUAGUUUUGCCUAAGUCAUGCGGCAACCUUGCGUGUACGUCCGCAAAGGUUAGCCUCCCCACCUCUCAUGGUCCCUUAGGACCUACAAAAGAGAAAAUGGGUUAGAGAAAGCACCUCACUCAGGAUCCACAAGUAAACAUUUCGGAAAACACUUCAUAGCCAAUGCAAAUUACAAACAAAAGAGGAUUUCUAUAGACAAUUUUAAAAAUUGAGACACUAAAAAUUUUUGAAAACUAGAAGGUUUUUUUAACGAAUUAACCCUUUUACCAAUAGAUGCCGUUCAUUUUGUGAAGCACCUAUAGUUCCUAAGGUUUGCUUUGUAGGAAGACAUUCAUUUCAUUCAAACUGAGCGUAACUCGAAACAACUCAUGGAGAUCAACAGUAGGUACUGUACAUCUCCUUGGAGAAUUUAGACUGUAAUGUGUAUAUACAAUGGUUGUUGGAUUCUUCUGAUAGUUUUUGUGUUACUCAUGUCUUCAGGGAUGGCAACAUGGUUGCCCAUUGAGUGACAAAACUUAUCAUCAAGAUUUAUUUAUAUUUAUCUAUAUAGAUAAAUAUAAUCUAUAUUUAGUUACUCUAUUUAACUAAGAUGUUUUAUCAUCAAGAUUUAUCUAUGUUUCAGUUUUAUAAACUCAGAAAGACUUGAUAUACAGUAGAAGCUAAUGAUGGGAGAUCAAUUUAUUUUAGUUCUUAUUUAAAUAAAUUUGGCUAGUUUAAGGAUCUUUCAUGAAUGUCAUAAAUUUUCAUAUGGUCACAUCCAGAAUAUUUUUAUUUUUAUUUCUGUCAUUGAUUAUAAGAAGAAAAAAAAAAAGCAAAUGAUUAAAAAUAAGAAAAAUAAUAAUCUAGCUAUAAGAAAUGACUAUCAAGUAUCAAAAGGAAGAUCAUUUGACAAGUCAAAUUUGAAUUGUAUAUUCUCAAAGAAAGAAAGAAAUUAGUUUAUUUGAUUAAUAUUGAUAUGAUUGUAAUUCCUCUAUUAUUAUUAUUUUUUAUGACUUGUAAAAAGUGACCUAUUAAUUAUAAUGGCAGACUAAUGAAUCGAGUUAUUUUCUCACAUUAUAUAUUAGUAGUAAGAUAUCAUAUUUAUAUACUUUUUUUCAUUUGUAUAGUACGAUAUCAUAGUAAGAAGACCAGCCUACAUGCCGAAUGGAAGUGAAACAUUUGAAUGAAACCAAAGUCCAAUUUUCUUAUUAUGUCAAUACUAAAACGAUCCCUUAUCAUAUUAUUCAUGGCAUCGAUUGCAAAUUGAUGUUGAUGUAUCAAACUUAUGUUAUAUUUAAUAUUGAUAUCAUCAAUUUUUUUUUUUUUAAAUCAACUAGUUCAAUCGAUUAUAACUUGUGGUUGGUUACAUGAUUUAGUGAUCAAACCUUGUCUUCACCAUUUAACACUAAUCUACGAAAGAUGGGGGAUAGGAUUUCGUGCGAGACAUUAAGCACAUGUCAUUCAUCUGCUCCCACAAACUUCCUUUGCUAAUAAACGCGAGGGGCGGGGCUUACUCUUCGUCGGUUCUAAGCCUAUCUUUCCUGUAUUCCUCUCAUGGAUUAUGAUCUUUAGGGAGAAUAGAUCCGAUACGUGCAACAUUUUCCUCACGAGUACGCAUCCACUUGAUUGAGUGAUAAGGAAAAUGUAUCCAGGCUAAAUUACAUAUAUAGUAAAGCAUAAUGCAAAAGAAAGAAAUAAACAUUUAAUGUAAAGAUAGAAAGUAAUAAAAAGUGUCAUAAACUUGAAGAAUUAUUUUUUAUUAAUAUUUAUUUAUGAAUAUAUAAACUUUAACCAUUAUGAAUACAUACUUAUAGUAUAAGAAAUUACUAUAUUGGUGGAAAUCUUAAUCAAUUUGUUCACUUAACUUGAUAUUGUUCUCUGGGAUAAAUUACAUUGUUGAUGAGAUUUUUGCUAGUGUUACCUAUUUGGAGAUGAGUGGCUAUUGAUUGGCAAAGUAGGCUUGGCUUGCACACUUGAUUUAUGCGGCACAGAGCUCCUAAAUUAAGUGAUCUCUCAUUACAUGGAUGAUAAUACAUUACAAAUGCCUAUAUAACAUCAUGUUGGCAAAUGCUAAAGACUACGAAUGAUCUGAACAAAGGUUCAAUCUAAAUAAACAAGAUGUAUGAAUCCAAGUAAGACAUCUCUAUCUAGACGUGAUCGGAGGGGCACAUGAGGUUCACGUUCCGGCCAAGUGGUUUAUGAACGUAAGACAUCUAUACAGAGAUGCCUAUAUAUAUCAUCAUCAACUUCACGGCGGUGUUAUGAAUGUAGUACACAUCUCGAAUCAUUUCAGGCACCCUUAAUACUCACAUGUUUCUGUAUCUUAAAACAAAAAGGAAAAAGAAAAAGUGUUUUCCUGAGAACUGGACGCCUUCGGCAAUGGAUUUGAUUCCGUGUACUUCAUUACUGGAUUGGCGGCUGCAUCAGUUCUCAAGCCCCUGCUUGCAUAGAGGACAAGCAGACAUGAUCCUUAACCACUGAUCCACGCAGUUGAGAUGGAACACAUGCAAGCAUGGCAGCUGCCUCACCUCCUCCUUGUCACUGUACUUGGCGAGACAUAUGCAACACUCCUGCCCAAGACACAGAUCAUGGAGAUCAAACACUCUGCAUGUCGCAGUUGGAAGACGAGAAUAACUUGCACUGAUGUGGAACUCACUUGGUUCUCGGUUGCGACGCCGUCCGCUGUUGGCUUGACGUCUUUGAAUCGCCAACGGGGUAGCCUCGCGAUCUGGUCCUCCGACGCGCCUCGCUCGGUGGAGGCUAAGCUGAUGUUGUACCCUAUGAGAUUGCUGAUGAAGGGGACGCAGCAGCAGAGCAGCAGGAAGAGCAGGAAUGGGAAGGAGUAGAGGAUGGCGUUCCAGGCGAGGAUGGAGACGCAGAGCACAUGCAGCUUCGGAGCUCUGUCGAAGGACCCAUGCCGCGAGUCGAAGAUCCACACGUUUCCCAUCACGAACCACAUCGCGAAGAACAGCUCCAGGAACGUCCUCGACUUGUUCAUCAGGUGAGAAGAGCUGCUGCUGCAGCGAAGAACGCGAGAUGUUUAGUACACACAACCUGUCCGUGUGUCCUGCAAAUUCUUGGCGAGAAAUCAAUUACCUGGAGUCGUCAUUGCUCCUCUGUUGUUCGACGUCAGUGUUAAGGCCGGCGGUGGAGUGGCGGUAUCGCCAGUAGAGGAGGGGAAGGCUGAGGAGAUUGCCCAGGUUGUAGCCAGUGAGCCAAAUCCUGAGCGGCCAAACUGGGUUCUCCUUCCGAGACGUAGCCAUCGUCGCUGUGAUGAUGACAACCUGCGCUACCAGAGCAGCGAGCUCCAGGGCCAACCAUGGCCUGGCAUUGAAGGGGUUGGAGACCAAGUCGGACCUCGACCCGUUCUGAUACCUGAACACCCUUCUCAAGAAGCUGAACCAUCGAGCUCGAGAUACCCUCAUGGCCAUCCUCAUCAACAACGCGAGAGGCAACGCCCGAGCUCCGUCGUUGUUACCUGCAGCCGGCGGCAUCUGGGAACGAGUUCCGCUGCUGAAACAGUGAUGAAGAUUCAUGGAACAGAGGUUGGAUUCAUGAUGAAAGCUGAACUCUGGAAAUCCACCAACCAAAACACACAAAAGAUAAGAGUAAGCUUGUUCACAGAGAUGCUUGGUGGGUGGUCAGGAUGCCAUGGUUUGCUUAGUAAGGUGGAAUGCGGGGGAGUAAGGUGGGGGGUUGGGCUAAGAUGGUGACCAAGAAUCUAACCAACCUUGCUUUAGCUCCAAGGGUGAUCAAAGAACUCAACUGUUGGCCUAACCAUUCUCCUUCCUCAUCCGUUGUUUGUUUAUCUGCAAAGCAAACAGAGAUCUGCUUGGCUAUCAAUGACCAACUCCGAAUUGACAGCAGAAACCUUUAUUUUCAUUUUGGUGAUUACAGAAGGAUGAGCUGAGAGGGAUGUUUUGGUGUGGCUACUAAUACUGGCAAGUAAAGGAUCAAUAGGUCCAGAGCUCAUCAUAUUGAAGUACAUGUUUGUGGUGUGGUUGGCUACCAAAUUCCUAAUAAACAACACAGUCGAAACUGGUCUUGUUGGUGAGGCAGCAGCAGCCACAACCCCCUGGGAGUUCAUGCCAGUUCGAUCAACCCAUUCUGUGAUCGUACUGAAGCUGCUUAGAUUUAUAGUUAGCUUUUCUUUCGUAGAUUAAUGAUAAAUGAUGAAGACUAGAUUUGAGCACUGAAUUAUAUAAUCAAUAAUAAAUUGUUAUCGGAUAAAUUAGUUGACUUCUUACAAAAAUGAAAAAUUAGGAUGACGAUAUAAAUAUUAAUUCUUUUCUCUUCAUGAUAUAACUCAUUAUUCCUAUUAACCUAUCAUUUUUCUUCGAUUAUGUGCUGAUACAUCAAAAGGAGAAAGAGCAAAAAAAAAAAGAUAAUAAUCGAAAGAUAAAAGGGAAGAAAAAUAAGAUAAUUACUAGAAUCAUUCUGACUUACGAUAAAUAGAGGAUAAAGAUCUCAUACCUCAACAUGUCGAAAUGGAACCAUACAAUUGAAAAAAAUAUAUAUGAUUUUAUAAUGCUCAUAUAUAAUGUUAGAAAAUGACUCGAUUCGUUAGUCCACCAUUACAAUUUUCUGACCAUUUUUUACAAGUCAUAAAAAUAUAAUAAGAAAGAAUUACAAUUAUAGCAAUAUUAAUCAAAUAAAUUAUUUCUUUCUUUCUUUGAGAAUAUAAAAUUUCAAAAAUUUUCAAGUUAAGUUCCACUUGAAUGAAAUGAAUGUCUGCCUACAACGCAGACCUUAGGAACUAUCAUUGUUUCACAAAAUAAAUGGUAAAUUCUUAAAAAAAUAUCUUAAUUUUCAGAAAUUAUUGUAAAGUGUCUUAAUUUCUAAAAAUUUAUAUAGUCUGCUUCUUCUUAACAGAAAAGAUUAUUUUACCCCUGCAUAUAUCAAUCGUUGCCUACGCUCUACAUCGUUACCCUACAUUUCCUCCCCUUUGAGAAGGACGAUGAGUGUUGUGCCUUCACCCCAUCGGUUGUCCAUUUCACCUCAAAUUAUCACCCUUGGUCAUCUUCACUUGUGUACCCACUUACCCUCCUUCCUCGCUCACAAAUCAAUGACGAGGGUGCAUAAGUCAUACUCUCUUAUUUCUCCUCACCCACUACACGAUUGAUGGAGAGAAGAAACUAUGUGCAACGAUGAAAGGAUGUGAGUUAUGCCUCUUCCUUUCUUACCCACAACCAAUGGCAAGAUGGCAAGGGGGGUUUACGAGCAAGAGCGACCUGUACCCCCAACACUCACCCCUAUUCCCGGGGGUCGUGGGCAAUUAGAGCUGGGUUGACUAGCUCAUCAACUAAUGAUUGAGGUGAUGAGCAACAAGGCGACCAAGGAUAAAAUUAUUAUUUAUAAAAAAAAUCACUAUGAGAAUUUUUAAAAAUAAAAUAUAUUUAUGAAAUUUUUUAAAAAUUAAAAGAUUUUCUUAAAAAUUUGCCCUUGGUGAAAAACUCACACCCUACAAACAACCAGACUCGAUAAUAAUUUUGAGCAACAAAACAUAUGCCUUUAUUGCCUUGCUAAUUAUGAGAAAUGUCAUUAUUGAUUUUACAACAACCUAUUAUGGAUUUCUUCCUUCUUAACUAAUAACUCGAGUAAUCAUAAUAUUUGCAUAGCAAUCAUAAUUUUAAGAAAAAUAAUAUCCACAUAUAGUUAGAAUUAUUAAAUAGAGAAUCAUUUCUGGUCUUCCAAAACCACUACUGUAUAAAUGCAAUCAAAACUUGCAUCAUAUUAGCAACAACACCUGAUCACUUCUUAACCAAGCACAAUUGCUCCUCAAAAAGAUCUCAUAGCUUCAAAGAAAAGGAACAAUGAUAAAACAAGUAAUCGGUGAAUUCUGGGUGAUUUUUAUACAGCAAAUAUAUGAGACCCUACAAAGAAAUACCCAAUCUUGGACAACACAAAAUUUUAAUCUUGUACAACAUAAAGAGCCUCCACAAUACUCUCCACCAAUCUUGAAUAUCAAUAGAAAAAGAAAGAGAAGACUGUAAAAAAAUUUAGAGAAAUAUAUUUGUAUUUUUAAUAUGCAUUUAGAUAAUAUGACUUGAGUGAAUGUGUAGUUGUGGUAAAUAAUAGAUAAAAACUAUAUUUUAAAUAUACAUUGAAGUGCAUGUUGUUUAGCAAAAUUGUAUUUCAAAAGUCUAUUGGAUAUUAAGUGAUAAAUUCAUCCUUCUAAUAUUUUAAACAUUUAUUCAAAGGUGAAUAUAUAUAUAUAUUUUAUUUUUAAUUAGCAAAUAAAUAAAUAAAUGUAAUCCUACAAAAAUAAUUAUAUGACCUAUCUAUAUAAUAAAUAAAAAAUAUAAUCAUAUAAAUAAAUAUAAAAUAAUCUUUAAAAAUAAAUAAACAAAAUUUUACAUUAUAGAAUACAUAUAUCUUGUUAGCUUCUCACUAAAUUAUGUUAGUAAUUUUAUGAUUUUAGAUAAUAUCAUGAGGUACUUUAAAAUUUUGAAAAAUUAUAUUAGUAUUUGAAGAUUUAUUUGUAAUGUAACGUCCAAACCAAAUAUGAUUUUAGAAAAAAAUUAUUAAAUAUUAAAUCACAUUUAAAAUAUAUAUUGGACCUCAAUAUAUAUUGUAAAUGUAUUCUCAAACGCACCCAAUAUCUGAUCUCAAACUAAGCAUCAAUACAAAAAGAACGUAGAAAAUUAUUUCAAGCAAGCACAGGUUAGAACAUUUUAUACCUUUAUGUUAUUCCCAAUAACCAAUCUCACAUAGAUAACUUUCCCUCCCAAUAAACCUUACAAAAAGAUAACUUUAGAGAAAUCAAGACAUCAAAAAAUCAACUAUCAAGAAGAAUAUGACAAAAAGAAUUGUCACUGAUCAAUCGAAAUACAUCAAGAGUCUUUACAUAGCAUCCAACUUCAACUAGAGAUACGCGGACAUUCCAAGUACAAAGAUCAUGAUAUUUCCCACAAUGAAUCUAGCUUGACGUACAAAGUUAGUAACAUGUCUAUUUGUAAUCAUGAAUAUUUCUAAUACAUAACCCCAUUCUCCCAAGAAGAAGUAACCAUCCUGUCAUAGGAGAAGAUGCAUGCCUCUUGCGCACCCAUAUGAAUCUAGCUUGAAGUACAAAGUUAGUAACAUGAAUAUUUCUAAUACAUAAUCCCACCUGCCAUAGGAGAAGAUGCAUACCUCAUGCUCACCCUCGUUAGACCAAAACAAUUUCUAUUCAUAACAUUAAUCUUAUCAUACAAAGUUAUCUCAGAACAUCUGAAAACACUUGAAGCAAUAAAAGGGAAAAGAAUCGAGUAUCAAUUCAUCCUGGUUUAUCUUUUGAAAUGAUCCAGAAAACUUAUUGAGUGUAUCAAUUCAUGACACUCUUACAUUACGAGUUUCCCUCCUUGUUUUACAGUAUGCUUCACCAUAUAUGUAGUUUAAUCUGAAUAUAUUUUCCUUGGCACUCAAAUCAAUGACAUCCAGCUACUGGUCAGCACGACAGGGUCCCAGGAAAGAUAGGUUUGGAACGGACGGUCGUGUGGGCCCCGCUCCUGUGCUUUGCUAGCGGAGAAAGUUGGUUGGAGCAGAUUGGUAGCGCGUCCUUGAUAUCCCUCACCAAAUCCUACUACUCUCCACCCCCUCACCCACCGCGUGAUCCUCGUGUCCCCCUUUCGUAAACCGUUCCGCGACACACGGCACGAGUCUCGCGGCGGUCACAAGAUCCCCAUACGUGCGGGACUCCUCGUUGGUGACGUUGAGUCGUCGUAUACGACCCCACGUGGAGCGACUCCUCGGUAAAUUAGUGCCGUCAAGAAAGAGAAGACAGCAACGUAACGGAUCUCGAAGCGUGCGAGGCUCACGUGCUCAUGACUCUUCCCCGUUCUUGGCGUGCCAAGCUGUCUUUGCCGAAGUCGUGACCCCACCGGCUGUAGGGAGCUCGAUGCGUGCGAGGCUCACGUGCUCGUGAUGCUCCCUCGUUUUUGACGUGAGCGGAAGUCUUGGCAUAAGUCGCGAUCCAACUGGCUGCACGGAGCCGAGGUCAUUAAAAUUAAUGUAAAUGUCGGGAAAAUACAUGGGCACGGAGAUCUCGAAACGUGUCGGGUUCACGUGAUCUCACCGCUGCCCGCUCUGGCGUUACUUGCGUCCGCCGAGCCCCUCGUUCUCCACGCCCUCCGGGAGAAGUGGAGUCUUGACCACCACAACUGUUUAUCUAAUGACAUCAAAUUUCACCUUAUUUGCGCCCGUGCCAUUCCCCGCGGCACCCGCAAAAGAAUUGGUUGGUGAAAUUGUAAUAAAUGCUGAAUGCGAGGGUAUUUGAGGACGCUCUCUUACAACCAACAGGACCUCAUUCCCCAUAUUCCUUUAUUUAUCGGUCACUCUCUCUUUUCUCCGCUUCGGUGAGGCGUUUUAGUGGUGGUGGUGGUGAUUAAUGGCGGCGGCAGGGACCAAUGGCGCGGUGGUGGUCGUCGUCGGAGAAGGGGAUCUGAAGGCGACCUUCCGCCAGAUCUACGAUCGCCUCAAGUCGGAGCUGCUCCAAGAUGACGCCUUCGAUUGCACCGACGAGGCCCGCCAAUGGAUCGACAGGGUACUUCCACAUCCUGCCCCUUCCUCAAUAUAUAGAUGAGUUUUGUGUGAUUUUGUAUCUUAUUUGAAGAAACCUUAGUUUUGGGGAUCUGGAAUGGUUUUGGAGCUCCUAAAUCAUAAAUACUUUUUUUUUUUCCUUCUAAUAAUCAGAACAAGUUGUAUGCUUUAUGGGAUAUCUGAAUGAUAAGUGUUCAUUGUGUUAUUUUUAACAGAUGCUGGACUACAAUGUACCUGGAGGUGAGCCAAUGCUUUCCACAUGGGGCGGACGACGUGAAAAUACGUGCUUAAACAGCACCAUGUUUGACAAUUAACUUUUGUCUGUAGGCAAGCUAAACCGUGGAUUGUCUGUCAUCGAUAGCUACAAGUUGCUUAAGGAAGGGAAUCAACUCAAUGAUGAAGAGGUCUUUCUAGGAUGUGCCCUCGGUUGGUGCAUUGAAUGGGUAAUCGUCUUUUGCUCUGUGUGUUGUGCAUACCUUAUGUGAUGAAGAAAUGGGCUUAGUGUCUGAAUUCUAACAAUUCUUGAUUGAAAUUUGCAGCUUCAAGCAUAUUUUCUAGUCCUUGAUGAUAUCAUGGAUAACUCGCACACUAGGCGAGGUCAACUUUGUUGGUUUAGAGUUCCAAAGGUUAGUUAUUUUGGUUUAACAUCGUUUUUUCUUUCUGGUUAUGUAAUUUUCAUUUCAUUUAUAUGGUAUAUGAUGUUUCAUAAUUGAAUCUGCUUAGUUGGUAACGGUGUCAAUGGAUUGAAUCUGCUUAGAUCAGGUUGAAAUGCGGUUGUAAGAAGAGCCACUAACUUGCCAUAGAUUUUUGUAAUAGGUUGGACUUAUUGCCGUAAAUGAUGGAAUUCUACUCCGCAAUCACAUUCCUCGGAUUCUUAAACGGCAUUUUAAGGGAAAGCCUUACUAUGUAGAUCUCCUUGAUUUGUUCAAUGAGGUAACUAUCAUCAUACGUGUUACUGUUUGCUUUAGCUCACUAGCUACAUCUACUAGAACUAAUAUGUGUUUCUCCUAAUAGGUUGAAUUUCAGACAGCUUCAGGGCAGAUGCUUGAUCUCAUUACUACUCAUGAAGGAGAAAAGGAUCUGUCUAAAUAUACACUGCCAGUGUAUGUAGGAAAAAAUUAUAAUUUAUUGCUCGUCUAAUAUCCUGCUACGCUUCUAUCUUUUGGUAAUCUAAGGAUUAUCCAAGAAAUGUAAAUUGAUUAUUCCUUGGUCUAUAAAUAUUUCUUUCCUCAGAAAGAGCAACUAUGAUAAUUUAUUUAGAUCUCAUCUCUUACAUCGAAUUUUUUAACAUGAUUUCAAUGUUUUGCUAAUGUUGAUAUUGUUUGAACUGGAUGCAGUUACAAUCGUAUCGUGCAAUACAAAACUGCCUAUUAUUCCUUUUAUCUUCCGGUAAGUUAAAUGAAGUGCAAACUUUCAGAUAAUAUCAGAUUGCUGCUUGCAUUGCUUUUGUGAUGUACUGUUACUUGCACCAGUAUUCUGAUCAGAUUUUCUGUAUUUUGGUAUUUCUGUAUAAGUUCAAUUUUUUUGCUGUUAACAAUUCUUCACUAUAUUUGUAAUAUAAUAUAUGAAUUAGUUAGGUAUUUUGACAUAUAUUGCCUUUUAAAGUUCUAUUUUUGUGGAGUUCACAUUUCAAUGCCAUCUUUCUGAGGGUUAGCGAUAUACUUUUGUUUGUACAAGAUUAUUGUGUAUGCACUAGCGAACCACACAGACAUAUCAAUUUAUUUUAAAUGGUAUUCUUGUUAGUAGCAUUUUAGUUGUUGGACAAUCAUAACAAUCACAAGGAGGCUCCAUGUCAUCUUUUGGCUGCACUGGAUGUAGUGGCAAAAUAAACUCCAACCACUAUGUUGAGCUUGCUUCUUUAUAACCUUCAUGUGGCAAUGCUAUAUGCUUCAAGUUUCAUGUUGCAGGAGCUUGGCAUAUCUUCUAAAUCUAUUAAAUUAUAGCACUGUAUCAACUGGAGGGGGAAUAUUUCUCAAUAUGCUACAAGAACAUAAUAUACUUAAAAGCUUCCAAUGCAGUAGCCUGUGUUCUAAAGUUGUCCUGCUGCACUUUGGCUUUCUUCGGGUCAGUGAGCUUAGAAUGAACUUGUCGGGCCUAAAUAAUCUUUUCAGCUAUCUUGUAAUGUCACAUUGUCUAUUUCUCCAUGUUUCGUAAGAUAUACAUAUUUAUAUAUUUUUAGCUCCUAGUCAUCUAGUUAUGAGGCUAAUCUAAUGGCUGAAGCAUCAUGACCACAGAGUACAUGGACAUCUUUGAUGAUUAUAAAGUUUCAUGUAUCUCAAAUUACUUGGAACAAGUUUGUCAUUUUGCUGAGCAUGAAGAGCUAACAUCAUCAAUCUAAUGCGAUGAAGAUGGUGGGACAUUGAUCUAUGAAGUUAAGCAGAAACAAUUAGAAACAUUGUUCUUUAUAACUGCCGAGUGGUCAUGUUUGAAGAUGAAAAUAGAUGGACUCAUCAUAAACAGACAAAUUGUUUUUGUCAUUCAUUGUCAGAUUAGUCUGCACCAUAGUUUGGAUAUUAGGGAUUUUGAUACAAAUAUUGACACCAAAGUUUUAGGAACUAGUUCUGGAAACAAAUCUUAGAAGCCUAAUUUACAUUUCCGUCCUUGUGACAAGCAAGCUUUCAGAAAGCUGUAGAUGUGGUACUUGUAUCACUCCAUGGGAAUUUUUGCUUGUGAAUUCUUUAUGUCUUGUAUACUAUUUAUAUAUACAGGUAUUGAAUUGUUUGUUAUUUGGUAAUUUAAGUUUAUCUUGUCCAUAUUCAGGUAGCAUGUGCACUGCUAAUGGCAGGUGAAAAUUUGGACACCUUUGUUGAUGUGAAAAACAUUCUUGUUGAAAUGGGUACAUACUUCCAAGUGCAGGUGAUUUUGGAUAUUGUACCAGUUUGCUUUGACCUGCUAAGAGAAUUUCCUAUCCAUAAUCUUUAAUAUGACUUUUCUUUUAGGAUGAUUUCCUAGAUUGUUUUGGUGAUCCUGAAGUGAUUGGUAAGGUUAGUACAAUUUUUGCAUGCAUGGAAUUGUCCAUCUAUCUUUUUGUGAAUGCUUAUUUAUGAUGUCUCUAUCUGUUUACAAAUGUUAUUCUAUCUAGAACUUUAAUGGCCUUGAUUUCUGUUAAAUUUUGACAGAUUGGAACUGACAUUGAAGAUUUUAAAUGUUCUUGGCUUGUAGUGCAAGCCCUACAACGCGCUAAUGAGAAUCAGAUGAAAACUUUGUCGGUAAGAUGAGUUGUUUCUUUCCAUUUCUAUCUUUGCUUUGAACCAUAGGCAGACAGCUAAGCUAUGAUUAAUUUUCAGGAGAUCUAUGGAAAGUCUGAUCCAACUUGUGUUGCAAAAGUGAAGAGUAUUUAUAAAGAUCUCGAUCUCCAGGUUUGGCAAGUACACUUUCAUGUAGAACAUAGAAUAACUGUUUGAUUUGAUUUUGGCAUUUAUCAAUAUUCUCACUAGUUGGCACACUAAUAUCAGAAUACCAAUCAUCAUGUAAGAGUGAACUUUGAUACUGUCUGAUUCCAUCAAUUGUUGCUGUUUAAUGUAGUAUAUUUUUUAACUAACUAUUUUUUGUUAGUUUAGUGAAACAUAUCUCAUGCUAUGGCCAUAGUGACUGUCAAUAAUGAAUCUUUCUACGAUUUGAUGAGUAUCAGCUGAUUCUUGCCAAAUUCCUAGUGCAGUGUUGCAAAUAUUUUGGUCAUCGAAGUUGUAGCUAUAUAGGGAGUAAGCAUCUUAGAAACCAUGCCGAUUUUCAUGAUAUGGUGUGUGGUGACUUCAUCUUGAUGGAACCAUCAAGACCCAAAUAGAAGUUGUCUUUUUGUUUGGAAGAUCGUUUAUCUCCUUGCAAUGUUUUAAGAGAAUAGGAAGAAUAUAUAAUUUGGGGUCAACCAAAGUCCAAGUCUCCCUUAAUAUCAAGGUGGUGAUUGUGAUAAAAUUGCCAAGUUCAAACAUGCAGAAGCUGACAGCCAAGCAGCAAUGCUGCUAAAGUGAGGUUAACUUGUGUCCAUCAUGAUAGUGUGAGGGGAUUUGUGUCUGAGGAGCAACUUCCUUUGGAUGAUUGCAUUGGAGUAGACAGCUGUCUGCAUUUGACAGACAAGAGAAGCAGACAGCUGCAUAUAAACAAACUGAUCGAGGCACUGACUUUUUAGAAUCUCGACACGAUUGGUCCCUUCAAAGUGGCAAGUUUUAGGGUUAAUGGUAAAAAUCUCUAUCCUAGAUAUCCAUAUAACUCAGCCUUGUAGAAAUUUGCAUGUAUGAAUUGAGGGGGCAGCUUAGCCAAAUUGGUGAACAAAGACGCAGAAUCAUGAACCAAUGGUGGUUAGUCUGUGACAUCUUAUGACCUCUGAUAGAAGCACUCUCCCAAAUUCCGUACGUGUAUAAUUCUUUUGUUAUUGCACUUUCUGACUUAGAGCUUGCAUUUGAUGCCUGAGUUUCAUUAGUGAAUCUUUUUUCUGAUCUGCUCUUCAAUGUUCCAUAUAACUUUAUCUAAUUUAUUGUUGUUCAUUGUGUCUUAGAACGUAUUCGCCGAGUACGAGCGGACCAGUUAUGAACAUCUGAUAUCUUCAAUUGAGGCCCAGCCAAGCAAAGCGGUUCAGGGUGUACUGAAGUCUUUCCUGCAGAAGAUCUACAAGAGGGAGAAAUAGUCUCACAAGGAUAUACUUUGAUCAAUGAUGGUGCUUUAGAGUAGUUUGUCCUGUAAUUUCCCCUUGAUUUGCCUUGCAUUAUGUUAUUCUUUUUGCAAAUCAUGCUUCUGUGUCUUGUGAGUUGAACUAAACCAGAUCUGCUUCACUAGCUUUAUGUUCCUCAGUAGAGUUUGCUCUUUGGACACCCUUUGUUUUCGUUUUACCUCAAAUUUUCACAGUUUGAUUUGGUCUUUCAUUGAAAGGAGAGUAAUCCUUGUAGAUCUCUACAAGCUUACCAUCUAUCCAUCAACCACUUAGGGCAGAGCCCAGUCAUGUUGUUGGUGUUGGUUUAGCAUUAUUUGAGACCAUCACUUCAGAUAGAUUCAUCUCAACCCUCAAAUUGAUUUGAAGGUUUCAGUCCCAAAUCAUUUACUGGAAACUUCCUUUGUCACCAUUAAUGGCCUUGAUGAAGUUCUUACAACUAGGGGUCUCGGUCUUCGUUAUGUAGUUGCUCGAAGAAGAUGAACAACAACAGUUCUCAUUAGAAUUUACAGGAAUGCUUCUAGAAAUUUAAUGACACUCGCACUGAAAACAUUAAUCUGGUAAUGUAGUAUUAGAUUCUGAUAAGUCUAGAAAUUUGAAAUCUUAUUAUAUAAUUUUUAUAUCUAAAAUUAAUAUCGGUCAACUCACUUACGAAAGGUUUAGGAUUUAAUUACUACCUAAGAUUAAAAGUUCAUUAUCUUAUUUGAUAUAUUUUAAUAAAAAAUUAACGACACUCAUAUUAUAAUGAUAAAUAAUUCAAGCACUAAUUUGUUGUCAUUUUCUUGAACAAUAAAGAUUGUGAUGUUCCUUCUUGUUCGUUCAAGAAAAAUACAUUUAAUAAUAAAAUAUUAUUUUAUAUAUAAUAUUUAUAGGAAAUAUAGGAAUGAUAAAUAUUUGAUUAAAAUUGAGGGUUCAAUAAUUUUUUUAUUCGAUUUAGAAUUAAUUAGAAUGAAAAGAAGCUUUUUUUUUAUCUCGGUUAUUUUCCGAACAAAUUAUCGAUUAUACCCAAACAGAUCUCGAGUAUUAAUUCCAUCCGUUCAAGUCAAAAAGCGGAGGGAGUGAUUCGAGUCGAAAGAAAGAGGAGCGAGAGAAGGUGAUGGAGGAGGAGAUGGGAGGACUGGGGAGGCCGCCGGUGAUGAUUGGAGGUGAGGUGGAGCGGGUGGAUGGGAGGGCGCUGCGCUACGAGGAGUUCGUGGAGCGCUACCUGAUGCCCAAUCGCCCCGUCCUCCUCACCGGCCUCAUGGACGAGUGGAGGGCGGCCACCGACUGGCUCGCCCCCGAUGGCCGUGUUCCCAACCUCCCCUUCUUCGCCACCCACUUCGGGGACUCCGUCGUUCAGGUCAAACCCUCUUCUCUUGUUCAUGCUUGUCUUCUGCUAUAGUCUCUCUCAUGUAGAUUUCUAGUAAGUGCAAGCCAUAUGACGAAAAGAGGGUUGGGAAUCAAGGUUUUGUUAGUCUUCAUCCGUUCUCAUGAGCGGAUUCUUUUAAGGAAUCUUGGUUUAAAGAUAAAAAAGAGCUGGAAGUCGAAUUAAGUGUUCAUCAUUAGGUUAGGCAAAGAUUGUCAUUCAAGCGCCUCCCUGAACACUCCUUGCUCUAAAGAAGGUAAAUUUGAAUUCAGCUUUGUUUUUCUCUUGAAAAGAAAGGUUUUGACAUAAAUCUUAGACCUUCUGCCUAAAAUUGGUCUCUGAAAUGUUGGGUUUAUCAAAUGCCAAUUUAUUCUCAUCUCUCCAUUAGUAACAUGCUUAUCCUGCUACACAUUGCUGGCUUCUUCCUGACAUUUGCACCAUCUGUCCCCCAUCAUGGGGUGACUUUGCUAAUGUUGGCUCCAUCUAUUUCGGUAAAUGUUGAUUAUCAAAUUCACAACAGUGUUAUUCGAACAUGUAAACGCCAUUUUAAAUUUGCUGUAACAAAGGGCUUCUUUAACAGUGUCUGUUACCAACAAUAGAUUUUAUUGACCUUCUUCAGAACUAGAUUUUAUUACUAAGACAAGUGCUCUUUUUUAACCUGAUGCUUUGUUAUGGAGUCUAUGGAUGCAUUUGCAUUCUAAUUAUUUUCUAAUUAAGCCUUUUAAAUAUAACGUUGACAUGCUUAUCCACACUAGUUGAUAGAUGGUGUAGUACACUGAACAUUGUCUUUUGCCAUAGUCACAUAAUGCUGUAAUGACUACUGUUUUGUGACAAACCUCCUCCAGUCUCCAGUCUUUCUUUACCAUUUUUCUUGGUUUUUUUUUCUUGAACUAUUAAAAAAUGGUGGCAUAAUGCAUGAGCCUCUCAUCAAGCCCGGUCUAGGGAAGAUCAGCAUAUGCAGUCUUAUUUUUUCAAAACAGGAUGCUUUUAAGUGACUUGAACUCUGGUCAUCUAGGUCGCAAAGCGGCAAUCUCAUCACGACAUGAAGACUAACACUUGAGACAGGCUGUGUCUCAUUAAACAUUAUUUUGUAUAUUUCUCUUAUGUUGUUCUUUUUUGUUAUCUUUGCUUUUUCUGGAUAAAUCUAUGGCAGCUUUUUUUUGCCAUGUAAAGAUGUCUAGAGCCAUUUUAAAUUUAUGAGAUGUUGAUUGGACCAUUUUUGGGAAAAAAGGGUACUUAUGUAACUUUGACUUGAUGUUGGUUGGACCAUUUUUGCACUGAGAAUUAGAUCAAAUCGAUGGUUCAGUGGUUGACUCCAUUCAUUUGGUUUCAUACUCGCUGCACCUUUUGGACUUUGAUAAUGUAUGAUAUUAAGAGGUUGGUUCUGAUAUGCUGUUUCUUAAAUAUACAGCAUCAACUUGGUUAAUCCGCAUGCUUAUAGUGCUAAAACAUCAAUGUUACAAUUAUUUCUCCAUCUGGUGCUAUAAAUUUCACUCGUUCUUUCAGGUUGCUGAUUGCUCUAAAAGAGAGUUUACGGAUCAAAAGAGAAGAGAGAUGACUGUUGCGGAGUUCAUUAGCUAUUGGCUCAAACUUUCUUCAAGAAAAGAUAGCAGUGUCUUAAGAUGCAAUGAUGAUGAUGAGUCUUUGCUAUAUCUUAAAGACUGGCAUUUUUUCAAGGUAAAAUUGGAAAUAGGUUAUUUGCUUGAUAUUUGUGCUCUCUGUUAAUCAUCUGUGUUCAGAUAUCUCACAUUUUAAAAUUUGAUACCCUAGUGAUAUGCAUUGCAAAUUAUAUGCCUUUUCAUUAAGUUUCUGAUCAGUAUCUUUUCACAGAUACAGAAAAUAUUUUAAUUAGUCUGUUUUAGGCCACUCUUUUCUUUUGGGUGGAGAUAAAAUAUUCUUAUGCAUUAAAGUUUAAGCAGUUUUUUUUAGUAAAAAUAGCCAUUUUAACUUUUUAAAUCAGGCAAUAUUAGAAUCACAUCACCUUUUAUAUCUCCAUGGUUGUUACCCAGCUUUCUCCUCGGGUCAUAUGGUUAGUAAGAGAGAGCAUGGGGUACCAAUUUAUGGUAAUACUCUUGAUGGGUAUUACUUGAGACAUAUCAUUCUGGUUAGGCUCUGGCAAUUCUAGAUAGAGAAGUCUCUUAUGAAGCAGUGGGCUCGUUUGAUGUUAGCUUUUCCAGUCACCCACCUGACUAGUUCUUGUCUUAAUCUUUUUAAAUGGUUUGGGGCUUCCAUUGUUUAGGAGUGGAGGCCAUUGGACUUUAAACCAUUGUGUUGCCUUGCAGUUCCUUGCCACCAUAGUCUUCCAAGAUGCCACAUGGAUAGAGAUGAGAACAUAGGUAAUUAUCAUACUUAUCAGUUUAGCUUUGGUUUUCUUGAAUGUUGUUGGAACCCUUGUGUUGUCAUAGUGGCAAAUGGGUGGGUGCUGCUAAGAUCUGGGACCUCGUAACCAUGGCUACAGUGCCUUACACUCACAUGCUUAUGGUUGAAUAUUUGUACUUGUUAUACUUGUACACAAAUUGAAGUUAUCAGUCUAAGUUUUAGACGCUUUAGUUUUCAUACCAAAUAUUUAUUUUUUCUAUUUUUCUAUUUCUUUUCAGGAAUAUCCUGAUUAUGUGGCUUACAGAACUCCUCCAUGUUUCACUGAUGAUUGGCUCAAUCUAUAUCUUGAUAGUCAUUUGAUACAUCGAGAUUCUGACAUUCAUCGUGAUAAAAAUGAAAUAAAUUGUGCUGACUACCGCUUUGUUUAUAUGGGACCAAAAGGUACAUGUGUUUCCACUGGCGCAUUGGUGUGUGCAAGGCUUGCUUUGGUUGAUUUAUAAUCAUCUGAGAAAAGCAAUUAUCUAAAUGCUGUUAAUUAUUUCAUGUGUUGUAGUAUAUACUGUUGAAGUAUAAUUUAAUUGCAAUUAGUUGCUUUAGCAGAGUUUUCAUUUUCUAUUUUUAAAUAUAUAGUCAAUUCCUCCUCUAGGUACUUGGACUCCUCUUCAUGCUGACGUUUUCAGGUCAUACAGUUGGUCUGCCAAUGUAUGUGGGAGAAAACUUUGGCUCUUUCUACCACCUUCUCAGUGUCACCUUGUGUUUGACAGGUAACUUGGAUUUUAUAGUGCAGCACUUUUAUAAUUUGUAAUCAAUCCGUGCUGUUUGGACACUUAAAUUAGCAUUGUCGGUGAUCAUUUACAAAAUGUCCUCCAUUGGCCUAAUGAAGGCACUGGUCUGAGAUAGACUAUGUCUUUCUUUAAAUUUAAAUGCAAAUUAUUUAUAGUCAAAUAUUAUAUUUUUCAGAUAAGGAGUUUGAGAAGGCUUAUGGUUGUAAGUUGUAACAACAUAUAAUAUAAGCAGAAGCAAGAAAGUAUAGCCUGACCAUUAUAUAUAAGGUGAAAAAGUGUGAUAAUUUUAACAGAAGAUCUUUUGUUUGAUAUUCAGUAAAGAAGGCUCCACAAACUAGGCUAUUAUUAUAUGUAUAUAUAGUUCUGACCAUUAGCUAUGGAAGAAACUUGUGAAAUUAAGAAUGUGCUCAAGGGCAGAUGCUACCUAGGUUGUUAUUUCAGGUGGCUUAUUAUGAUAAAUUUAUGCAGUUCAUUGUUUAGAAGUUUAACACAAAUUAUGAACUAAGGACUCACAAAUUAGCUGGAAGAUGUCCAAUAAUAAAUGUUAUUCAUGUGAGGCUUUUAAUACUAUUGUUCUGCCAUUCUGCAGAUUAAGCUAGAUGUUUAUCCUGUCAAGGAAAACUGCCUGGCUCAUGCUCUACAAUUAACAAGUGGUAUAGCUAUCAAGCAGAACUUGCUAAUAUGUGCUCCACCAAUUCAUAGCCACUGUCUUAAAGCAGAAACUUGUAAAGAUUGCACUAGUUUUAUGUCUUUCAUUCUUGUGAGUAAAUAUCUAUAUUAGAACAAUAUUAAGUUUUUAUCUUCAAAUUUGAGCCAAUGGUUGAGAACUUGUAUAUUUGAUCACAAACAUGAUGUGACCUAUCCUAUUUCUGAUGCAUUUUUCUUGUUGAUCAUGUAUGCAUAUUCCUUUUCAGACAUUUUUAGUGAUGUGAUUUUUAUACCUUAUGCAGGAAUUUUAGAUCCUCAGUAUAUAAUGUUUAUGAUGAUGUUUCUGAGGCACAGUUUCCUGGCUUUAAGAAGGUAAUAUAUCCUCAAAAUAAAUUUUCUCAUUGCUAUUUUAUGAGGUUUUGAUUGCAAAAUUUAUAUGCAGACAAUUUGGUUAAAGUGUACUCAGGAACAAAAUGAGGUCAUUUUUGUCCCUAGUGGAUGGUAUCAUCAAGUCCAUAAUUUGGUAAGAUUUUACCAUUUUAUGUAAAUUUUUUGCCAUCCGUAAUAACAAAAUUUUAUAUUUAUUACCCUUCUUUUAUUGGUCUUGUGUUAUAUACCCAAGUGGUGAACAACUAUUAUAAUUAAUCACUUUCAGUAAAACAUAGCCAUGGGUAUAGUCACACUCAAGGAUUUUAAUUUCAAAUGAUAUCGCUCGUAUCGGUUCGCUAGCAAACCGAUACGCGGACGGCUCGCUAUCGGAUAGUACCGUCGAUUGGGGUUGUUUCUGUCCCUUUAUCGCCCAAAAUCGAUCAGUAAUAGUCGAUUUCGACCGUCGCCAUCUGCUACCGAGCGGCAUAAGCCAAGGGAGAAGGAAGAAGAGGGAGAACCUGGAGGUCCGGUACCACUCUCCCUCGACGAUCUCGAUUCGUCGCUACCCUUCCUUGCCGGACGUCACAGAUGAGAUGUUGCCUCCUCGUCAUCUGAGGCGAUGAGGCCUCGAUGUAGUCGGCGACUUCUCAUCCGCGUGGGGAGAAGAAACGAUGCGACGUCGCCCUUUUUAUUAUAUAUAUAUAUAUAUAUAUAUAUAUAUAUAGACCGAUCGGUAUGCCAGAGUGUAUUGCUCGGUACGCUCAUACCGUAUCAUACCGAGAUGAAUUUGAAACAUCGGUACGGUACAAAAUUACGAACACAGGUCACACUACUGCCAAUAAUUGGCUUUUGCAGUCAUUUUGGGUCGGGCUUAAUAAUUUUUUCAUAUAAAAGGCUACUCAAAUAAUGUCUGUUUUAUUCUAUCAAUCUGUGAUUCUUUGUCACAUAAAUCUGUUAUGCUUUGGUCAUAUUAGACUUUGCAUUGUGGAAGUGAAUUGUGAUUGUAGCUGAAACUAAACUUUGAAUGAGACCUUGUACAAAAGUGGACUGUCACAACUAAUUAUUAAAUGGAAUAUUUGUGUUAUGUUGCAACCAACUUAAGGGACAAAUUUUAGUUCUUUAGAUUGCUCAUUUAGCAAAUGUCUGCUCGAAAUCAAAACUUCUUGUGUAGAACCCAUAAUAUAUUUGCUAAAACAUCCUUAACUGACAUUUUAACAAUGAUUCUGGCAGCAAAUGUAACCUGAGUUAUUGGAGGUUCUGAAGAUAAAUUGUGCUGACUUUUGAGUCCAAGAACCACCAACUGAGAAAGUUGAAGAAGUUAAUUCCUUAUAUGGACUAGUGUGGGUUCCAGAGACUGCAGGUUCUUGAGACUAGUUUAAGUCUAACCUCGGUUACAAAGGCACUUUAAAUUACAACUGUUAUUGCAUUCUAAUUCUGGAUAUUUGGAAUUGUGUCCUUAUUGGCUUAUGGAAGACAUGUCUACAGCUUAAGGUAUUAGUUCUGGCUUGACUCAGUCUAUAGGGGACUUUGGUUUCAGAAGGCUACCAACAAGCUCAAAUCUGUUCACCUGUUGUCAUUUGCAUAGCAGAAAGUUAAAUUUUGAUGUUAUAGUCUAAUGUGUCAUGAAUGAGAACAGUGACAAGUUUUUGUGUUUUUAUGUUGUAACCAUGAACACAUUCUUUAACAUGAUUUUGACAACAAUGUUUUCUGUCGCUGUAAUAGAACACUGAAGUAUUUCAAACUCUGAUAUUCCGUGUAUCAAAUUCUAUGUUGUGCAUUCUAUGACCAUCUCCUCUCUUCUGCUCUAGUACUUGAUUUUGCCUUAAUGUUGCAGGAAGACACAAUUUCCAUAAACCACAACUGGUUCAAUGCCUAUAACCUUUCAUGGGUGGUGAGUAAGGAAAGUAAUUAUGUCUGGCCAUUUAUUUUUAAAUUUUUAUUUAUAUUAUUCUUUCCUUGUUCUUAUCAGUGGGGCUUGCUUUUAAGAGACUAUAAUGUGGCUAAGGAGUACAUAGAAGAUAUUCGAGAUAUCUGUGAUGAUUUUGAAGGUCUUUGUCAGCGUAAUCUUGCUGCCAACACAGGUAAAGCAUAAGAAUGGCAAUGAUUUGUAGAUGUCAAUUCUGAAGCUUCUUGUUUUAUUCAGUUCUAUGAUCUUCUCCUGCAGGCAUGAACUUUUAUGAUUUCAUGAUCUUCAUCACAAGAUUCACGCUGGGCAAUAUAAUCCAGCUUUUCCAUCUUCGACACGAGGAAGGUUCUAUCAACAAUUUACUCACCAAAUCUAGAUAUUUCAUCACCAACCUUAUGUCUAUACGUGCUGUUGCCUCAAAAAUAAAAACUGUCGAGGCUUUUGCUGAAGAAAAUCUUAAAAGCUGUUCAGUUGAAAAUCAUACUGCUUUCUCUGAUGUUCAGAAAAUUUUUGAGGAACCAGAAUUCCAUGAUCUGUGCAGUGCCCUGAAAAGGACAUAUGAAUCUAUAGAUAAUCAAUGGGAACAAGAUCCUCAAACAAGAACUGCACUGUUCAGUCAGGACUGCUUCAAAUGUCUCAAAACCGACUCAGGUUUUUUGGAUUUUGUCAUAUCACCAACUUCAAAGGUUUGUGGUCCAGAAGAUUUGGUCAGUUUGAUUGAUCACGCUAUGGAGAAAACCAACGGCAGUUGUUGCAACUUCAGUUUCCCAUCUGAACUAUUUGAUGUGGAACCUUUUGUUGUUUAGAGCGGUAAGUUCAUUGCACGGAUGCCAUGUCAUGGUUCUUAGCUGAGGUCCUUUAGAUGGGCCGAAGAUCUAUUACUAAAGACUUGCUCUUUUCAGUUGAUAUCAGUUGGAGUAUUUCACUGCUAAAAAAAUUGAAACUACAUAAGCCAACUGCAAGAUCAACGAUCUCGGCGGUGGCUGUGGAAAUUCAGUUUAGGAGGUUUCCACUUGUUUAUUUCAUCCAUGCUAAUCAAGAUCUUUUGACGGUUGAGGAUUCUUCUGGGCUUUGAUAUUUCAUUUUGGUCUUCAUCAAAAUAGAUACACCAUUGACGGCUCCGUGUUGUAACUGUAGAAGGUGGCACCAUGGCAGCCCGAAUAUUUUCUCAGAUGUUAGCUUGCCAAUUGAUUUAUAAGAUCAUGUCCACAUACAGAAACAGGAUAUUUGCAAGGUACAAAUCAUUUUUUUAUUGUUAGCAAAUUUUUGGGAGUUACCAGAAUGUGUUGUGAUAGUCCAUGAAGGUUAAGGAGGGCACUAUGUAUCAUUGUUUCCAAUUUCUGGUAUCAUCUUUUCCUUCCUCGUAUAUCAUUCUUAUAUUCUUAUAUUCAGCAUGAGAUUGUGCUUGCUGCUAUGUUUAUACAGACAUGGUCACAUCAUCUCACCUUUUGUGGCAUUAGUUUUUGCUACUACUGUAUGCAUAGUUUUUUUUAUUUUAGUUGUUUAUUCUUCCUUACUAAUUAGCAAAAUUUGUAUAAUGGUGAUUGUUAUUGCUGCAAAUAAUUAACAUAAAAUUAAAUGCGCACAUUCAACAAUGAUUAUAAUUGAUGAACAUAAGCGUACUGAUAUGGUGUCAAUUAUGUGUACUCUUUCAGCCAUCAGGAUAAUUUCUACUAUUAUUAUUUAAUAUAUAUUUUUCUCGAAUUAAUGUAUAAUUUUAUUUGUUUUCUUUUUGAAACAAAUAAUGCCAAAGCAAUAGUAAAAAAACCACAACGUUUUUGUGAUCCAUGAUAUAUAUGUUAUCUCCUCUGUCAAAACAUUUCUCCUUCCCUCGUUUCCAUGCAUACAUCUCAGUUGCGGGAUGCCUGCAUAUGUACGCCUAUGGCCAAACCCAGGCUGUUGCUGACCAACUUCUUCAGAAUGCCGGUGAUGUCCGCCACCGGCGACACCAGACCGGGGUUCUCGCUGAAGGCGUCGUUGCAGUUGCCGACGUAGGUGACCGACGCCGAGAUGUGGGAGACUGACUGACUGUGUGCCGCUCCGGUUUGCAGGUCCGUGGCCGCCUUCUUGAGAGUGUCGACCGCGUACCCGAAGUUCUCCAAGCACACGCCGAGUUGGGCCUUCAGCUUCUCGUCUGUGAUCGGCGCCGCUACGAUCCUGUCCACUGUGGCCUUCGCCUCCUCGGCCGUGGACAAGGCCUCGUUGACGGCCGCGACGGUAAGGGCCUGGAAGGACGUGGCGCCCGACCUCGCGGCCAGGGACGUGCAGAGCUGAGGGACGGUGACGUACUGGCAUACGGCGGCGACGUUGUCGGCGAGGAGGCGGCGGGUGGCACGGGGCUCGGCGGAGGCGGUGGCGACGAGCGCCGCGAGGAGGAGGGUGGCGAGCAGUGUUGUGUGUCUAGCCAUCGCUGCAGAAUCCUACGUGCUGCCAAUUAUUCUCGUUGACUCGCCCUCUCUCCUCUCUCGCUCUCUCCUGUGGAAGUGGGAGAGCCAAAAGAAAGAGCGAGGGAGGGAGAGAGAAGCGAGUAAGAAAGAGAGAGAGGUGAGGGGUAAUUAUAGGAAGAGCGGAAGGAGUCGUUCAGGUUUUGUAGGCUGAACUCUCUCGUAGGUAAAACAGGGAAUUGCAGCCAUCGAAUUGCUCGCCUUGAGCUUCUCAGGUUUUUUCCUGACCACAGAGCAAACUAUUCACAGCGCCGCAUCUUUCGCGAAGACUAAAACGAAGGCCUCAAGUUCUUGAUAACGGCUUUUGAGUGGUUAAUUAAAUAUUACCCUAUUACUGUUUAGAUUAAUUAAAUAUUAAUCUUUAGAUUUAAAAGAUUUAUAUUCAAGUUCUCAUAAUUAUGAAAGUGAAACAUUUAUUCCUAUUUAUCCUAAUAUCAUCGAUUUUAUUGAUGGAAGCAUAAAAAUAAUUGACAAAAGGUUAAUUUUAAUAUCCCAAUUAUGUUUUUGAUGGUGAUGGACGAUGAUGCAGUUGGGAGCCAUAACAAUUGCAUCGGCACUAAUGUAGAUGCAAAGCCACUGGGGGGUCAUGGUAACUAUAUUGGCGUCGAUAUAGAUAUAGACCGACAAAAGGGCAACGAUCUUCUAUGAGCCAAACACGGCCUUCUUUUAUUGAGCCUACGAUGCAUCCGUCCACAAUGCCAACUUCCUCGUGUCUUGCCAUGUUUGCCAAGUCAUAUAUGCUGCUUGUCACUCCCUUGAUGCUAGCUAUCGUAUCUCUAGUGCAGGUCAACGUUGAGUCCACCCCUUUGCACUUUCUAUGAUCUUGAUCCUAUUGCCCCACCCCCCCCCCCCUUCCACGCUUUCUCAUCCUUUAGCUCUUGCUUCUCCACCUCCAAGUCCACGAUGACGCCUUGGAUGAAAAAGCCUAUAGAUCCUCUCUAGAUAGCCAUGAAGCGGGUAACAUACUGUCACGAACGGUCGUCGCGCACCCGCAACAACUCCGUUCAACGAACCGUUCGUCGCUCACACCUGCAUGUACAACUGCUUGGCAGCAUGUUUUCUUAUGGUUUUGGGUCAUUUUGCUUGUAAAUAUGUAAGUUCGAACAAGCUGCAGCGUUGCAAAGCGACCGUUCACCGAACCGAGAAACACAACCCCAAAACAGCCCAAAACAGCUCCGUUUUCGCGUGCCGCGGGAGGNNNNNNNNNNNNNNNNNNNNNNNNNNNNNNNNNNNNNNNNNNNNNNNNNNNNNNNNUGGAGCAAGAUCGCAAGGGCGAAACGCGGCUUAGGCAACGCAAGCUAAGUUCGCGUCUUUGCCACACGGGUGACUCGCGACUUAGGCAACGCGUCUUUGGCCGCAAGGGUGCUGCACGCCUUAGGCAAUUCCAGCUAAGGUCGUGACAUUGUGGUAUCAGAGCGGGCAAGCUCUUCGAUCGAACAGCGAACGAACUUCGCAACUUCGCCAUGGCAAAGCAUCAUGGCGAAUCGAGCAAGACGGGGCAAGCCGGACCCUUGCCCCAAGCAGCCGCAGGUGGGCUGCAUGUGCACACUCGCUCUCAUGCUGUUGGAGCCGCUCACGAGGAUCGCGGCAGCGAACAGGAUGAGCGAGAAGUUGGCAACUCUCCGCGAGCGGAGGAAGCGCAAUCUGAUGCGCUAACUGGGAAAAAGAGUCACAAGGAGAGACUCACGACGGUGGAAACCCGCCUAGAUGUUCUGGAAGCGAGCAUGGAGGAACUCUACCAUGGCCAACAAAGACUUGUUGGGGUAGAGAGCUCGCAAGAGGAAGCGGAGUCCAGGAUCGACAAGGUCGAGGCCCUAGUCGACCGACUGUCCGAUGACACCAAGGACUCCGUGCAGCACUUACAGGAUGUUGUGGCGGAACUCACUGCAAAGGUGGCCAUGCUCACAAGAACGCUAAAUGCGGGAGGAGGCAACACCCGCGCUACACCGCCACAAAAUUUGAGGGCACCUGAGCCCCAUGGAUAUGGAGGGGCCAAAGAUGCCAAAGAGCUCGAGAACUUUCUGUUCGACAUGGAGCAAUACUUCCGAGCUACGAGGCCCGAUUCUGAAUAUACCAAAGUUUCUAUAGCAACAAUGUAUCUGAAUGGAGAUGCGAAACUUUGGUGGCGAACUCGUUGGGAGGAAAUCCAACAAGGUCGGUGUCGAGUCGACACAUGGGAAGACUUGAAGCGGGAGUUGAGAACUCAGUUCCUACCGGAGAACACAGAGUUCGUCGCAAGAAGGAAGUUGAGACAACUCCGCCAAAGUACCACCAUCCGAGACUAUGUGAAGCAGUUUUCUGCACUGAUGCUGGACAUACAGGACAUGUCCGAGAAGGACAAGUUGUUCAGCUUCCUUGAUGGUUUGAAACCAUGGGCUCAACAGGAGCUGAAUCGAAGGAAUGUUACCGAUGUAGUCGGGGCAAUUGCAGCUGCAGAAAGGCUCACCGACUUUGUUUCCUCUGAAGACCCAGCGAGAAGGAAACAAUCUUCAGGCAAUCGCCCUCCAAAACAUUCUCGAGGGAAGGAGCUCGGGGGCGAACAGAAGAAGAAGAACUCCCACAAAGGGCCGAACCCAAAAGGCAAGGCCUCAAAACCUGGAGGAUGCUUCUUGUGCGGAGGACCGCACAUGGUAAGGGAGUGCCCACAGAAGCAGGCACUCAACGCUUUGACAGCUUCCAUCCACCCUCCCCGAUCGGACAAGGGCAAAGCUGUUGCUCUUAGUUCGAGCAGUUCAGAAUCUAGCAGCGACGACAAGGAGUCGCAAGGACCCCGAAUGGGAGCAAUGCGUUUGUUGAACGCUAUGCGGGGUCAAGUGGGGGAGAACUUGAAGACAAAGGCACAAAAAGCAGGAAGUAGUGAACUGAUGUAUGUGGACAUCAAGCUGAAUGGCCAAACGACCCGUGCAAUGGUGGACACGGGCGCUACCCACAACUUCAUAGCCGAUCGUGAAGCACAGCGACUUGGGUUGACAUUGGAGAAGAGCCCAAGCCGAAUGAAAGCGGUGAACUCAGAGGCCAGGUGAAUCUCCGGGUUGGCGAAGGGUGUUCCUAUCAAAUUCGGGACUUGGAGCGGAAACACCAACAUGAUGGCCGUGCCACUGGACGACUUCCAAGUGAUUCUUGGAAUGGAGUUUAUGCACGCGGCGAAGUUGGUGCCGAUGCCGUUCUUGAAUUCCCUAUGUAUGAUGGGAGGCGAUGAUCCCUACGUGGUUCCCGUCUCUCGGAGAGGAACCAAGGAGCCCCAACACAUCUCGGCAUUACAAUUGAAGAAAGGGGUGCGAAAAGGCGAGUUGACAUUCGUGGCUGCUAUGAAGCUAGAGCCACUCAACGAGGAGGCCAUUCAAGAACCUGCUGUGGUGGCGAACGUCCUAAAAGAGUUCAAAGACGUUAUGCCACCCGAGUUGCCGAAGACUCUCCCUCCACGCAGAGGCGUGGAUCACAGUAUCGAGCUGGAGCCAGGAGUGAAGCCUCCAGCAAGACCACCCUACCGCAUGCCUCCACCAGAGUUGGCCGAACUCAGGAAGCAGUUAGGUGAACUGCUAAGCGGUGGUCUCAUCCGCAGCUCAAAAGCACCUUUCGGAGCUCUAGUUCUCUUCCAAAAGAAACAAGAUGGGAGCCUCCGAUUAUGCGUCGACUACCGAGCCCUCAACAAAGUAACAGUGAAGAACAAGUAUCCCAUCCCGCUCAUUGC